AGGGUAGCUCUGUAACUGCUGUUUGACUUAAACUUAAGGACUUCAAAUGUUCCAUUGGCUCCAAAAUCUCUGGAAAGUUUUCAAAUUUAGAGCACCUAUGGAGAUCGAGAUUUUUCAACUUACACCUGCUGCUUGGAAGUUUCUUAAGGUCUUCGCAUUGCCUUAAAUUCAAGUAAGAAAUAUUUUCGUUACACCAAACUGAUUCAGGCAACUCCUUUAUACCACUGCCUUCUAAAUUUAAGUAUUGAAUAUUUCCUGGCAUCUCUGGAAGAUACUUGAGACUGUAGCAGAAUCCAAGAUCAAGAUGAGUAAGCUUGUCAAGAUGUUGAAAAUACGAAGGAAUUUCAACCAAACUUCGACAGUGCCCGAGAUUUAUCUCCACAAUUUUUAGACUUCUAGAGAGAUUUGGAACUUCAGUUAGAUUUGAACAGCCCCGGAGAUCAAUCACUUGUAAGUUGACAAGUAUCUGCAACAAAUGAAAUAGAAAUAUAAAGAAUUAAUAUAAUUUCUACACUUGAUUUUAUAGGUCGUACCCAGUGCACAAGGCUCCCGCUUUACGCAGGGUCUGGGAGAGGUGAAUGUCGGCUAGCCUUACCCCCAUUUCUUGAACAAUUGUCUUUCCCAUUUCUUGUAGCAUAUCGUGCAUCUCUAUGCUUUUCGAUCCCCAACUUGGACCAAUUGAUAUGAGACACCUAUUAAUGAGAAUAUCAAUUCCGGUUUUCGGAAAGCGUCCACAUGAAGCUAACCUUCGUUUUACCUCAACCACAGGCUCCCCUUUAUAAAAACAUGCUAUAUCCAGAAAUAUAUCCUUCUCAUUUUGUUCCAAUCCAUCAUAACUUAUUCUCAACAUUUUCUGGAUAUCUUUGCUGGGAAAUCGUUUCAAUUUGUUGAAUUCCUCUUCCCAUUCUUCUUUGCUCUUGUAAUUGAAGAACAAGGACCCCAGAACUAUAAGAGCUAAAGGAACACGUCCAGCAUAAUGCAAGGCCUUUUCUACCAACUCCUUAUAAUCUGUUCUACGAGUACUGUUAUCCUUGAAAGCACGCGAACAAAAGAGCUGAAGAGUGUCAUCCGGUUGUAAUCCCUCAACCUCGUAGAUAUUAUCCCCUUCAACAGUUUGCCCAAGUGUGCCCCUAUCUCUAGUUGUGAUAAUGAUUCUACUUCCAGUGCCAUACUGAAGACGAUCGCCAGCUAAACGUUCCAUUUGCAUUGAACUACUCACAUCAUCAAGAACAAUGAGGACCUUUGUACGACUGAGCCUUUCUUGAAAAGUUGAUCCUAUGGGCAAAAAAGCUUCUUCCUUUAAUAUCUCCUUAAAAAGUGUUUUUUCCAAGUGAUCUAGUCCACCUGCUUGUUCUGAGUUCUCCCUAACAUUCUUUAGAAAACAAGAAGCUUCGAAUUUAGAAGAGUGUCUGCGAAAUACAGCCUCGGCAAGGGUGGUCUUGCCAAUACCACCCAUGCCCCAAAUACCUACAGUGAUGCAAGCGCCCGGUAAAUGAAUGCCUAACAGCGAUUCAAUCUGCUCGAUGCGGCUUUCAAUUCCAACAAAACCCUUUAAAUCGCAGGAUGAUUCACGACACAUUUUGGCCCAAAUAUGAUCGACAACUUUCUGAAUUAGAUUUGCCUCCGUCUCCGUCCUGGAGUAUAGACGUAUAUGAUUAGGUAGAAAAGCAAUAGUUAGUCUCAAAUACGCUUUACCAAAUCUUAGCACAAAUCAAACUGUUAAAGAAAAUUUAUAACUUUAGACAAGUUAAAGAAUGAGCUAGUUACCCGGAUUUGUUUGAAUAAUCAAACCCAGAUAGAUUGGCUGCAGUCGUCAAAGCAUCCCUCCACUUGUGCACCUUGUCGAUACUGUUGUCGAAACGUUUUUCAAGUUGAGCAAAUGCAUCCGCAUAACUCCCGUGCUGUUUUCGUACAUCAGAUGGAUUGAUGUGGUAGAAUACGGGUAUAACCAUCUGGCCAUAUCUUUCCUUGCACUCGAGUAUGUGCACGAGUUCAUCUAAACACCAUGUGGAAGAAGCAUAGUUUUGUGAGAAAAUGAUCACCGAAAUCGUGGAUUUCUCGAUUGCCUGUAGAAGGGCAGGUCCGAUUUCUUCUCCACUCUGAAGUUUGUAAUCGAUGUAGGUUUCAAUUUUCUUCUGAAGUAAGGCAGCAUGUAGAUGGCUGGUAAUACCAAGGCAGGUGUCCUCGCCUCUGAAACUGAUAAACACAUCAUACUUUUUUCGACGUGGGGGGUUAUCAGCAGCGGAUGAUGAAGAAGAAGCAAUGUCCAUAACCUCUAGUUUUCAGAAACAGCAAAAAGAUGUAGUUGCAGAGAGAUUAAUUGUUGAUUAGAGAGAAAUAAUACUACGACGUUGCACCGAAUUAAGAGGAUGCAAGAGGGGGGGGGAGAGAGACUAGUUCAGAAUUUACUUGAAUUGGCUUUUGACUACAUGCACAAAAUUUCAAAGGCUCGAAAUCAACGAGUGAGAGAUACGAAAGUGGAAAAUUGGGCACAUGAUAGGACCUAUUUUCUUUAAAAACACUAUAAUUUAAAGAAAGAUAUUCAUAUAUUUGCAAUCUUAAUAUGAACAACGUCAUCUCAGCAUGUAAAGCAACUAGUAUUUGAAAACCAUAAAAUGAAUAAGUGUAAACCUUUUCUCCUUGCUUUGCUCCCCUCACAAUCAGUAUCAUCAUCGUCACCUGAUCGAUUCCUGCAAAUCAAGUUUUAGUUAUGUUUCAUACAGUCAAAAAACAAAAAUCAGAUUAUGCAUAUACCAAAAAACACCACACAAAAAGGAAGAGCCCUAUGCGAAAAAGGAUGCAAAAUCAACUUGAGACCUCUUUCUCCUGUUCUCUGCCUUGUUUUCUUUUUCCAUUUGCUCUCUCUUUCAAUCUUUUGUACUGAAGCUUUUUCAGAACCUGUGUUAAGAGAACCGUUGAAUCCAAACGUCAAAAGGAAGACAAUUGAUAAAGAUGCAAACAAAACAAAGUGACACCGGUGACAGGUCACCAGCCAAGAAAUUAACAGCAGACAUAACAAAAAUUAAUUAGCAAUUUAAAUGCCAGCAUAACAUAACACCUAAACUUAUUAAUUAAAAAGAAAUGACAAAAAAUACAGAAAGAGCCUUAAACAGUAUCAAUAAACGCUGACUAACCUCUGACAAGUUACCAAUUUGACGAGGGCUUAUUUGCUUUCUCCAGCUUCAAAAUAAUAUCCAAAACAAUUACUUUUUGCAUCAUCAGCAUCAGCAAGAGCAGCAGCGGAUGAAGAAGAAUACGAAGAAGAAGAGGCCAAUAUCCAUAACCAACCUCUAGUUUUCAGAUCCAGGAAGUAGUAGUUGCAGAGAGAUUAAUUGUGAAUAGAGAGAAAGAGAGAGAGACUGGUUCAGAAUUAAGGAGGAUUCAGCAAAGCAAGCGAGAGAGAGUAGUUCAGAAUUAAGGAGGAUAUAAUGAAACGAGAGAGAGAUAGAGAGAGAGAGAGAGAGAGGGAGACUAGUUCAGAAUUUACUUAGAAUUGGCUUUUGAGGAAAAGCAACGAGUAAGAAACGACCAGUUACAAAAGUAUAAAGGGGGCACAUGGGAUGUGGCCCUCCCUUGCGCGUUAUGCGUCCACGGUUUUGAAUCGGGAAUACUAGUACUAAAUUUGUAAAUUAUAUAAUGUGUGAUUACUAUAAAAUGAGCAUGUUUAUUAAUAUUUAAGUAAUAAUUCAAUCUUAAAUUUCUAUGUCAUUUAGUUUAUAAAUUUAAUCUCUCUAGCAUUACUCUUUUUCCAAUUAGUUGGUCACCAAUUUCUUCUAAGAAUUUUCCAAGCACUUUCGUUCGAGGAUAUUUUAAUAAGGUGUGUUAUCCACACACCUCAUUUUACUUCUCACACACCUCAUGUUAAUUUAUGUAUGUUGAUCUUCUUCAUUUCAUCUGAUUUGAUGAUCGAAAAUUAAAAAGGUGUGUGAGAAGUAAAAUGAGAUGUAUGGAUAUCACACCCCUUUAAUAAUUUUCACACAAAAAGUGCACUUCACACUACAAAAUCUUGGAAGGCAGAGUAAAACUCUCCAUAGCCUCUCUAGGCUCGAAAAUGGUAAAUAGUCGUGACUUGCCACCAUUUGUCCAUUUAAAAAAAAAAAAAUAUAUAUAUAUAUAUAUAUAUAUAUAGUUGUUGAUUGAAUAAGAUUUGGUAUCUGACCUUCCAAGCACAGGUGACAGAUCAAGUCAUUUGACUAUGAAUGAUUUUAUGAAUGAAAAAUCAUUAAGUCUCAGAGUCAUUUAGUUUGAUAUCAGCAUAAUGUAUUACAAACUCAUUAAAACUAUCAAUCUCAUCACCAUGCUAUGAUAAGAAUCAAACUAAACAUGUGAAACCCCACCCCCAAAUUUUAUGAAAUUCCACAUUUUACUUAAAGGUUUUCAAAUUUUUACAUUUCAGUCCCUCACUUCCUACCCAAUCAGGAUCCUCUUUUUAGAUUUCCUCUCCUCUCAUUGCUUGCCAUGAGGCAGCCCACUAACUCCUCCCUAUCACUCUUCCCUCGAGUUCACUCUCUUUCUCAGCUCACUCUUCUCUCACUUUCACACUAUUUCCCUCUCUCUUCCUAAUCGAACCCACACCCACACACACCCAUAAGGACACCCCCGACGAUGACACACCAUCGCCACCACCCUCGUGACUUUGUGUCCCUCUCUCCGCUUGGACAUUCUUGUAAUAGCACAUUCCGCUUGUAUUCUGAAUUAGAUGUAUGCUCUGAACAUGUCAUGCAUUAUCACUAUGCUUUCAUUGUAGGCAGUUGAAUAUUAUUAUAUUAUUUUAAGUAGUUUGAACGAAAUUUAUAUGCAUGUUUCAUAUGUUCUCAGCAUUUGCAUUCAUAAAUGGCUUGCAUCACCCUCAGGUGUCGGCCAUCACGUGACUAUCCCGAUGUCCCACGGACAUCAGGAUUGGGGCGUGUCAAAACAGGUCUUAAUAAUUAUUCAUUAAUAAUCAAUGGGCUAGUUUGCCACUUCUAUUUCUGAAGCUAUCGAGAGGUCAUAAGAGAGCCUGAAAUUAUGUGUCUUGUCCCAAGUAAACGAGUCAUGAUCCACCAUCUCUCUCUAUCCAUCUAGGCACCAAACUAAGCAAUAGACAGAUAGAGGUAGAAAUUGGGAAUAGAAAGCAAGCAAGGGAGGAGAGAGUAGUUGCCCGCUGAGACUAGAUCAGUUUGAGUUCAACAAUUGUACUAGUUGACCUGACUUACAAAAAGGUUACAAAAGUUCUCUAUGCUCUGGACAAUCAGACGGAGAUGUCGAAUAAAAAAAAACGGAUAAAUGAAAUUUCCCAACUCAAGAACCUUACUUUCCCCGUAUAAAAAUUCAAAGCAUUCCAACAUAUGAAGAAAGACAAAAUAAGGGCACACCAACAUCUGUUCAUAACUUUCAUUACAACCAAUGUCUUAAAUGUCAAUAAUAUCGGCGAUAUUUCGUCGAUAUUAUCGGUUUUUUGCUUUAGCGAUAUUUUAAUAGGUAUCCAAGGAGUUUUCGUCAAAAUAUCGCGAUAUUAUCGAUAAUAUCGCGAUAUUACCGAUAAUAUCGUGAAAUUUUGGAUCUGUGCAAAUCGGAGAAGAACGCCGGAGCUUCUACAGCUCCGGCCUACUGUAAAAGAGCACCCUAGACUCCGAUCUAGGUAUCAAAAUUAAAUAGAAGACGAGAGGAAUGUUUUUAUAACUUCUGUUUGCCGUGAAACGGUUGAAGGUAUUCGGAAAGUUCGUCGACAUUCACGGCCUCGCCGGAGCUGGGUGUGCCUUCCCCCGGGUCAAUCUCCUUCUAAAACCUUGUUAAAAAAAUCAGAUAAAACUUAGUAUAUCUCGAUUCUCAACCACACCACACAACAUCCAAGAUGAAUUGAGGGCUUACCUAACCGGAGAAGGAUCAAGAGAACUCGUCGGAGAGUUCCUGGGUUCCACUGUUCUAGCUGCACCGAGAGAAAGGGAGAGAAAGACGAGGUUUAGCUUGUCUCUGUGAAGAUGAGGGAAGAGAGAGUGCUGCCGACGAAUUUCUGCAGCGCGUCUGUGAAGAUGAAGGAGGAGACAGUGCAGAGAGAAACGUAUCUGUGAAGAUGAUGGAGGAGACGGUGCGGGGAGAGAGAGAGAGAGAAAGAAAGAGAGAGAGACUUUAACAUACCACCCAAGGUGGACGGGAGACUUAAACAAACAAAACCAUGGGCUCUGAUGGUUGUAACUUGUAAUUAUGAGGUGGACAGGUGACGUGAAAGAGGUGAGGUGCACCUAUGAUGGUUUUAACUUUUAAUAAUGAAGGCCAUCCAUUUAUAUUUUUAAAAGUUUAGGAUAUAUUAUAUAUAUAUAUAUAUAUGUUAUAUAAAUUAUAAAUUAUAGGUUAUUUAGAUAAUAUUUUGUUUUUUUUACUAAGCAAGCAGAUUAUAUUCGAACCCUCCCUUUGUCAACCAUGCACCUGAGCCUUAUCCAACUCGCUACAGAUGUGUUUGUGAUUGCAUAUUCAGCCUGUAAUAUUUAUAUGGUUGUUAAGAUGUCUGCAAGGCUUGCAAGCUAAUAUUUAUUAUCUAGGAUAAAUUUCUAUAUUUUAAAAAACACCAAGGUGAAAAUUUUGAACCUCAUAGGAACUCUAUGUGGUACUAAGUCACUCAUGUAUCUUACCAUACAAUGUAUAAAGUGUAAAAUAUUGUACUAAUUCAUUAUAUAUAAAUGAUUAUGGUGUGUUUAAACUUCUUUCAUUAAUUACUACAUAUUUUCUACACUCACAAUGUUUGCCAGUUCGCUAUAUAAUCAACUUGAUAAUGUUAAAUCCAUCAUGCAUUUCCUUCCAAUUUUUUGUGAUAAACUAAUAGAUAAUUGACUAAAUAAACAUCCUGCAAAGUUUCAAUAAAAAUUUCCAAGUUUUUCUUACAAUUUCCGUGGUUUCCAUAUUAUUUUUAUCGAUAUCGAUAAUAUCCCGAUAUUUCCGUAUUUUCGGAUUACCGAUAUUUCCGAUAUCAUCGAUAUUUAAUACAUUGAUUACAGCUGACAAGUCACAACUCACAAGUCAUCCCUUACGCACUUUAUGUACAAAGUUUUUUUUUUCUAUCGUACUAGUUUAAGCUUUGAUCAGCAAGCCGUCCAACGGAAUUUAAUCUUGACAAAGAUAGCUAACCUACACCUGGUGAGUCACCGUAGCACUCAGUAACGUACCAAAAUGUACACGACUCUUCAAUUGAAGAUAAAAGCAAACUAAAAUAUGUAUAGCCCUUUGAUAAAAUGUAUAUGUAUAUUCUAUAUAUGUGUGUGUGUGUGUAGGAGUGUGAUAUACAGGAAGUCAAUGAACAAUUGAUGUGAUAUACAGGAAGUCAAUGAACAAUUGAUGAGCCUGAUAAAAUUCUCUCUUUGUUGGCGAAAUGUUUUGAAGUCGAGAAGACCUCAUUGGUGAAGUUCGUAAGAUAGCAUUAAUGCAAAAGUUCGCGACCGUUAUUAAACGAUCUAAGACAAAUACAUGUGUUGUUAUUGGUUGCGAUAGACGUGGGUAUUAUUGAGUCUCUAAAACUUCACUAGAUGAAAGAAAGAGAAACUCAAGAUCUCUGCUCGUAAUUGUCCAUUCGAAGUCAGGAGGCAUCAAAAGAAACGUGAAGAAUUUUGGAAACUAGAGAUAAAAAGUUUGUUACAUAACCAUGAAUUUUCGAAUGACACGUGUGGACAUGUGUGGACAUCCUUAUAUUGGAGUUUAAAGAUAAGCCUGAAAAGUUGCCUGUUACUCAAAAAGAGGAUACCAAAAGACAACUUUGUGAAUUUCUUGAUACUUCUAUUCCCUCAAUUCUUGAACCUAAUGUUAAACCUCACAAAGGAUAUCUGGUAGGGUCCAAAAAUAGAAAAGAAUCAAGCUCUACAAAGUGUAGUCCUUUAAAGUUUGAAAUAGUAGAGAAGACUUAGAAACGUUCUCGACAGAUAUGUCAUUAUUUAUUGAUUUGUCUUUUGAUAUAGUCAUGAUUAUUUAUAUAUACGUAUAACACUUAAUGUGCAUAAUGAUUUGCCAAAAAAACUUUUUAUUAAUUAUAUAUAUACUAAAAAGAGGAAAUGAACUAAAAUAUCGUUCAUUCUACAGUGUUCUCCCUUAUUUGCCCUCGCACUUUAACACUAAUUCCGAUUGUGUCCCUGCUGCAUUUUAUUUUUUUAUUUUCUUGUUCUUCUUUCUCCGUUCUCUAUUUCCUCUAGCUCGAUGCUCUCCGCCAGAGUCUCUGGCUUCUCUCAUUCUCUCUCUAAAAUACCCACCCUCUAAAACUCCUUCUCACCUCUCCUCCUCCGAGCCACUUUCUCUAUCUAGAACUCACUCGCCACUGCCUUCUCUCUGAUGGUUCAAUAGGCCGGCGACGACUUCUACGAUUUCGGCGACGGCCAGUCUCGAGGUUGGUCUUAACCAACUCCUCACAAGGUCAGGCACAUUCUACACCUAUUGCAUCUGAAGAUCUGCCUCAAAUUUGCGAUUAUCAGUUCAAAUCCUAACUGCUGCGUUUUCCGACGAAUUUACAGAGGCGGCGAGCUCAAUUCCGGCCAGGUUCUGUCAAAUUAGGUGGUGAUAGGCCACUCGAGGCUUGAACCAGAGGAGGAGAGGAGUAGUUGUUUUCAUGGAAGGAAUAGAGCAGCAGCAGCGGAGGAGGAGUAUGCAGAGGCAAACGUGGAGGAGUAGUUGGGGGUCAUCAAUUAGAAAUGUACUGUUCCAACUAACACAUAACCAUUUGUUAAUUGAACCACUGAUACGACAGGCUUUGUUUUUGAGUUUCAAUUUGUUGAUUAUUGCAGGACGAUAGGUAGAGAGUGGCACUUUUCUUCAUCAGUUGCAUUCCAAGCAUUUCUUUGGGAGAGGUAUAGAGUCUGUACUUAACUUUUUAUAUUUCAAUGUACAAAUACUUCCCAAUGGAACCGCAAAAUUGGUAACAAACACCUUGACUGCUGCAUGGCAUACGAAACCAACUAUGCUCAUACAUAUUCAUGGGUUUCUUAUAAAGCAUUAAACUACGGAUUGCUCCUUUGCUACUUGAACACAUAUUCGCUUUAUAAAGAUCAUGUCUGUGAAAAAUCAAUUUAAAUGUAUGUGAUAGUGACUGUCUUAAACUGAUAUGCUCAUAUACAUCAGUAAUUCGUAUUAUGUGGGACAGCUUGAAUCCAUCUUUUCUUUGUUUGACUUGCUAAUUUUUCUUUAUUUUUCAAUUGCAUAUAGUGCAAUUCACUCUGUUUUAAAUUAAGUGGUAUAUUGAGGUAAUUUUGAGAGGAAAUAUAUAAAGCACUCUCUUUGUAUUAGUGUGGGUGUAUGGUAUGUAUGGCAUCGGAUUAAACCGUGAAUAUUACCAAAAGUUGCUCUACUUCUAUCCCCAUCGUGUUUUAUGUUGAGCUUCUGCAGAUACUUUGUUAAUUAAAGCAAUCACUCUUUAUGCAUUGCUGUCACCAGUUUCAACGAAAUAAUUUAUGACAAGUUCUCCUUCCGUUUCAGGUUUGUUCCAGACCUGAUUUCGUAUGCUCGGAGUAAUGAACUGAGGAUCUUUAUUAAUCUCGGCAUGCUUAACUAUUUUGGUACUAUGCAUGUAUAUCUAUAGAUGUAAUAUGAUUAUAAGAAUAUAAACUUUGUAAUUUUACUUGCUUCUUGAUUAUAAGAAUAUAAACUUUGUUUAUUGGUGUUCUAGACAAACACAGCAGUACUGCGCCUACGCUUGAGAGACCUUUGAUUGAUUUCAGACGUUAGACUUUGUCCAUAUUGAAAUUAUCUUUUGAACACUGAGCAACCAAUCUUUUGAUAACAAAGAACUUAGCUAUAAAAUCUAACUUCUAUAACCUCUGUUUUCUAUUGUAUAUUUUCACAAUAUUUUAAACACCUGCAGCAUCACGUGGGUCUUUUUGCUAGUAAUAGCUUAGAUGUGUAAAGAAUACGUGAAGAUCCACAUUUGCCAUAGUUAUCUUGGCUUCCCUUGGAAACUCUUUUCCAUGAAAAAUACAUUCCAUCACACAUACCACAGGAUUCAUGCUCAACUUCAAUAUCUAUGUAUUAAUAACUUUCAUUUUACGUGCACGUGAACAACUGUUCUUAGCAUUUGCAAAUAAGAAGAUGCAACUAUGCAUACCAAAAAAUAGUUGAGAGCACAUAAAAUUGGCAUGUACUUGAUAAAAUUCGAGAAAUUCACCGGAGUUGCACGCUUCAAUGUAGAGUAGCUAGUGACAUACGCCAAACCAACAUAUACAGUUACAAAAUCAUGGAAACAAUACAAGGUUGUAGCUCCAAUUAAGAAUGCAUUACAUUAUGUGUCAAUGUUUACUUAUUACAUCAAUUCUAUGGUUUUGGCCAAGAGAUUCCUAAUGUUUUAUUUAAUAGAUCUUUCCAUGCACAUCAAGUAAUACAACAAGUUUCAGGGACUAAUUAAAUAGUGAAAAUGAGGCGAUCACAAAAGGGAACAACUUACUUCUGAUAAUAAGAGACUAAAGUCUAAUCAGAAUGCAUAUAGGAAAAAAAACAUUUCCAGGCCGUAUGCUUGCGGUGAUGCUACUUCCAAGACAGAACGUUGAAGCAUAGGAUUGGACUGAGCAACUGCAGAACUGAUGUUUUUGCCGUAUGACAUUCCUGUUGCUGCACCAAUAAAAAGUGAUGGAGCAUAGUAGCCUCCAACUAAUCCAGAGGCUCGACACAAUGAGGUUGCACCUAUCUUGACCACCACCAACUGAAGCAACAAAUCAGCUGAGAGGCCUUUCUCCAGUGGUCGAGAUUCUAGCAAAAUGUCAACACUCUCGAAACCCCGAUAAAGAAUUUCAGGAUAUGCCAAUGCCAUCAGCCCGAUAGCCAAGCCACCCACGAUAAGCAAGCACGAAAAAACCAAAGCAAAAAUAGGCAAUGAGUGACGGAAGUUGAGGUUCCACCCCAAAUUGGAAGUGGGAGAGUAGCCCGACCCUUUGUAAGUCUAUGCAAGGUUCCUUGACUUUCCGACCUGGGACAGUUUUUCACAUCCUCCCGUGCCUUGUCACAUGUUCCAGCACUCAAGCCAAACAGAUAGACAACACACAUUCCUAUGUGAGACAAUUCUUUAACAUCCUCACAAUGAAUAACAAAAAAACAAAAACAUGUAAAGAUCACUAGCAGACUACAAUGCUAAUGUAUCUCAUGAACAUUUACAAAAACAAAACAUGUAAAGAUCACUAGUAGACUACAAUGCUAAUGUAUCUCAUGAACAUUUACAAUUUGUGUAAAAUUUCAGAUAAAAGAUCAAAACUUUGCAAACAAGCAAGCAAGAAAAGCAAAAAUGGACAAUUUGUUUGGGUUAAAACCUAAACUAGGGCUGUGGAGCAAGAAGGCCCAGAAUCGGGCCUAAAAGAAGAGAAGAACCAAGAUGCCCAGCGACAAGCCCAAACCACCGAAGGAGUCUUUCUCAGCAAAAUUCAAGUCACUUGGACCACUUGCCUACCUACUCAAAGAUCAAGUGGAGUAGACCAGCCAGCUAUCAGCCCAUAAAGUACUUUACCAUGGCAGUACAAGUAAAAAGUUGAUGAGUCACUACCCUUCAAAGGCAUUCGGGUAAGGACCAAGCUGCAGGCAGCUUCUCCAGUUGCUUAUAAAAGGAGGAAUAAAAGAAGAAAAAAGGACACUCAAUCAACCAAACAAACAAUCUUACAACUUGCCUCUUUCAGCCAAGCAAAGAUCUCCAGAAAACUGAACAUCUUCAGAUUCUGCACCUUUUUUAGCUUUAGUCUCUCCGUAGAAAAGACAAUUCUUGUCUAAGUAAAAAGCUCUGCUACCUUUUCCCUGGAUUUGCUGUAGUAUCGAUUCCCUCCCUUAAAAGUUAGCUGCCAUCACCCUCUUUUUGCAUACAAACACUUUGUAAUCACAAAGAAAGGAAUCUGCAAGACGUGUAAACCUUGCCCGACAAGGUUAAAUCUUGCCCGACCUUCUUUGUUUAGUCUUUCAAUAAAUAGAUCUGAUAAUAUAAUGAAUACCUCAAUGUUCAUUCAAGUCAUUUUCAGUCAGUUUGUUGUUAGAAGGUUUAUUAGUUCUUGGAUAUGAUCUUCCCGAAGAACUGAUGAUCUAAUCAGAUCUAAGUCUUUCUUUUUCAAGCAUACAAGAUUGGUUACCUAAAAGUCCUUGGACUCAAGGCAUAAAAAAGAACUUAAUGUCGACUUAACCCAUCCACGACAAUCCCUUGAUAAAGAGAGAAGUCCGAGUAACUUGAGGCGCAAGUAAUCGACUUUCAUAUUUAUUAUGUUACAAUCACGAUGAUACGCUUUAAUUAUUGAGUUUGGUCCUGAAAGUGAGCCUCAAGGCCUACACCUAAGGCCCCACAAAGGCACCUAUCAUGGCUAAUUCAAUCCUUCGAGCGCGAGUGAUUAAGCUUAAAUAUCAGUUGUUCAUCCUUGAUAACAAUAAGUGUCAAACAAUAUGCUAAGAGUACUGAGUUAGUUUGUGAUCGCAUGCCUCAAGGCCUACACCUAAGGCCCAACAAAGGCAUCUUUCACAAACUAAUUUAGUCUCUCGGGCACAAGCAAACAACUGAACAUACUCAUUUUACAUCUGCCAUGUUGAAGAUGGCAGUGGCACGCCUGAACAUCCAACAUUGGUUUUUGAUUGUGAGCCUUAAGGCCUACACCUAAGGCCCUACAAAGGCACCUUUCAUAAACUAAAUUUGUCCUCCUAUUGCAGCCCGCCAACAAGCAGGAGCCCGACAGCCAUACACGAACCAACAUGUGCCAACUCCUUGGGGAGCUGUGUGCUCGAGCCAGGGACCCUUCCCAACGAAAUUCUUGCCCGAACAUAGUUUUGGCACGCCCGGUGGGACCUAGGGUUGUUUUGUAUGCCAAAAAAGAGAAAAACUCAAGCUCUUAAGUUGAGUGCAAAGCAUAGACCAUAAAAAACCGUGCUGAAAAUGACUGAUAAACCAAAACAUCUUCUUUCCCCAAUAGGAUCAGCAGUUUUGGAAAGCCCGACUUCACCUGAGAAAUCGGGAGGAAAAAUAACAAAUGAAGACUUGCAGGCCACCAUGGUGUAAGUAUUAAAAAGCAUGGAGAAUCUUUCCCGAUAAACUAGAGGGGAAGUGAGUAGACUCUGUACUUUAACAGGGCACCUACAAAGAAGGUUAGAUCUGGAGUUUUCCACCCCAAGAGAUAAUCAAUAAGCAGUGGCAAACAAAGCCACCCUUAUCAGUGAACCAGUCUUUCCCUUAAUUCCUUCAUUUGAGGAAGAAAAAUAUAGGGAAAGAGGAAGGAGGGAUCUGAAGGAAGCCAACAAGUCAUUCAAGCUGUUCUAAAAACAGAAUCGCCUAGCUUCCCAGUGCUCUCAGUAAGUAGUAGGGGGCAGAAUGAACAAGAAAUGACCAAGUACGGGAUGCCCCUGACUAUGGGGGAGUCCAGCGGGAAGGAAGAAUCUGCCAGUACAGACAAACCUCUUCCUUAUAGACCACUCUCAAUGGUCAAUAAGGGAGGAGGAACCAAUUGGAGGAAGCCUGAACCUAGGAAGGAAGCACUAAGGGGCAACGAUAGAGGUCAAGCUGGUAAUGAUCGAAGCUCGAAGUGGGAAACUCCUCACAACUUCCAGAAUAAUAUGGCUACCCAACAACUCAGGGAGGAGUUAGCUGAGUUAAGGAGGGUGGUAGCUCAAAAUGUUCAGCCUCGGGCUCGCCCGAUGUUCAGGGUAACUUACCAAAAACCCUAUCUCGAGUACAUCGAUGAACAAAAUCCAUUCCCUCCCAACUUCAAGAUGCCCGCAUUCCCAACAUUCAAUGGAGAAGACGUCAGUGUAUCCUCUAGAAAUCACAUUUUUGAGUUCUCCAACCACUGUGUGGCAUAUGAAGACAACCCCAACUACAAGUUAAGGUUGUUUGGGAACUCAUUGGCCGAACUGGCCUCUCAGUGGUACUCUCUUCUACCUCCAAAUUCUAUUGCCAACUAAGGGCAAAUGGAGAUGGCUUUUCAUGAACAGUUCUACAGAAUAGAACCAGAAGUAACUAUCAACGAUCUAGUUGAGGUGAAACAGUACGAUCAUGAGUCCACAGAGGAUUUUAUGAUGAGGUUCAAGAAGACGCGAAUGAGGUGCCAGUUCCUUAUCAACCAGGCUCAGCUCAUCUCAAUUACUCAGAGAGCCCUGAGAUUGCCUCUGAGGGAGAAGUUCUAUGAUGUGCAGUUCAAUGAAUUGCAAGAACUGGUGAUCGCUGCUACAAAAUAUGAGAAGAUGUUGCUAGAGGAACAGCAGCUAAAACAUUCCUCCAAAGCUCAUCCUUUCUAUAAAAACAAAGCUGCAAUUCAUCAUAUAGAGUUCGAGGAAGCGGAUCUAGAGCAGAUAGAGGGACGUGAGAGAGAGGAGAUUGAUGUAUAUGCAGCAGAGAUGACUACGCCUUUCAAGCCAUUAAUAGUGAAAGGGCUGGUCCAACCUGUCAAGGACCAGAAGAUCGUAAUGAAUGAUGGGGGAUUCGUCCCUAUGAAACCUCCUAAAUACCAAAGCUACUCAUUUGAUCUGGCCAAAGCCCCUGAAAUUUACGAAGAGUUGGUGCGGGCAAAAGUAAUUGUGCCCGAUGGCACCAAAAAUAUGCCUAAACCAGAAGAGCUGAAGGGGAAGAAGUACUGCAAGUUACACUAUACCUUCAACCAUUCUAUAACUAAUUGUGUCCAAUUUAGAGAUUGGGUACAAGAUCUUAUAGUGAAGGGCAAGUUGCUGCUUGACAAACCCCAGGCCAACAUGAUGAUCGAUACAAAUCCCUUCUUAGAAGCCCCAAUCAACACGAUCAAUCUGACGGGGCCAAGAAGGAGUUUUCUCCAUUCAUUACUGAGAAGGAGGGGGAUAAGGCCUGCACUGCCCUAACAUCCUAACACCAGUAAUGGUAAAGAAGAAGGGACCAAGCAAUCAAAAUUGGGUCCUUAAAAAGAUUGUUGGUGUGAAAAGAAAUAAGAAGGGGGCAUAGUUGCCCGAAUAGAAAAGAUGGUGUGAAAGCUUCAAAAUAAUACAAGAGGCAAAAGAAGUGAAAUCAAAACAUCAUUUUCAUUCCAUGAGAAGAAGGGUUGCAAUUUUGCUAGCUUAUCAAAUUCACAUCUUUACCCAGAUUAAUUAUUCUGGAGUGAUAAGUCUGCAUAAUUGUAAGAAGCCUAUCAGGAUCGGCCAAAACGGUAUGGUUAUUGACAAGUUGAGAUUUGACAUGCUCAAGCUCCGAAUUUGCCUUUUUUACCUCCUCGACCUGAUGCUGGAGCGUGCCAAAGAGGGUCUUUUGUUUAGCCUUCAGUAUAGCAAGCUGUCCUUCCAGCUUUUGGAUCUCAGAGGUCAACACCCCAAUCUUUUGUUCCGUCAAUGAGCCUUCGUCUAUCGGCUGAUGAAUACAAGCAGAAGUGCUGGACUCUUUCUCCUGAAAACAUCUCACUCGGUUGGCUUGCCUCUCAGCUUUCUGAUGUUGAUCUCGAAGGGCCCUCAGGUUCUCAAAAAAUGAGAUGAAGGGGUCAUGCUGAGAUUGUGAUAAUUGAUCAGCCCUAAAGAGAUCUUUCACAACCUUCUCAACAUGGUGAAGAGCCUUAAGGCUGAAGGAAGAUGUGAAGUCUUUCUCCACCCACUCUUGAAAGAUUCGGCGUGACUCUUGGAAACUAGAGGACUCAGAAGUGCUCUUUGAAGAUCGCAGCUUUGCUUUAAGCUGCCCGAAUUCUUUGAAAAGCUCAGGCAUAGCAGCAUCUGAGGGGAUAGGUGAAGAAAGAGGGGAGCGUACUCCAGUUUCCAAAUGAGCUUCAAUCUCCUUAAGAGGUUCAGCAGGAGAAUGAACCUGAGAAGAGGGAGUAUCAAUGACUAUAAGGGCAAUGGUGGUCUUGGCCUUCUUAGGCUGAGGAGCGGGUGUUCCUAUAACUUCAGGAGCGGAAGAAGCCUGAGGAAGCUUUGUUUUACGCGCCAGACGAGGGGGAGAGUUGCCCGAAACUCCUCCAAGAGCUUGCUGAAAAGUUAAAGGGGGCAAAAAUCAGCGUGAGGAUUGCAACUCGGGAUACAAAAGCUCAGAAAAAAAGGAAUAAACAUACUGCUUCUAGUGGGGUAACGUCACUAUCACCACCAGAGGGGGAGGGAACCAUGCCCGAACCUUCACCAGAAGCCUAUAAAAACAUCUGACAUAGGUAACAAGUGUUUAAAAGUCAGGUUUUGAAGACAAAGAAAAAGAAGAAAUUUUUUACCUGAACAGGGUCUUGAGAAGUAGGAGGAGGCACCUUUCCGACAAUGGUGUGAUCCGGAGACUCUUGCAGACUGAUAAACUCUGGGACCACAGGAAUUUCAGGAACUAAAGGUUCUUCGCCAAAUGCUGUUGUUGUUGGUUGUUGUGGCUCAUGUGUUGGGGAUGGCUGGAAAGAGUAGAGACAAAGAGUGAAUAUGAGAAAAGCAUAGUGAGAAUUGGUGACAGGAUAAAUACUCACUGAAGCACUGUCCUCUUCUACAAAAUGUAACACUACUCCUGUCUUUGGAUCAAAUUGAGAGGUCGGCGUUACCUCCAGGACAGGAGGAAGAGUUGAAGACUUUAGAGUAGGGUUUCGACCAGUAGAAGAAGCAGAAACCCCCGCCUAAACUUGCAAAGAAAAAGGGGUCAGUCAUUCACUACCAAAAAGAUAAAGCUUGUGUUUGGAUUAAAACUUGAACUUUUGGCUCAAAGGGGAGUUGGCCUAAAAGGCAGCCUAAAAGGAAGAGGGACUCGAAGCCCGGCCGAAGCCCAGAAAGCAGAAAAGGCCUUUUCUGACUUGGUGCAGCUCAUGUGAACCACUUGCUCACCUACCCAAAGGCCAAGUGGUAUAGACCAACCAGCUAAUCAGCCCAUAAAGUACUUUAUAGUGGCAGUACAAGUAAAAUAGCUGAUGAGUCACUACCCUUCAAGCUGUAUUCGAGCAAGGUUACUGCUACAGGAAGCCAAGCCGAGUUGUCUAUAAAAGAAGAAAGAGAAACCAGGAAUAAAGACACUCAAUCAAUCAAACAAAUACAAGCACAAACUCUGCUCAAAAGCCAGAUUUGCCUUCAAACGAAGCUGUAGUCAGCCCAAGCCUUCAUCCCUCUCGGGAUAAACCUUCACUCAAGCCUUUGUAAUAGCUCUGCUACCCUGUUCAACUCUUGCUGUAGUAUCGAUUUCUUUCUGUAAACUCAUCUCCUUACCCCCUUUCCUAAGCUUUCAAACCCCUUGAUAAAGCACAAAGAUAGGAAGUUGCAAGACGAUCAGCCUUGCCCGACCCUCUUUGUUUUUUAUCUUUUCAUUCAUUAGCCUAGCAAUAUGUUGUAUACUUCCAGUUGUAUUCAAGUUAUUUAGUAAGAUGACUAUUAAAAGACUCUCUCAGUGCUUGAAUCCGAUUUGAAUAUGUCUUCAUAGUUCAAACCAGAUCUAAGUUCUAAGCUCUCGGGCAUGUAAGAUUGAUCAUUUAAAAGUCUUUGGCCUCAAGGCAUAAAAAAGAACCUAUGUGGACUUAACCCAUCCACGACAGUCUUUGAUAAACAAGAAGUCCGAAGUUACUUAGGGCGCAAAUAAUCGACCUAUUCAUUAGUUUUAUUUCUAUUAUAUUAUGAUUAUCAUAGAACGUUUGAGUAUGGAAUGAAUUCUAAUAGGAAGCCUCAAGGCCUACAUCUAAGGCCCCACAAAGGCACCUAUUUGGAUUCAUUUUGCUCUUCGGGCUAGAACGUUUGAGUAUAGAGUUAAUUCUGAUAGGAAGCCUCAAGGCCUACAUCUAAGGCCCCACAAAGGCACCUAUUUGGAUUCAUUAUGUUCCUCGGGCUCGGGUAAUCAGAAGUAUGAUGGUUAUAAGAUUCCUGAAAUCAAUGAAACAAACAUUAUAUGUUCGAGUAUUGGUUUAGUUAUUGACUGGAAGCCUCAAGGCCUACACCUAAGGCCCCACAAAGGCACCUGUCAUAACUAACACGAUCUAUCGGGCAUAUAUACAACUAAAACUUGACAUCCGUUUUACAUCUGCCAUGCUGAAGAUGGCAGUGGCACGCCUGAGCACUUAAAAGUUAAUCUUGAUUGUGAGCCUCAAGGCCUAGACCUAAGGCCCCACAAAGGCACCUUUCAAAGUUAACUCUCUCAUUCUUUUUCAGCUUUGCCCGACAAGCCUUGCCCGAUAAGCCCGCCAGUGAAGCAGAAGCCCGACAGAAAGCAUCAACAGGCACAAACCUCUCGGGGACCUGUGUGCUCGUCGGCCAGGAAACAUCCCCGACGGAAAUUCCUGCCACGAACAGCUUGUCCAAAGAGGAUCAAGAAUGAAGGAUUGCACCUCAGAAAAUUUAGCCCGAAUGGGGGAAGCAGAUGCCUCGCGGGCAGAGGGAAAGGAGACCUCAGACUGAGAAAAUAUUUCUUCCCUUGCGGUCUGAAACAAGCAAUCAAAGUUAAUAUUAACAAAGGAAUGAGAGACUUGCGGAGAAGAUUUAGGGUGUGGUUCAUACAUCUAACUCCUUAAGAGUAGCAGCUCGGAAAGCCUCUGCUUCCUGGCGCAUUUCAGUCCUCAAUGGAUCAUCUGGAGAAACCAUGGUUGGUUUUUUGGAAGCUCGAGGUCCUGAUCUCGAAAGAAAAAGAAAUGAUUAGUCAAUAAAGGAAGAUUAAGAACAGAUGAAUGAGGGUACACAACUCACUAGAAGAUUUCUGUUUUCUUCUGCCCACCUGAGGGGCUGGAACAGUAGAAGCAGAAGACUUUGAGGCCUUAAAAGUCUGAGCUCUAGUUCCUUUCCUAGUAGGGGCUGCUCGCUUAGGCCUCAAAGGCAUUCGAGCAAGAGCCAAGCUGCAGGCAGCUUCUCCAGUUGCCUAUAAAAGGAGGAAUAAAAGAAGAAAAAAGGACACACAAUCAACCAAACAAACAAUCUUACAACUUGCCUCUUUCAGCCAAGCAAAGAUCUCCAGAAAACUGAACAUCUUCAGAUUCUGCACCCUUUUUAGCUUUAGUCUCUCCGUAGAAAAGACAAUUCUUGUCUAAGUAAAAAGCUCUGCUACCUUUUCCCUGGAUUUGCUGUAGUAUCGAUUCCCUCCCUUAAAAGUUAGCUGCCAUCACCCUCUUUUUGCAUACAAACACUUUGUAAUCACAAAGAAAGGAAUCUGCAAGACGUGUAAACCUUGCCCGACAAGGUUAAAUCUUGCCCGACCUUCUUUGUUUAGUCUUUCAAUAAAUAGAUCUGAUAAUAUAAUGAAUACCUCAAUGUUCAUUCAAGUCAUUUUCAGUCAGUUUGUUGUUAGAAGGUUUAUUAGUUCUUGGAUAUGAUCUUCCCGAAGAACUGAUGAUCUAAUCAGAUCUAAGUCUUUCUUUUUCAAGCAUACAAGAUUGGUUACCUAAAAGUCCUUGGACUCAAGGCAUAAAAAAGAACUUAAUGUGGACUUAACCCAUCCACGACAAUCCAUUGAUAAAGAGAGAAGUCCGAGUAACUUGAGGCGCAAGUAAUCGACUUUCAUAUUUAUUAUGUUACAAUCAUGAUGAUACGCUUUAAGUAUUGAGUUUGGUCCUGAAAGUGAGCCUCAAGGCCUACACCUAAGGCCCCACAAAGGCACCUAUCAUGGCUAAUUCAAUCCUUCGAGCGCGAGUGAUUAAGCUUAAAUAUCAGUUGUUCAUCCUUGAUAACAAUAAGUGUCAAACAAUAUGCUAAGAGUACUGAGUUAGUUUGUGAUCGCAUGCCUCAAGGCCUACACCUAGGGCCCAACAAAGGCAUCUUUCACAAACUAAUUUAGUCUCUCGGGCACAAGCAAACAACUGAACAUACUCAUUUUACAUCUGCCAUGUUGAAGAUGGCAGUGGCACGCCUGAACAUCCAACAUUGGUUUGAUUGUGAGCCUCAAGGCCUACACCUAAGGCCCUACGAAUGCACCUUUCAUAAACUAAAUAUGUCCUCCUAUUGCAGCCCGCCAACAAGCAGGAGCUCGACAACCAUACACGAACCAACAUGUGCCAACUCCUCGGGGAGCUGUGUGCUUGAGCCAGGGACCUUUCCCAGUGAAAUUCCUGCCCGAACACAAUUGAGUAAUGGGUAAAAAUCAAACAUACAAAGUAGUUGAAGAGGAUGACGCCGAUUCCGGUGAGUAGAUCCACCAAGCUCGACGACAGCACUAUCGUCCAGUUCCCUCGGACAUGGCCUUGUACUCUGUUUUCAUCUUCCCCCAUCUUCUUGUUCUUCUGCUUUGUCAUCGUCAUCGUUUUGUUGUUUUUGUUGCUGGGUUUGUUGGUUUUAAGGGAGGGAAAAAUGAGGUCUGAGAGUCAGAUCUCUGCCAUCUUCAUCUUCCCCUUCUUCUUGUACCCAGCACUUGCAUUUUUGGUGUUGAUUGUUCUGGUUUGGGUGUUUGAUGUGGGAGAGAAUAGGAGGAGGGUUUUUCCCGGCGGUGAUGAAGACGGAGGAGGUGAAGAGGCCAAGGGACAUAAAUGGCGGUGGAAGUGGAGAAAUUUUUUAUUGCAACGGAAAUACGGUGUACAUCAGCUGUUUUUAUAUAAGUGGUGAAAUUUUUUAUUUUUUAAAGUUAUUAACUGUUUUAUAUAUAUAUAUAUAUUCCAUCAUUUUUAAUGAUACGUGAUGUAAUGACAGUCAUAUUGAAAAAUCUUUGGGCAUUGGGGAAGCGCCGUAUGCAGGUCAUGCCUCCCAUUAGCUGCUACACCAGUUGAGCCAACUGUUCAGUCCAAUCACGACCAACUAAUGGAUAAAUGUCUGACAAAAUAAUUAAGUAAAAUUCAUAUUAAUAUAAAUUAAUAUACCCUAAUUUCCUUUUCCUUUCAUAUUAACCAAAUCAAGAGUUAUCUUGUAAUAGUAAAUAUAGUCCAUGAUUGGAAAAAAAUAUUUGGUGUAUCAGAUCGUGUUUUUGAUAUACUGAAAAAUGCUCAACUUUAUUAUUUAUAUUGUAACACCAAAUAUCCAAUUAGAAUCCAAGCUAUGUUUGUAUUCAUAACUUACAGUUUACGCACACAUGAGCAACUGUUCUUAACAUUUGCAAUUAAGAAGGUGCAACUAUUCAUACUAAAAAAUAGGGUAAAGUACAAAAAACUACCUCAACUAUUGGUGUCACGACACUUUCAUACCUCAUCUUUUAAAAUUGACAAUGUCAUACCUUAUCUUACGAAUUUGUGUCAAUGUCGGACCUCCGUCAAUUUUUCUAUUAAUUUCUCUGUUAAAUGCUGACAUGGCCCGACACGUGUCCCACUCACUAAUCCAAUUGGAUUAAAAAAUAAUAAAAUACAUUUUUAAUAAUUAAAUAUUCAAAAAUUAAAAAAAUAUAUAUUAAAUCUCUCUCUCUCUCCUCUCUUUUUUAUUUUUAUAUUAAAUAUCUCUCUCUCUUUUCUCUCUCUCCCCUUUUCUGUCGCCUUUCUCUCUUCUCUGCAUCCCAUAACCCAUUCUCAUCUCCCCCCCCCACCCCAACCCCUUCCCGUUCCCCCUCCGUGCAACCCCCCACCCUUCCCCACCCAUGCCAACAUCUCCAUCUCUCUCAGCUCACUCACUCUUUCUCCCCAUCUCUCGCACAGAUUAUACCUCUCUCCCAGAUCUACACUCACGCACCCAUUUACACACCCACACCCACUGACGACGGUACCAAAACCAUCAUUGGCGUCAACCCUUUCUCCUUUCGUCUCCGUGAAGCUCCGAGGCACCCAGAGGACACCCAACCCAGGUCCGGCGAGCCAUGGGUGUGCGAGCCCAAGUCUCGGGUGGGGACGAACUGGGUUUUGAUUUUUAGUUUUUUUUUUUUUUUUCGUUUCGUUUCUGGGCAGCAGGGGAAGAAGAUGGGGGAGGAGAGAGAGGGGGUUGGGGGUGGGUGGGGACGAAUUGGGUUUUGAAUUUUUUUUUUUUUUUUGUUCAUUUCGUUUCUGGGCAAAGCAGGGGAAGAAGAUGGGGGAGGAGAGAGAGGGGGUGGGGUGGGGGACGAAUUGGGUUUUGAUUUUUUUUUUUUAUCGUUUCGUUUCUGGGCAGCAGGGGAAGAAGAUGGGGGAAGAGAGAGAGGGGGUGGGGUGGGGUGGGGACGAAUUGGGUUUUGAAUUUUUUUUUUUUUCGUUUCGUUUCUGGGCUGCAGGGGAAGAAGAUGGAAGAAUAUGGGGGAGGAGAGAGAGGGGGUGUGGUGGGGACGAAUUGAUUUUUUUUUGUUCGUUUCGUUUCUGGGCAGAGCAGGGGAAGAAGAUGGGGAGGAGAGAGAGGGGGUGGGGUGGGGACGAAUUGGGUUUUGAAAUUUUUUUUUCACUUUUCUUUGUUAUUUUAAUAUUUAAAAUAUAUUAAAUGAUUUUUUUUAAUAUUUUCUUAAUUUUUAAUAGAAAGUGGGGUUUGGAUCAAGGCACGUCAGAAUUUAACUGACAAAUUAACGGUCAGGCUAACGGAAGGUAUAAAAUUGACCAAAUUCUAAAGAUGAGGUAUGACAUUGUCAAUUUUAAAAGAUGAGGUAUGAAAGUGUCAUGAGACUAAUAGUUGAGGUAGUUUUUUGUACUUUACCCUAAAAAAUAAUUAGGAGCACAUAAAUUGACAUGUACUUGAUAAAAUUUGAGAAAUUCGUCUCAGCGAUUGAGACAUUUUUGCUACAACUGAGAACAAAAGAAGCUCCCACAACGAAGUUGCCCACUUCAAUCUAGAGUGGCCGACAACAUACGCCAAACUAACAUAUACACUUACAAAAAAUGGAAACUAGACAAGGUUGUAGCUCCAAUAAAGAAUGUAUUACAUUAUGUGUCAAUGUUUACUAAUUACAUCAAUUAUUAGGCCGGUUCUUUAAUUUUGAUCUGAAACAUAGCACUACUUCAAAGAUCCCCAAUGUUUUAUUUAAUAGACAUUUCCAUGCACAUCAUGUAAUGCAAGAAGUUUCAGGGACUAAUUAAAUGGUGAAAAUGAGGUGAUCACAAAAGGGAUCAAUCAAAAUGCCUUAAUUGUACCAACUAAUGAAGUUAUUUGAAGGGUUUAUAAUCAUAUUUAGAAUGCUAAUAAUUGAUCGCCUCCUUAAAGAAAAAGAUGAAGUGAAACCGACGAAAUGUGAACAUAACACCGUUGUGGACAUGAGCUGCUUGUUGGCCAUGAUAAGAUUAUCAAUUAGGUUUCUUCUUUAGACGGAUUUACAAAACGAUGUCUAAAUGUACAUCUGCGAUUUAUAGUCUCACAAUAUAACAUGUCAAAUAUCCGACAAACAAAUGACUCUGAUUUCUAAAUUAUAGUUUCCUUCUCAAUCUCGCAUUAAUUUACACUUUUCUAUACGUGCACCUUUUCAAUCUCGCAUUAAAUUGUAGCUUCCUUCUGAAUCUCGCAUUAAGUUGAAAAAUCGAAAACAUAAACUUGCAAACCAACUCUGAUUUCUAAAUUGUAUGGGUAAAUUACACUUUACCACCUCAGGUUUGAGGUCUAUUUCAAUUCCUUAUAACAUCUUCAAAACAUUUCACUUUCAUACCUUAAGUACUAUUUUAUUUCAAAAUAAUACCUCUGUUACAUUUUCCAUCCAUUGAUCUAUUAAGUGCUGACAUGGCUGCCACAUGGCAAAAAAAAUAAUUUUUAAUUUUUUUUUUAAACCUGAAUGUUCUCACACAAAAAAAAAGAGGGUAAAUUACACUUUCAUACCUCAGGUUUGGGGUCUAUUUCAAUUCCUUACAACAUCUUCAAAACAUUUCACUUUCAUAGUACUAUUUUAUUUCAAAAUAAUACAUCCGUUACAUUUUCCAUCCAUUGAUCCGUUAAGUGUUGACAUGGCUGCCACAUUUGUACCACAUGGCAAAUUUUUUUUUUUUUAAAAAAAAACCUGAAAUUAAAAAAAAAAACAGCAUUGAUCCCCGCAUACAAACCCACAUACCACCACCACCUCCCCCCCCCCCCGGCGCCGCAAGCAAACCCAGAAACAUCCACUCCCAAAAAAACCUGAAAAACCAACUCCCCCCCCCAAAAAAAAAAUACCUGGAACCAGUGCUCCCCAAAGCAUCGUCGAGUGGGCUCAUCGGUCGGCUCCAAUAACGAGGUAUGUAUUCAAAUUUUGAAAUUUUUUGGUGCUUGGUUGGUGGUGGUCUGAAUGGAGUUAGGUUUGCUAAGGAUGGGUGGGGUUGCAAAUAAGAGAAGGUCGGGGAAGGUGGGGGUGGGGUGGGGGGUUGUGGGGAGGUGAGGGUGGGAUGGGUUUUUGGAUGGGAGGGGAGGUGAAGAGAGUGGAUGAGAGGGAGGUGGUUGGGAUGCUUGGGAGGGAGAAGAGGGGUGGGGAGGGGUUGCGGGGGUGGAUGUUUCUAGGUUGCUUGCGGUGCAGGGGCGGGGGGGGGGGAAGGGGAAGGCUUCGGGGUUUGUUGGGGCGGGGUAUGUGGGUUUGUAUGCAAGGGUGGGGGUGCGGGGAUCAGUGCUAGCUUUUUUUUUUUUUUUUUUUUAAAUUCAGGUUUUUUUUUUUAAAAAAAAAUUGUCACGUGGCACACAUUUGGCAGCCACGUCAGCACUUAACGGAUCUAACAGAGGUAUUAUUUUGAAAUAAAAUAGCAUUUAAGGUAUGAAAGUGAAAUGUUUUGAAGAUAUUGUAAGGAAUUGAAAUAGACUCAAACCUGAGGUAUGAAAGUGUAAUUUACCCUUCUUUUUUUUUUUGGGAGAAAAUUCAGGUUUUAAAAAAAAAAAAUUUGCCACGUGGUAGACAUUUGGCAGCCACGUCAGCAUUUAACGGAUUAAUGGAUGGAAAAUGUAACGGAUGUAUUAUUUUGAAAUAAAAUAGUACUUAAAGUAUGAAAAUGAAAUGUUUUGAAGAUGUUGUAAGGAAUUGAAAUAGACCCCAAACCCAAAAUAUAAAAGUGUAAUUUACCCAAAUUGUAUUUGUUGUGGUAGUACCUAAUGGGCCGCCGGACUCAUUAGGACCAGUGGCAAUUUUGAAAAAUAACCAACUCUGAUUUCUAAAUUGUAUUUCUUCCCGGCGCUCCUUACGCGUACUGUCGCCUGAGGGCGCGGCGCUCUUGAUUGAUUCCGUGGUCUGAUCUUCCGCGAAUCGCAAUCUGACGGUGGCGAUGGCAUCGCCGCAGAACCAAUCGGCGAAUGUGGAUCUCUUCGAUGGGUAUUUCCGACGGGCCGAUUUGGACCGCGAUGGCCGGAUUAGUGGCAAUGAAGCCGUCGCUUUCUUCCAGGGCUCUCGUCACCCAAACAGGUCCUUGCGCAGGUACUCUCUCUCUCUCUCUCUAUAUAUAUAUAUGUAUAUGCAUAUGCUUGUGUAUAUAUGUAUAAUUGGAUGUGUGUGUAUGAUUAUAUUUGUGUUCCGAAUCAGAUUGAUUUUGAAUUUUUAGUCUAAUUUUGAAGUGGUAAAUGUGAGCUCGGGAUGUCUUAAUUCUCUUAUCUAAGCUGAGAUUUUUUAUUUCGUGUUAGUAUAAAUGUGGAAUUGAUUUUCAAAUGGUAGAAAAUAAGUAGAUGAAGAAUUUAUACUACAGUUAGUGAGGUGGUAAGCAGACUUUAGAAAUGUGUUAUAUGACCCAAGGAUUGGUCGAGGAUUGUUUAUUACAUUAGAAUUGUGCAGUAGUGAAAACCGGCAGCAUAAGAUGACUAUGGAGUAGUUAGGAUUGUCGCGUACAGGGGAAAUGUUCUUGGGUCAGGAUCAUAUCGACAAAUAGGUUCUUGAAGUUGUAUACUUGUUUUGCUGAAGGAGUUUCCGUAUAAAAUGAAAACCAGGGGAAUAUUAUGUUAAAUAUUGAUUAUAUGAAUGCCCUUUCUCAUUAGCUUGAAUUGCUGAACAUAACAGGCUCAAUCAAGCACAUUUUUCUGCGAGAUGCUGUGCUGAUGGGUGUUCAUUCUUUGCAUGAUGUGUUCGUAUUUUGAUGUAAAAACUUACAUAUGCCAUAGAUAUUUUGUACAUAUAAAAUUUAAUUUGUGAUUGGGAGUAAUCUUUUGCUGGCCAAUUGACAUAUGAACAUCCAUAAAUAUAUGCUAUUAAAUUGAGUCAUGUCUAAAUGUGCAGUCUAGAUUGAUAGAGUGACUACCCAUCAUGCCACAUUAUCUUUGAUGGAGCGGUUUAGGGAGGGACGCCCUCUUCCAGCAGUGCUACCAAGCAAUGUUAUGUUUGAUUUAUCCAAUAUUUUUCAACCUGCAAAUAAUUACUCCAAUGCUGGCAAUGUAGCCUGGAGACCUGCUUCUUGUAUUCAACCAUAAAACAAAUCACUUUUAUAUUUUGAAACAUGUCUUUCUUUGAUAGAGAAUAGUUUCUUAUUUUUCACUUUAAAAGGCUUCAACAACAGCAACUGAUGCCUGGUCUUGGUGCUCGGCACAUGGCACCGAAGACAGUUGCUCCAAUUAGCGGAAACCCAGAGUACCAGAAUUGGAGAAACAUCUUGUAGAUCAAUCUUGUAGAUCAACUGAGUACAGAGGAGGUUAACUCACUGAACUCAGUUCAAAGAAGCAACUGAAGCUGAUAAAAAGGUACUUAGAACUUUAAUGUUUCCCCAAUUUUCUCAUCUUGAGCAGCAAAGUUAUGUGUGCAUGUUACUUCCUGAUAAGUGUCAAAUCGUAACAAAUAUCCCAGAGACUUGGGGAAAGAAAUCUUGGAUGCUAGAGAGAAAAUUGAAUAUUUCCGGUUCAAAAUGCAGUUCAGCCAUCGAACUUGUAAUGUAUCUUUUGUAUUUCAUUUCUUUGUGUAUGCAUCUCGCUUUUUCUUCAUUCUUUUCUUCCUUUAGCUUGUAGCGCGACGUAUAAUUUUUCUCCUUAAUUUUGGAAUGUUCAGUCCUAUUGAAGCAAAGAGCCCUAUAAUUUUAUCGUUGUUACAAAUUCGAUGAUUGUAUUAUUAAACUGGGGCUGUGCCUUUCUUUUUUCAGCCUUAAUUUGCUGUAAUUUUUUACCCUCUCUAAUAAAAUUUGUUUCGCUGAUCUUUGUUUGGUGCAAACAAGAACACUGAGUUUUGCCGUUGUUAGUCCAAUGGGGCCAUUCAUAUUUUUUGCUCAUUGCAGUUCAGCCAUUGAACAAUCGCAUAUUUUUGUCGUUGAAUGUUCAAACUAUCGCGCUUGGUUGUGAGAUUUUUACUUUGCCCUGGCAUGGUGUGUUAAUUAAUGUCUGUUUGUGAUAUAAAGGUAAAUCAAGUUUUAAGGAUAACAAAUAGGCCAUUAUACGCUUGUCCAUAACUAGUGCUUUAUAAUGUAUAAUUAAUGUCUUAAUUCUUGGUCAGACAAGCGAGCUAUCAAAGUACAAAUUUGCCUUAAAAAGUUUUUCCUAAUCACUUUCAUUUGCUUCAGACUCAUCACUUGAUCCACUAACUUGAGGUUCAUCUCAUGAUCCACCACCUUUGGAAUCAACAUCUUGUCUUGUUUCUUCUACUUUUGGUCCCCUCGACAUGAACACGUGACCAAAUUUGAAUUUCUCAGCAUCUUCGGCAUACAAUGGGCAUAUACCACAGCUUUCCACCUUCAUAUGGGAAGCAAAAUCCUGCGGGUAGAAGACAACAGAGGCCUCUUUGGCAAGUUUGUAAACAUCAGGGGAGCAGUUUUUUCCUACCUCUUCACUUCUAAAGGCCUCAUUCCACACAAGCACGUGCUGUUGACCGUCACAGUCGUAGUUGUAGCUAUUGCAUGGGAUAAUGUACUGAGAAUUGAACAGUUCAUGGCUUUCACCCCUGAAUUUGACAAUGAAAUUAGCUCUUAACCUUAUGAAGUAAUCCUGGCACGGUGAAACAACAACAGAGAGAGCGAAACCAAAUAAACCUGUUCGAAACCAAUCUGGACAAAGCUCGAUGUCUACCGAAGAUCCCUCAUUUUGAUAGCUGAACCAAUUUGGAAUUUCUUUUCCUGGACAUGCAAUGUUAAUCUGAGGCCAGGGAUUACAAGGCAACCAAUAGUCCUCUAAUGGCGCAACAGUUGCCAUUCGCAUAAUUGUAAUCUGUGCUUCAUCCAUUAUGUUGCUCCUUGAAUUAUUAUCCAAUUUGGGCAAUUACGAAAAACUCUGAAACAAUAAUGAGGUUUAUCCCAACCUUGUGUGAGUGCUGUCCUUGAACUUGACACUAUCUUCAGAGACGCGCAGGCUUCAGCUUUAACAUUACAUAGCACUGGGAGCUCUGGUAUAGAUACAAGCCGCUCGCAGCCUUCUAAGCCGAGUAUAGACAAUCGAGAAGCCUUUUUGAUGCCUACUGGUAUUAGGUAUAUACCGCUGUAGCUGAGUUCUAGUUCUUCUAAAGAGAGAAAACUGACAGGGCUGAAAGGCAAUUUUUCAAGUCUCCGACAAAAUUUAAAGUCGAGACGUUUAAGAUUGGUUAAACUGUAGAUACUUGUUGGGACAUCCUUAAGUUGCAUGCAGCGACUAAGGUUUAAAUCUUGAAGCCUAUUUAGAUUUCCAAUAGACGAAGGAAGCAUUUCGACACCUGUGAAUUCCAAACUAAGAUACACCAAAUGUUCCAUUGGCUUGAAGAUUUCAGGGAAUUUGGAAAAUCUAGAGCACCUGGUGAGAUCAAGACUCUCAAGAUAUUUCAACUUACAGAUUGAUGAGGAUAGCUCUGUAACUGCUGUUCCCCUUAAACUUAAGGACUUCAACUGUUCCAUUGGCUCCCAAAUCUCUGGGAGGUUUUCAACGUUAUAGCACGAAUAGAGAUCGAGUUUCUCGAGAUUUUUCAACUUACACCAGCUACUUGGAAGUUUCUUAAGGUCUUUGCAUUGCCUUAAAUUCAAGUAAGAAAUAUUUUCGUUAGACCAAACUGAUUCAGGCAACUCCUUUAUACCACUGCAUUCUAAAUUCAAGUAUUGAAUAUUUCCUGGCAUUUCUGGAAGAUACUUGAGACUGCUGCAGUCUUUAAGAUCAAGACGAGUAAGCUUGUCAAGAUGUUGAAAAUAUGAAGGAAUUUCAACCAAACUUCGACAGUUCCCAAGAUUUAUGUCCACAAUUUUUGGACUCCCAGAGAGAUUUGGAACUUCAGUUAGAUUUGAACAGCCCCACAGAUCAAUCACUUGUAAGUUGACAAGUAUCUGCAACAAAUGAAAUAGAAAUAUAAAGAAUUAAUAUAAUUUCUACACUUGAUUAUAUAAAAGAAAUAAAAUAGGCAUAUAAUAUAAUAUACCUGCUCUUCUUUCCAAAGCUCCUUCUCAACUGUGCUAUAUGGCAUAUGAAGCUCAACUAGAUUUUCUGGAGAAAAAGUUGAUGGCAAAGAAUCCAGUGGAUAUCCCGACCACUCAAGAUAACAAAGAGAAUCGGGAAGGUCUAAAGAAGUGGUCAAUUUGUAGCAACCAUUCACAAUUAGCAUUAUUAGGUUAGACAUCUUUUUGAAGUCUGCACGUUUCAACGGUCGCUCUUGAAGAUUAUUCCAAUCAACCUCUAUAGCUUCAACAUUUGGAGUUUCCUGAGAAUAAGAAGAAAGUUUAAAUGUGAAUAUAAACAUAGUAAAAUGAAACGCACAUUUGGAACAAAGAGUAUUUGCGAUGGUAAUCAUGUACAAGUGUCUUAGUCUAGUCAAAUAUCCAACAUAAUUGUAUCCUCCUCUACUUGUCUAAAUAAACAAACAUUUGUUCAUAUUGCAAACACUUCCUAACACAAUAAAUAUUCAAUCAAAUUCAUCUUUUAACAAUCUCACUUCUUUAUUAUAAAUUAGUUUUACUUUGUUGUGUUAUCAUCUCAAGUUUGUAAUUUUUAUUUUCUAAAAAAAAAAAAAAACAAAAGAAAAAAAUUGAAUGCAUUUGGCUCUUACCGUGUUACUCCUCAAUACACGAUAGACAUCCUCAUCAUUGAACAACCUACUCCGUUUACCGGGAUCUUUAAUACCUUGUUCUUGAACAAUUUUCCUUCCCAUUUCUUGUAGCAAAUCGUGCAUCUCUAUGGUUUCCAUUCUCCCUUUUGAAUCAAUUGAUAUGAGAGACAUCUCAAUGAGAAUUCUAAUUCCAGAUGGCGCAAAGAAUCCACGAACAUCUAACAUUUGUUUCACCUUAACCACAGACUUCCCUUUAUGAAAACAUGCUAUAUCCAGCAAUAUCUCCUUCUCAUUUUCUCCCAAUCUAUCGUAACUUAUUCUCAACACUUUCUGAAUAUCUACAUUGGGAAAUCGUUUCAAUUUGUUGAAUUCAUCCUCCCAAUCUUCUUUGCUCUUGCAAUUGAAGAACAAGGACCCCAAAACUGUAAGAGCUAAAGGAACGCCUCUGGCAUAAUGCACAACCUUUUCUGCCGACUCCUUAUAAUCUGUUCUACGAGUACUGUUAUUCUUGAAAGCACGUGAACAGAAGAGCUGAAGAGCGUCAUCCGGUUGUAAUCCGUCAACCUUGUAGAUAUUAUCCUCUUGAACAGUUUGCCCAAGUUUGCCCCUAUCUCUAGUUGUGAUAAUGAUUCUACUUCCGGUGCCAAACCGGAGAGGACUGCCAGCUAAACGUUCCAAUUGCAUAGAAUCACUCACAUCAUCAAGAACAAUGAGGACCUUUGUACGCCUGAGCCUUUCUUGAAAAGUUGAUUCUACGGGCAAAGAAACUUCUUCCUUUAAUAUCUCCUUAAAAAGUGUUUUUACCAAGUGAUCUAGUCCAUCUGGUUUUUCUGAGUUCUCCCUAACAUUCUUAAGAAAACAAGAAGCAUCGAAUUUAGAAGAGAGUUUGCGAAACAGAGUUUCAGCAAGGGUGGUCUUGCCAACACCACCCAUUCCCCAAAUACCUACAGUGAUGCAAGCGUCUUGUGAAUGAAUGCCCAAUAGCUUUUCAAUUUGCUUGAUGCGGCUUUCAAUUCCAAACAGGCCCUCUAAAUUACAUGAUGAUUCACCAAUCAAUUUGGUGCAAAUACAAUGGACAACAUUCUUUACUAGAUCUGCCUCCGUCCUGGCAUAUAUAUGUAUGAUUAUGUAGAAAAAAGCAAUAGUUAGUCCUAAAUAUGCUUGAACAAAUCUUAGCACAAAUCAAACUGUCACAAGUUUACAGAAAAUUUAUAACUUUAGACAAGUUAAAGGAUGAGUUAGUUACCCGGAUUUGUUUGAAUGAUCAAACCCAGAUAGAUUGGCUGCAGUCGUCAAAGCAUCCCUCCACUUGUGCACCUUGUCGAUACUGUUAGCGAAUCGUUUUUCUAGUUGAGCAAAUGCAUCUGCAUAACUCCCGUGUUGUUUUCGUACAUCAGAUGGAUCGAUGUCGUAGAAUACGGGUAUAACCAUCCGGCCUUCUCUGUUGUUGCAUUUUAGUAUAUGCACAAGCUCAUCCAAACACCAUGUGGAAGAAGCAUAGUUUUGUGAGAAAAUGAUCACCGAAAUGGUGGAUUUCUCAAUUGCUUCUAGAAGGGCAGGUCCGAUUUCUUCUCCUCUCUGAAGUCUAUUAUCGAUGUAGGUUUCAAAUUUCUUCUGAAGUAAGGCAGCAUGAAGAUGGCUGGUAAUACCAAGGCGGGUGUCCCCACCUCUGAAACUGAUAAACACAUCAUACUUUUCUCGACGUGGGGGGUUAUCAGCGUCGUCAUCAUCCUUAACAGCAGUAGAAUCAGCAGCAGAAUCAGCUACAUCAGAAUCAGCUGCAGGAGACGAAGAAGAAAAUGAUCUGCAGCACAUAUAGAACAGAGUCCCGAUGGCGAUGACGAUGAUGUUGAAAGCUUGAAUGAAGGCAAUCAACUCCAUCUCUCUAUUAGGUAGGUGCACAAAGUUACAAACGCUUCAGGAGGACAAAAAUUGAAAAUAUGGAGAGACAAGGAUUAGUCACUUUCACAUACUUAAAAAAUAUUUGAUAAUUGAUAAGGCUAAACUAACCAACGCUUUCACAAAGUUACAAACGCUUCAUGGAGGGCAAAAAAUAUUUGUCGAAAUGGUUUGUAUGGUUUUUAUACAAACAAUAUUGGUGGAGGGGAAUUAGACCUCAGACUCUGUCCUCAGAUGUAAUUCAUGUUCAUGGAAGAAACAUAGCGGAUGCAAUUAACUGAACUGAUGUGUCAUACAAAAACAAUUUGAAUAAUACUGAAGUACUCACUAGUGAGUAUUUUAUGUACUCACCCAAUUGACACGUGUUUUUUUUUUUUUUUAAUAGCCCAAGAAAAAUUAUUGACAUAUACAUUAUAUUAUACAAGAAUAAAACGUGUUAAUUUAUCAUUGGACAAAAUUAAGAAGUGACUACACAAAUAUUGUCCUAACAAUUAUACUUUGCUUUCACAGUUUCCUAAAUAUGUUACAAAAUGCAUGUAUAAUGACUACAUGUCCAUUUGGAAGAAGAGGCGGUAGCAAUAUAUAUUACCUUGAAUUGGCUUUUGGCUACCUGCACAAAGUUUCAAAGGCUCGAAAAUCAACGAGUGAGAUAUGAAAGAUGGUGGAAAAUGGGGCACAUGAUACGCACAUAUUUUAUUAAAAAAAUCCUAUAAUUUAAAGAAAGAUAUUCAUAUAUUUGCAGUCUUAAUAUGAACAAUGUCAUCACAGCAUGUAAAGGAAGACAAUUGAUCAAGAUGCGAACAAAACAAAGUGACAUCCGGUGACAGGUCACCAGCGAAGAAAUUAACAGCAGACAUAACAAAAAUUAAUUAGCAAAUGAAAUGCCAGCAUAACAUAACAACUAAACUUAUUAAUUAAAAAGAAAUGACAAAAAAUAUAGAUAGAGCCUUAAACAGUAUCAAUAAACAUUAAACACUGACUAACCUCAGAAAGACAAUGGCUUGGUUACCAAUUUGACAAUGGCUUGUUUGUUUUCUCCACCUUCAAAAUAAGAAAACUUCACCUUCAGAAUAAUAUAUCCAAAACAAUUACUUUUUUGUAUCAUCAGCAGGAGCGGCAGCGGAUGACGACGACGAAGAAGAAGAAAAAGGCAUAUCCAUAACCUCUAGUUUUCAGAUCCAGGAGUAGUAGUUGCAGAGAGAUUAAUUGUGUAUAGCGAGAAAGACAGACUGGUUCAAAAUUAAGGAGGAUACAAUAAAGCGAGAGAGAGAGUAAUUCAGAAUUAAGGAGGAUCUAAUUAAACAGAAAAGAGCCGGAGAGGGAGACUAGUUCAGAUUUUUCUUGAAUUGGCUUUUAACUAGAUGCACAGAGUUCCAAAGGCUCUUCUGGAAAAGCCAUGAGCAAGAGAUGACCAGUUACUAAAGCAUACAAAGAGGCACAUGGGAUGGGGCCCUCCCUUUACGCGCUUUGCGCACGCGGCUUUGAAUUUUCCUUGAUUAGUAUGUCACCAAUUCCUUUCAAGAAAUUUCCAAACAAUUUUCAAGGAGUUUCAAUUGUGGACAUUUCUAUAAUUUCCAAAAGAAAAUAUGUGAAUUCCACACUACAAAAUCAUAGAGGGCUGAGAAUAUAGUUGUUCACUAAUGAAAAAUCUUUAGAGUCACAGACUCAUUUUAUUUGAUUUCACCAUAAGAUAUUACACAAUCGUUACAACUAUCAAUCUCUCUACCAUAUUAUAGUCAAAUCAAACUAACUAAAUCUUAAUAGUUAAAAAAAACACUAAUGAAAAAUACUUCAAAACUUUGAAUUUUAACCAAAUUACCUCACACGCAGCAUAUCUGUCUAUAAUUAUUCUGCAGUUGUUUUAUACAUGCACGACCUCGUUUCUUGGAAGAUUGUGUAUUUAUUCAUAUUGGUUUAGUCACUGGAAUUUUUUAUAUUUUUUUGGACAAAUAGUCACUGGAAUUUAAUUUGUCUGCUAACCGUGUAGCGUUUGGGUAAAGCCUUGUCAAGGAUGCAGACACAUGCCUCUGGAAAAGGAAACAACUUAGCUGCUGAUGGCCUAUCACACGCAGACACAUGUCUGAAUUUUGAUUAAAAAAAUUAAAUUUGAACACGUGUUCGCGCGUGAUUAGUUAUCAGUAGCAGCUGCUGAUCUUUCAGCAGCAAAGUCUUGUUCUCUAAAAAAUACAUGGAAAAUAGUAUUUUCCUAGAAGAAUAGUAUUUAAUGGAAAAGGUAUUGUAUAGAUGGGAGAUAUUAAUGCACCGGACCGUUGGAUUGUCUAGCGGUUGGUAAUUGAGGAGGAAGAUAUCUUGAAGCCACAAAAGAAAAUGACAAACGCAGUUAGACCAUCUCCAAUCAAAGAGUUCAGAGGGCCAGAGGGUCGAAAAUAGCCCGAAAAUCAUCUCCAACCGAGGGCUAGGCCAAAUGGCUCGUGGGCCCCACUGGAUAAAAAAUGGCCAAAGGGCCAACCGGCUGACCCAAAUGAGUCAACCAGCUAGCCCCGGGCCGGGCCAAAAUUUUGAGCAUUCCCAUCGGAUAUAACCGACAACAUUGUAUUUAUUCCUGUCGGUUAUAUCCGGCAUGAAUGGUAGGCCAAAUUUCAACUACGUCAGCUAGCCGUUAUUUUUGAAAAAAAGCUAGCCGUUAUUUUUGAAAAAAAAAAUUCAGUUUUUUUUUUUUUUUUUACAAAAUUUUUAAAUCUAUUUUUUCCCUAUAACUUCCUAAGUCAUUAUACAACAUUAAAUUAAAUUAAGUAACAUGAAAUAACAUUAAACAAUAUGAAAUAAACAUUAAAUAACAUUAACCAACAUAAAGAUUUGGGAGCUUUAAUGAAAAGAGCUCGGGUCAACAAAUAUUUAACCAAAAACCAUCCCAAAAUGUUAUUUAACCAAAAAGGCUCAAAGUUUAAUAAAAAAUCAUCCAAAACUAUUGUUCACGGGCCAAACUUACAAGUCCAACCCGCUACAAAUCUACACUUCCGUAAAUACCCUAAAUGAUUCGAUGCAAGAGGAAACUGCAGUUCUUCGAGACCACGAACCGCGAAGAGGUUGAAGAUAUGUUCAGAUCGAGCUUUAUGAUCAACUCUAGUGCCAAAAGGAGCUGCCCAUGUACAUAAAUCAAAGCUGCUUCAUGGAUUGGUGCCAAUUCAAUUCAACGGACUACUACUAUUACACCUUUUUUCUUAUUUAUUUUUCACGAUUUUUGGUUUCUGGGUUUUAUAUAUGAGGAUAUGUACGGUCCAAAACGUGGCAAUCACGUCCGUAUAAUUUGUAUUACAAGUUCAUGGAUAGAUUCAAGCCUGGUGGGCAAGAUUGAAUUUCCAGGUUAUAUAUAUGAGGGGUACUUGGAUGAGUUUUUCAGACAGUUGGAUGUAGAUUUAUAUUUGUAUUCCUUCAUCAUCUGUGAGUGUGAAUUACUUCAAUCAUAUGAAUUAUCUUUCCUCCACAACUAGCUAGCUAAUUGGUAUUCUUUGAAUUCUUAUUAUUUAUUCUCUUUGGAUGUUGAACAUAUCUUCAACCUCUUUGCGGUUCGUGGUCUCGAAGAACUGCAGUUUGUUGGAGAAUGGUCCACACCAAAUUUGUAAAUGUAAUCAUUAAAACAUAUCGCUUAACUCAAAAUUACAAAAUUCACAAACCAAUAAAAAAAAAUAUUAACAAAUAGAAUGUUAAGUUACAUAUGUUGCUCAAGCUAAGAACGUAAUCUAUAAACUCGUUUCUCACAAACAGCGUCAAACUGUUCCUACUUCAGAAAAGUACUCCGCACCUAAAGUUCAUCAAGAAUUUGCUAUUUUUCAAGGGUAGAGUGCAGUGGAAAACAAUCAAACAUCACUCAUCAUUCAUCAAUUACCAUAAUUCAAAGUACUUGAGAUUAGCAGGCAAAGAAAUUAACUGAAAAAGGAAACUUUGCAUGGAAGGACCUGCUCGAAAAUCAAGUUUCAUGUCUCAGAAUAGAAAGUUUCACUGAGCUUUGACAGCAACGAAGGCAGCCAUGCCCAGUUCCAACAAAUCGACAAAAAUGGCAGAAUUCAUAAGAACCACCAGUCCUGAUGAAUUACAUAAUCUGUUCCUCUGCGAUCGUCUCUACCGUACGGUAUCAGAUAUAGUGUAAAAACUAAAAAGGUUUGUACUUGUGGUAGGUUUUUUUUUUCUAUAUAUGGGGCUGGUGCAUUGCUGCAAAGAUAGGAAAAGAGAUAGAGAGGAAGAUAAAGCUCUUGUCCUUGUUGGAAUUUAGAUUAUUAUUAGUUAUCUUGCGGGCCAAGGAUUAGUUACUUGCCCAUUAAGUUUUUGUUUUAGUCUAGGGUUUGCUUUAGUCUUUCUCUAUAUAAAGACCUCUUUGUAUUUGAUAUUUUUAAUCAAGUUAGUCACAAUGUAGCCUCUUAAGGUGUAUUUGUUACACCUCCUUAGAAGAGACUAGCAGGGAUUGGCUUAACUAGGACUAUAGUCCCGCGUUUGGCAUGGUCUUGGAUUAGAGUUAAUGGGACUCGCCUCGACUACGAGGCGCCCCGCACUUCACUAAACCUCAAUAUCUAGUCCCACCGUUUCACUUGGUAUUAAGCAAGACUAACAAAGAAACGAACCGACGACCUCAGCCCACCCUUUCUCUGCAUGCGUUUCUCUCUCUCUCAUCACAAAUCCAUGUGAUGCAGCCAUUCCUCUGCAGCCCACAAAAUUGAUUCCCACCACUCUUGCGGUGCAACCUUUCCUCCGCCGGUGGGAAACGGCGGUUACAAUGCCAUUUUUUUUUUCUGGGAAGCGUUGUUGAUGGUGUUGGGUGUGUGGCAGCUUACAAAACUGGGUAUUUCUGGGUCUCUCUCUUUCGGGUCUGGUUAUUUCUGGGUCGAUUGGGUCUUCGAAAAUCUAUUGUCGCAGACUAGUGAGUUGCUGCGGUAGGGAAGCAAUUGAAUCGCUUUAAUAGAUAAACAAUUGAAUUGGGAUAGAACAUCUGGGUAUUUCUUUAUUGUUGGUGUUGGUGAGUUGUUGCGAUAGGAAAUUAAAAAAAAUUGCUGGCAAUUGAAUUGGUAGACGAAGCAUCUGGGUCCUUCUUGUAUAGAGAAUAGAGAAGCAAUUUAAUUAGGUUUUUUUAAUUUAAAAUAACUACAAAAUAACAUUUUAUAAUAUAAAAUUUAAUAUUUUUUCAUGUCUAGCUUGUUAGUCCGGCGUCAUACCAAACACUUCACUAUUUUUAGUCCUACUUAGUCUAAGCCAAGCCAGUUCAGCUUAGUUCCUGAAGUUAGUCCAGUGCAACAAACGCUCCCUUAGGGUUUUGUAGCCAUUUCGGCAUUCUCAUUAGUUUAAUAAUAUUCUUUUUAUUUUGUAAUCUUGUUCGUUGAUAUUCAAACUUGGUAUCAGAGCCUUUAGGAUUUAAUUUGCUUCUGUUCAGUAUCAAUUUGUCCGUCUCUGCCGUGGAUCAUUGCCGCUGUUUCUUACCCGCAAUCUGCACAAGACCACCACGAAUCUGCAUCAGUCACUGCAUCAUGCCAGAUCCAGAUUGGCCACCAACCUGCACCCAGUUCCAUCUCCAUGGAUUCCAUCGCUGCUGCAUCGUCGCCGCACCACCAAGUCUCGCCUGCUUGAAACACCGCGCCACCAUCUACUCAACCUACUGCUGCUGCGUCCGGACCCGCACCACCCCGCCGACCAAACCCACCUGAUCAGUUCCGUCCAGAACCUGCACUGCGCACCCUCUGCACCAUCCCCGCGGUCCGUAUUCGUCCCUAACGAAGCCCAGAUCCAAGAACCACUCGGAUCAAGUUCGCCUGCAUCUGUUUCUAUUUCGCACCACACACCCGCUGCCUUAGAACCACUCUUUUGUGCUGUUUGUUCGCACCGCCGCGACACCAAUGCGCCACAGACCUCCAGUUUGAUUUUGCAUUGUCUGCCCAGAAAGAAAGGUUGUUUGUUGCUCGCAUGCUUGUUUGUUCGUUCGUUUGUUUGCUCGCUUGUUCGCCUUGUCUUGUCUUGUCCGCCUAACGGAACUUGCAUCUGCAUCUACUUGUUGGCAAACUCAUGUAUGUGUUCCGCCAUGAGUUUGAUGGGGGUGUUGGAAUUUAGAUUAUUAUUAGUUAUCUUGCGGGCCAAGUAUUAGUUACUUGCCCAUUAAGUUUUUUGUUUUAGUCUAGGGUUUGCUUUAAUCUUUCUCUAUAUAAAGACCUCUUUGUAUUUGAUAUUUUUAAUCAAGUUCGUCACAAUGUAGCCUCUUAGGGUUUUGUAGCCGUUUCAGCAUUCUCAUUACUUUAAUAAUAUUUCUUUUAUUUUGUAAUCUUGUUCGUUGCGCACUCUGAUAUUUAACUAUUCUGAGGUUAUUGCUCAAUAAAUAUGACCCCCAAAUUCCCAAACCGUAUCAAACAUGUAUAUGGUGAGAUCUUGGAAAGCUGCUUUUCAUCACAACUUUUGUUUUUUACCAUGUAACACUCACACCAUCACGUAAUAUUGUUGUUUCACUCAUAUUUUUUAAUCAUUAAUACUCACACCGCUAUUUAGUAUUACCAAUUCAGUUCUGUCAUAAAACAUGUAUUUUUUAUGGGAAACCAUUUUUCUCGUUUAUGCACCUUUGUUUGUUUCUAAUCUUUAAAAUUUAUGAUCCUUUAUUCUUCUUUUUCAAUAUAAAAAAUAAACAUGAUUGUGUAUGAGAAGAACAAAGACGUUCAGAAAUCAUUUCCUUGUUUAUUAAUAAUAUAAUCCUUCCAUAAAAUAUCAGUUAUAUCGUAAGAUGUGGGCUAACAAUACUUUGUCACAACAUGAACAGUUUGGAUAUGUGUACGCUUUGUAGAGACCAUAGGUUUUUUCCCAUUUAUCCAAUCAUUUUUCUACAUGUAAGUUGAUUUGUCACAUUUGAUUUGCCUUCCUUGUGGGAUAAAAGACUAUAAAUGCGCGGAGACCUCAAUGAUAAAUGCAGAUGGGAACAGGCUAGAUGAGAGGUGAAGAAAUAUGGGGCCAGAAAAGACCAAUAUUGAUGUAUUAUAUAUAGUCGAGAAUAUGAUAGUGUUAUUCACACAUAUUUUUUUACCCUUUACAUACUGUAUGUUAAUUUAUAUCUUUUGAUCUUUUUCAAUUAUUUGUUUUGACAGUCAAAAACUGAAAAAUGCAUGUAAAAGAUAAAAAAAGUGUGUAGAUAAUACCACUCCGAAAAUAUAAAGAUUUCGCCAUCAUUUUUAUAAAUUUGUUUGUAGUCUUGCUUGCUCAUGUUCAAAAUGUGUGGCAUACGCCAACUAGCCAAGGACCACAGUAUAAAAAAGGGGCUUGUAAGCUUCCACGCACCCUCAAAUACACGUAUUCGAGUCCACACUGUGAAUCGGAUUAGGAGAAAAAGUAAAUCAUUUUAGCACUGACGUUUUCUCUUUCUGCACUUAUUUCGUUGUUUUGUGUCUUAAUUUCUUUUUUGAAUUUAUUAAAUCUAACUACUAGAAAAGAAAAUGUGUGUAGGGAAAAAGAAAGCGAGUAUAUUGUUUUCCAUAAGAGAAUAACCUUUUUGUACGCGCACAUCUCAACUUUUCACAUGACUUAUAUCUCAUAUUAAGAGUGAGAUACAACAUGGGGAUAUAAAACCGUUUUAGGAAGAAAAAAAAUGGAUAUAAUGGGAUAUCUCUCUUUUCUUUCUGUAUAAUAACGUGAGCGGAUCACAUGAUGAGCAUGGCCGGCCUUGAGAUUUCAAGGACUCUGUGCAAAAGUAAAUUGGAGGUCCUAAAAAGUACUAAGAAUUUAAUUUUUUAUAUUUUUUUGUUCAAAAAAUUAACUUUAGUUUUAAAUUCUAAUAGCACAAACAAAUUUAACAAAUCAACAAGUGGAUAGGUGGCAUAUUGUUUUUCCUUAACUAUUUAGAGGGUCAGGGUUCGAAUUUUCAUGUUAUUGUGUGAAAAUUUUAUAUUAUUUUGUGGAAGCUGAUGCAUUUAAUAAAAAUAAACUGAAAAAAUGAUGAACACAAGUUUCGAACCCAUCCCCUAGGCCAAUGUAAAGAAGCAAUAAUACCACUUGUGCUAAGACUCAAGUUUUUUAGUUUCUACACAUAAUACUAUAUAUACGUAUAUGUAUGCAAAAUUGAAAAAUCAUGGACCCUUCCAAUUUGGGGGCCCUGUGCAGUGGCACUACUUGCACCCCCUCAAGGUCGGCUCUGAUGAUGAGAAAUAUAAAGAUAAUAGUAUGGUCGAUUGCAUGAAAGAAUAUCUCUCAUUUCAUUUAUUUUUCUGUCAUAUCAAUCCUUACCCACAAACUCGGCUCAAUGUGACUUGGAACUAAUAGUCAUUGCGGCUAUAUUAAUUAGUUUGAUUACAAAUUUCCAUCCAAAUUGGUGUUGUCUAGACUUAUUGUUUGUCAAGGGAUUGACUAAUGACUAGGGAUAUAUAGCUUAGGAAUUAAUACAUCGAAUUCACAUCCAAUCAAGUGUCAAAGAAAUUACAAAAAUAAAGUUUCUUAUUAAGUUGGUUAGAUCAGUGUGUUUUUUUCUCUACAUUUACAAUUUAGAUUAAUUUAGUGUACUCUUUCGUGUCCGUCCUAAAAAUUAAUGCAUGAUUACUUUUUAGAGUGAACUUCUUAUGUUCCCCAAGUUUUAUUAAAUUAAAAAAUUUAUAAAUUAACAACGAAAUUCAAAUGAUUGUAUAUACCAAAUAAAAAUUAGAUUCUGAUAUGAGUUCAUGUUUGACAUUGUUGAUAUCUCGUUUGUGUGAAAUCUAUAAGUCUAGCAACUCAUGUUGUGGCCAUUAAUGGUGAAUGCAUGAUUUAGAAGAAGGUUUCGUUUGAUUUAUCGAGAUAAUUUUAAUGUGAUCACAACUAUUUUUGCAUUGCAUUACAAAUUUAAUCAUGCUAUAAAAUACGUGUUUGUUUAUAAAAAUGUAAAAUUACUAUCUAUAUAUUAUAAUAAAUAAAUUAAUAACAUACGGAAAAUUAUCAUCGAGCCGACCACGUUUGAUGUUUUUUUAAUCCAACUUUCCACAAGUUUUCCAUCAAAUCUGCUUCGUCGCGAAUAGUGUAGCGUGCCUGGAAUGGAAGGUCCAUGUCACGUGGGGCAGCGACGAGACACGUGGCAGCAUUUGCAGCCGUAUGAGCACCCAAGGAUCACGUGGAGUCGUGGACACGUGUCGUAAUGUCGGUCGGGAGAGCUACCAUGGGUUUGGGGGUGGGAGGGUCCAUUCCAAUUCCUGCAACAAAGAAUCUCAAGGAAAUAUUUCCCCUCCCUCUCGCUCUCAGUAGUAAUUGAGUUUACAUGUAAACGACCAUUACGAAUGAAAAAUCGGAAGGAAAAAUAAAGGUUUUCGUAGUGUGUUUUGGUCAUAAAAACAUAUUUGAAGAAUCGCUUUCACGUGCUUAUCCAUAUGCACACUUUAUAACUGAAGUGUUUUUUCACCAUGGUCGUCUCAAGUAUACUCUAAAUGAUUCAUUUAAACCAAGUUUUCAGCAAGAAAGAAAACUGGAACAAAUCCAAUUUUGCAAUAUUUGCCUCUUAUUAGUUAAUUGCGAGUUCAUGAUUAGUCAAUAUGUAGAGAGAGACUGAUUUCUCAUGUCAAACAUUCAAGCAUGUUAUGUUGUGGAAUCUUAAUGCAUUCAAUCAUGCUCAGAAUUGUGGUGUAAGAACAUAUACAUUUAAAGGGGUCAAACGAAUAGGCCACCGUCAACUCGUUAAAUUAAGGCAUCACCAGCCCAAUCCGUUUUAAAGCAGCCCUAUCUUAUAACAAGCACUAGGUCGAGAUUAUGCCCAACAGGUCAACUCGACUUGUUUACUAAGUGGGCCAACUCAAGUACGACUCAAACACGCAUACUCCAAUUUGAAACCGAGAUGUCCAUUUGACACUUUGUUAAAGCUCAAAAAGUACAAUAAUUAGCCCUUGGUAGGCUUGGAAUUGAAACUAAAAUGAAAUGGACUCAUAAUUUAAGUGGUUCACCCCAAAACAAGACUACAUCCGCUGUGUUGCUCAGAUUAUAUUGAUUUCAAAGUUUACAAAUAGCGUUCGGCUAAAUACUAGAAUUUUAUCUCCCUUAAGUUGUCUGACCCCCUUACAAGAGGUUCCGACCCCUUUAUAUAGGCCAUCCAUGAACUCAAAAAGUCUUGGGCUCACCUAGUCUUAUUUUUCUAACAUUUAAUGUGACACCUACAUCAACUAGCGUGCUGACAACCUUUUUAACCAUCAGUCGAUAUUCAGCGGUGAAAAGACACUUGCUCAUUUAGAAUUGCACGCCCUUCAAGAUCAAUGUGUGUCGAGCAACCUACUCGGUCUUGAUUAGUCAACCAUGUCACUCCAAGCAGCAACUCAACCGCUUUUACGUCUCGUCGUAGACUUCUGACAUGAGCCCUGAGUGGUGUUUGAGUAGGUCUGCUCCUAAAAAUUUGUACCAUAAAGUUGUUGGUCUUCCCACGUGUCUUGGGGGUCGAAAAGUACUUUAUGUUGGUCAGUCGGACUACUCUGGUUAGUGGUCCCCCCUCUUUAAUUUUGUUGAGCCUUGGGCUUCUUAUUCUUCUUUGGGCUUUAACUUUUAUUGGGCCUUUUGUGGCCUUUUUCUAGCUUGCACUAUUUUGAGGGUUGAAAAGCACCCUGCAUUAACAAAUCUCUGUACACACCAGACAAAGUGGUAUUCCUUAGUAUCGCUUGUAUCGCACGGAGGUUUUGAGUUUAAAUCCCUCUUUUUUUUUAGUAUCGCUUGUAUUGCAAAAAAUAAAAAUAAAAAAAAAUAAAAAUAACAGGAAGCAUUUUUUGCCAAAACAUUCUACGUAGUUAUAGUGUGAAUCCAAACCGUUGAUUAGGUGGUACAUUUUAUAGUUAAGUUCUUAAUUACUUUAGUUCAGCCUUUGCCAAUAUGGCAAAAGAAUCACAAAGCAUAAAUUAACUAGAAUGCAGGGAGAUGGCCUUGCUCCACCAAAGAGGCAAUGCAAUCAUCAAACAUCUCUUGGAUACUCUUAAACUUGAACCCUAGACUCUCCCCAGCUUUGAGGUGUUCAACUCAUAAUAACGUGGCCUCCCUAGUUGGUCAAACCUAAAAAUUUUCACGUAAAAUUCGAUUAAAAGUAAUUGAUAUAACUGAUGCGCAUAGCGUGUGACGAUCUUUUUUUUUUUUUUUUUUUUUUUUUUUUUGGGAAUUUGGAGCAUAAAAAAUGGAUCGGCCCACAGUAUGAACCGAUAAAUUAUGCUUAAUUAAUUGUAGCUGGUAAAAAUAUCAAACCUUGUGGGGAUAGGCAAGGAAGGAUAUCUUGUAGAUAAUAAGGAACCCAACUCGGUGUUGUCCAUAACUGUUGAGCUACAAAUAUAUCUGCCAUGAGCACUUUCAUGCUCAUAAACUAAGAUGUGACAGAGUGCAACAUUAUCAAUGUGAACAUAUCCCAUCCUUCCAUACCACUUAAAUAUCUCUGUUUCCCCUGCUUGAUUGUUCAAACAAAUAACCGUGUAAUGUGCUUAUAAUCGAAGUUAAGUAAACGAAGAACUAGCGCGAAAAAUCACGAAGAUAAAUCUGUAGUAGUAGUAGUACCUUUAAGCAGGCCAAGAACAUCUGAUGCAGUAGAACACAACUCUGGUGGCAAACAAGGCCCGAUCACGAAGGAGGGUAGGACAGUAACCAUAUCAAUCCCAUUUUCUUUGCAGAAAUCCCAUCCUGCUUUCUCAGCUAAAAUUUUCUACUUAGGGUACCAAAUCUAGUGAAAUAGGUGCAGAUGCAUAAUUUGUCUGUUAAAUGGUUUGGACGGAUUAUAUAUAAUGCACAUGGAAAAGAAAACAUUGAGCUUAAGAAAUGUAAUAGCACAGAUCAAUAAAAUUCGGCAUUACUUUGCUUUGCAGCUAGGUAUUAGUAUAUAUGUCACGCCCCGAUCCCGACAUACGUCCAGGAUCGACACGUGACGUCACCUAAAACCCGUAUCUCAACAUACCCCGCCUCUGAGAUAUGGCAAAUCACAACUCGAGAAUCAAUUCUCAUAGUAAAUUUUUCUUUUCGUAUACUUUAUGGCUGCAUCUAACCUCCUCGUUAGACUGCCUACGUACCCUCAUUAGGGAUCAAGCCAUUCGUAGUUCACCAUUCAUUACACUUCGACAUUUAUCAUACGACGUUCAAUCAAAAAGCAUAGCAUUCCUCAAUCAAUUAUUAGAACUUAACAAGCAUGAAUUACUAGGUUCAUGGCUACAUAACAAACCACAUGACAUUCAAGGUUUCCAUUCCAUCCAUCAUAUAAAUCACUAUGGUUUCAACAUGAUCCUUCCAUACACAGCAAGUAACAUAUCCAAUAACCAACAAAGCACAUAUCAUUCGUAAGCCACAUGGAUCAACUAAAAUAAUAAUAUUAACAAUCAUAUCCAACGUCAUUUCACAAUCCCGUCAAUUAAUCUAUUCAUGAAUCAAGGAAGCAUGAUCUUAGCAUUUAAUUAUGUUAAUCAAUGCAUGUAGUAACAUAUCAUUUCACAAUUUAACCCAGGGAACUCUAUAUAAUACCCUUAUUGGAUUAUGAGCAAUAACAUGGUAAAUCUAUUUUAUAUUCACAAGGUCUAACGUGGAUAAUUCUCAUUCACUUGGAUCUAGGGUUCUUGACUAACCUUUUGGAACUGUGCAAGAGUAAGGAUUCCGGACCACUCAACGGAAUCCAAUCACAUCGAUUUCUCGUAAUCUAUCCAGACCUGUUGCAUGCAAAAUCAGUGCCAUCGAUCAUAGUUUAUAAUUCUCAAUAUAAGUUCGUAACUAUGAAUACAUAGUCAAGUCUCUAAUAACUCCGAAUGAGUUACCCAGACAUCCAACGACUUUUCUAAUUUAAACUACAAGAUUCUCAAAAUCCAUCUUUCAUAUGUACAAUAAACAUUAGGGCUAGAAGAACGCAGUUCGGUCGAAGCCUACAUAAGUAACCAAACAGGAAGUGGCCCCCAAAGCGGAUUACCCAAGCAGUGCCACCCCUGAGAAAAUAAUCAAGUAGGCAGCGACCUCCCAAUGCGGAUUAACCUAGCACAAUCACUCAUAUAGCUGUUAGAAAGUGAUCAUCCAAUGCGGAUUAACCAAACAUGAUCACUCUUAAGCAUACAUGGCCAUAAGGAUCGCCCAACGCGGAUUAACCAAGCACGAUCCAUAUAUAGUAUGGUCCCCCAAUGCGGAUUAACCAAGCAGGACCACUAAUUACCCCCAAUGCGGAUUAACCAAGCAGGGUCAAGAAAAUCAAGUAGGUAACGCAGAUAUACCAAGCAUGAUCACUCUUAAGUAUAAAUGGCCAUAAGGAUCGCCUAACACUGAUUAACCAAGCGCGAUCCAUAUAAAGUAUGGUCCCCCAAAGCGGAUUAACCAAGCAGGACCACUAGUGACCCCCCAAUGCGGAUUAACCAAGCAAGGUCAAAAUAAUCAGGUAGGUAGUGAUCACCCCAUGCGGAUUAACCAAGCAUGAUCACUCCUAGUACGCGUAUGGUCCCCCAAUGCGGAUAUACCAAGCAGGACCAUCAAUGUACAACUACUACAUGGUGCAGAAAAUUCAACACACACAACUUACCCAUCACUUAACCCCUAUGGAUUACAAUGUAAUCACCUACACCAACAAUUCUCAUGCCCACCAACUCAAAUGCCUCACAAGCAUAUAAGUUCUACAAAAAUACUUCUAAUAGGAAUCUACGAUCACAUUGUCACAACAUUUAUCGGACUUACCCUUCACAUUACUAAAAAGAUAAUUAAACGCACAUGUAUCACAAUCAUCAUCCGUACAUAAGCCAAUUCAUGUUUAAUAAACAUAAGUCUAUGGCCAAAUAUAUAAAAAGCACAUUUCAAUAGAAAUCACCUUUAUAAGACCAAAACAUAAUCACAUAUGAUACUAAUAUAAAAAUCAAGGUAAUAGCUUUGUCACAUAUACACAAGUCAUUCCCUAACCAAUGUAGACUCACUAGACUUCACUUAAUCUUCCGUAGUACUAAUUUUAGUAAUUAGGACGUUUCAUGACAUGUUGACCAAAAGUCAAUUCUCAAUAAACAUUAGGGUCCACAAACUUACGUAAUUUGAUUCGGAAGAUCCGCACCUCAGAUUUCUGAUCCAUAACUUUCCAAAGUCCACAUUAUGCUCAAAUAACAACAUACUAAAAUCUCAACACGAUCCGACCGUCGGAUCUCUGCCAAUUUCAAAAUUCAAGUGGCGGUCGACACUUAAUUUUUCAACUUCGAAAUCCAAUUAGGGAAGAUCCGUAUGUCGGAUUCCCGAUCCGUAAAUUUCUAUGAUCCAUAAAUAUUAUAUUCUAUCAUGCAUUAAGGUUUGGUGACAAUCUAACGGUUGGAUCGUCGAAUCAUAUUUUGACCUAACCACGUAUCAUAAUGAAAUUAGGUUCAAACAAUCAAACCAUAUCAUAAGGAUGUCAAUUAUGAAAUCAGGACAUCUAAUUGAACUUAAAAGGACAUCGUCGGCCCACUGGCCAGGGCGCCGCCGCACGCGCCACCGCAGGUGGCAGUCAGCCGCCCCAACUUGCCGAAAAAAUUCAACUAUUUUUAAAAAUUACCAAAAUUUACAGAAAUGAAGAUCUCAAUGAGUAGAGUAAGUUUUAUACCUGUGGCCAAGUCUAAUUUGGCGGGUAAAAGCCCCAAUUUUAUCCAUACCCGCAAGAACCCUAGAAAUUUGGGUGACUUUGAUUCGGCUUCUCCGGUGCUCCGCCGCCCCUAUAUUUGUUUGGGCUUUAUUCCAGACCUCAAGAAGAGGCUAUGGAUGGUGGUAAUCGAAGAAAUUUGUUUCAAAUUGGGAAAUCGUCCUCUAUGAACCCGCACACCCACCGGUGUGACUUUCCCAGUUUCAAGAUUAUUUUGCAUGGAAUGUGGGAUAGAAUAGGUAGAGGGGAAGAUGAGAAAUGGUUUCAAAGUGAUGAGAAACUUCAACUCGCUGGGAAUUUGCCGAAAGACUACCCAAUUCCAAUGGGUCUGCCCGUUGGUUUUGCACGGGUUCAGUGACCCGUUUCCUCCCCCCCCUUUCUGAUUCCUUUUUCCUCCCUUUUCUUUUUUUUUUUUGCUGCCACACGGCAGUUUCAAAUUAAUCUUUUUUUUUUCUUUUUUUUUCCCAUUUCUCAUUGGUCCCUUUCCCACUAUGUGGGAGUUCACUAAUUCCUACACUUUAUAGUGUCACAACUUCAAACGUUCAUAAAUAUACCGUUAUAAAUCGAACUCACAAACGGCAUUCGCCUAUGCGUUCGUGAUCUCGAAAUCUAUUCAGCAAUAUAAAUUGUGACCUCGAAAGGUUCGCAGAUUUUAACUAAUUACUUCCCAAACUUCAAACUUCGUGACUAAUUUAAUUAAAAUCUAAAUUCAAACAAUUUAAAAUAAAUUCUCAAUAAUACAAAUACGUAGGUGAUAAAAGUGAAAUCCAGGAACGAGAUUUCACAAUAUAUGAGAAGGGAUGCAUUCAAAGUUAUGCUAAAUUCGCCGAACAAAUAUGUAUUGGUUAGACUACUGUUCGGGCAGGAAUUUCGUUGGGAAAGGUCCCUGGCUCGAGCACACAGCUCCCCGAGGAAUUGGCGCCGAUUGAUGUGGCUGUCGGGCUCCUGCUUGUUGGCGGGCUGCAAUAGGAGGACAAAGUUAGUUAUGAAAUGUGCCUUUGUGGGGCCUUAGGUGUAGGCCUUGAGGCUCGCAAUCAAAACUAACUAAUUGCUCAGGCGUGCCACUGCCAUCUUCAACAUGGCAGAUGUAAAAUAAGUAUAUUCAGUUGUUUGCUUGUGCCCGAGAGACUAGUUCAGUUAUGAAAGAUGCCUUUGUUGGGCCUUAGGUAUAGGCCUUGAGGCUUACAAUCAUAACUAACCAAGUACUCUUAGCAUAUUGAUGUUGUUUCAUUGUUGUAAAGGUCAAACAACUGUUUUCAAGCUAAUUACUCGCGCCCGAAUGACUGAAUUAGCUCUGAUAGGUGCCUUUGUGGGGCCUUAGGUAUAGGCCUUGACGCUCGCUAUCAAAACCAACUCAACACUUUAAGCGUAUCAUUGUAAUUAUAGUAUAAUGGAUGUGAAGGUCGAUUACUUGCGCCCCAAGUUACUCGGACUUCUUGCUAUCAAAAGAUUAUCGUGGAUGAGUUAAGUCCACAUUAAGUUCUUUUUUAUGCCUUAAGACUAAGGACUUUUAGUUGAUCAAUCUCAUAUGCUUGAGAAGUGAGAAUUUAGAUCUGAUCAAAGCAUCAGUUCACCAAAUGGAUCAAAUCUAAGAACUUAUGGAUCUUUCAAUUACAAACUGACUGGAAAUGACUUGAAUAAACAUUGAAGUACUCAUUCUACUACCAGAUCUAUGUAUUGAAAGACGAAACAAAUAAGGUCGGGCAAGAACCACUCGGUCCGUAUUCGUCCCUAACGAAGCCCAGAUCUAAGAACCACUCGGAUCGAGUUCACCUGCAUCUGUUUCUAUUUCGCACCACACACCUGCUGCCUUAGAACCACUCUCUUGUCGCUGUUUGUUCGCACCGUCGCGACACCAAUGCUCCACAGACCUCCAGUUUGAUUUUGCAUUGUCUGCCCAGAAAGAAAGGUUGUUUGUUGCUCGCAUGCUUAUUUGUUCGUUCUUUUGUUUGCUGUUUGCUCGUUUGUUCGUUCGUUUGUUUGCUCGCCUGUUCGCCUUGUCUUGUCUUGUCCGCCUAAUGGAACUUGCAUCUGCAUCUACUUGUUGGAAAACUCAUGUCUGUUCCGCCAUGAGUUUGACGGGGGGUGUUGGAAUUUAGAUUAUUAUUAGUUAUCUUGCAGGCCAAGGAUUAGUUACUUGCCCAUUAAGUUUUUGUUUUAGUCUAGGGUUUGCUUUAGUCUUUCUCUAUAUAAAGACCUCUUUGUAUUUGAUAUUUUUAAUCAAGUUCGUCACAAUGUAGCCUCUUAGGGUUUUGUAGCCGUUUCGACAUUCUCGUUAGUUUAAUAAUAUUUUUUUUAUUUUGUAAUUGAUAAAUAUCGUUUUGCUGAUGAAUAAUCAAGCUCUCUCACCUUGAAUCCCUGCUGCAAUGGCAGCAUGGUUUAUAUACAAGUUUACAAGCAUGCAAUAAACAAUACUACUGUCCUUAACCCUUGCUGUACUGACAGCAUGGUUUAUAUACAAGUUUAAUACACGCAUGCAAUAAAUAAUACAGGUGGCAGAAACCAUGUGAAGUAUUCCUUCUGUCAGGGUGUGCAGCUAAGUAUUCCUUCUGUCAGGUUGUGCAGCAAGUGGAUUGCAGCUGGAAGGUUGAGGUUGAAUUGGUGGUGCUGUCGUGGACCUUUCUUUAGGGUUUGGUUUAUCACACCCCCGCAAGCUGACGGGGCGUUGACGAACGGGAAGCUUGGAGAUAAGAUAAUGGAAACGGACAGAGGACAAACCCUUGGUUAAAAAAUCAGCAAUUUGAUCUGUGGUAGCCACAUAACCAACCUCUAGUUCCUUGCGAAUGACCUUUUCCCUUAUGUAGUGAUAAUCCACUUCAACAUGGCGCAUGCGAGCUUGAUAAACAGGAUUGGAAGCAACAGCAAUGGCGCUGAUAUUGUCACACCAGAGACGAGGUGGCUGUAAUGGUAGAUAUAAAUCACGGAAUAGAUUUCGAAACCAUGAUAGAUGGGCAGAAGUAUAGGCAAGUUGACGAUACUCCGCCUCUGUGCUGGACCGGGACACUCCACGUUGCUUUUUCGAACUCCAGGAAAUUAAAUUAUCUCCAAGAAAUAUGCAGUGACCUCCAGUGGAACGACGGUCAUCAGGGUCGCCGGCGUAGUCAGCGUCAGCGAAGGCAGUUAGAGUGAGGGGACUGGGUUUGUAAAUUAAGCCAUGAUCAUGUGUGCCUUUCAAAUACCGUAAGAUGCGUUUGACUGCAGCCCAAUGUGCAGUAGUUGGAGAGUGCAUGAACUGACACACUUGGUUGACAGCGUAAGCAAUAUCAGGACGUGUAAAUAGAAGAUAUUGAAGGGCGCCCACAACACUGCGAAAAGAAGAUCCAUCUGAGAGAGGCUCUCCAUCAUAUAAACUCAAGCGUGUUGUGUGAACCGUCGUAGGCCACUGAAGCUCAAGGGAAAUUUUAUAGGAUGGCAAUAAGGCCAGCGAUGUUGUAUGGCACAGAAUGUUGGGCGGUGAAGCAUCAACACGUACACAAAAUGGGUGUAGCGGAGAUGAGGAUGCUUCGUGGGAUGUGUGGGCACACGAGAAAGGAUAAGAUUGGGAAUGAGGAUAUCCGAGGUAAAGUAGGAGUAGCCGAAAUUGUAGGAAAGAUGAGAGAAAAUCGGCUCCGGUGAUUUGGACAUGUGCAAAGAAGGCCGACUGACGCUCCGGUUCGAAGAUGUGACUACGGGACAGAGGUUCAGGGCCGAAGGGGUAGAGGAAGACCUAGGAAAAUUUUGGAAGAGACUCUAAGAAAAGACUUAGAGUACUUGGAUCUAACGGAGGACAUGACACAAAAUUGAGCGCAAUGGCGUUCUAGGAUUCAUAUAGCCGACCCCACUUAGUGGGAAAAGGCUUUGUUGUUGUUGUUGUUGUUGUUGUUGUUCGUUGCGCACUCUGAUAUUCAACUGUCCUGAGGUUAUUGCUCAAUAAGUAUGACCCCCAAAUUCCCAAACCGUAUCAAACAUGUAUAUGGUGAGAUCUUGGAAACCUACUUUUCAUCACAACUUUUGUUUUUUACCAUGUAACACUCACACCGUCACGUAAUAUUGUUGUUUCACUCAUAUUUUUUAAUCAUUAAUACUCACACCGCUAUUUAGUAUUACCAAUUCAGUCCUGUCAUAACACAUGUAUUUUUUAUGGGAAACCAUUUUUCUCGUUUAUGCACCUUUGUUUGUUUCUAAUCUUUAAAAUUUAUGAUCCUUUAUUCUUCUUUUUAAAUAUAAAAAAUAAACAUGAUUGUGUAUGAGAAGAACAAAGACGUUCAGAAAUCAUUUCCUUGUUUAUUAAUAAUAUAAUCGUUCCAUAAAAUAUCAGUUAUAUCGUAAGAUGUGGAUUAACAAUACUUUGUCACAACAUGAACAGUUUGGAUAUGUGUACGCUUUGUAGAGACCAUAGGUUUUUUCCCAUUUAUCCAAUCAUUUUUCUACAUGUAAGUUGAUCUGUCACAUUUGAUUUGCCUUCCUUGUGGGAUAAAAGACUAUAAAUGCGCGGAGACCUCAAUGAUAAAUGCAGAUGGGAACAAGCUAGACGAGAGGUGAAGAAAUAUGGGGCCAGAAAAGACCAAUAUUGAGGUAUUAUAUAUAUAGUUGAGAAUAUGAUAGUGUUAUCCACACAUUUUUUUACCUUUCAUAUACUUUUAUGUUAAUUUAUAUAUUUUCAUCUUUUUUAAUUAUUUGAUCCGACAGCCAAAUAUUGAAAAAUGUCUGUAAAAGAUAAAAAAGAGUGUGUAGAUAAUACCACUCCGAAAAUAUAAGUGUGAACACGGAAAAUUCCUGAAACGAAAGAAACAAGAACGACGUGCACAAACAAAUAUUAUGUAUUUGAUGAUUUUGGAUUACAAUCUCUCUUAAAUUUGAUCAUCUGAUUCAAUCUCCGUAAGGUGUGUAUUUGUGGAUGUGCGAUUGAUCCAAAGGGCCGUUUGGGCUUGAUCUAAGGAUGAACGUUCUUCAAGGGCCGUGGACUUGAUCUUGAAGGUGGAUUUGAGCGGAUCUUCAAAUGGGCUUUUGGGCUUGAUCUUUGAAGAACAAUGAUGAACGGAUCUCCAAGGGCUUUUGGGCUUGAUCUUGAAGAACGAUGAACGAAGAACGAAGAACACUUUCUUCAAGGGCCGAAGGGCUUUAUCCUGAAGGUGGAUGAUUGUUGAUCCAAGGGGCCGUCGGGGCUUGAUCUUGGAAGAAUGAUGAACGAUGGUGCUUUCUUCAAGGGUCGUCGGGGCUUGAUCUUGAAUUGGUGGAAGUUCUUCAAGGGCCGUUGGGGCUUGAUCUUGAGGAUUGGUGGAUGAUUGUUGAUCCAAAGGGCCGUUGAGGCUUGAUCUUGGAAGAACGAUGAACGAAGAACGAAGAAGGCUUUCUUGAUUCUUCGGGAACCUGGAUGCUUGAGAGCUUCAGAGUUUCAGAGCUUCAGGGCUUCCAGGUGUAAUAUGAAUUGGUUCCUCCCCCCAAAUGAAUGAAAUGGGCUUGUAUUUAUAGAAUUUUCCAAGGCCUAAUUUUGAAUAUAAUAUCCCAGAUGAAAUAAGUCGUUUCUGCCAGGUGUUGACACGUGUCCUAUUUGAUGACUUUUCCAACUCAUUUCAAUUUUCGUUUAAUCACACGCUACAUGUAAAAUUUAUGUAAUACAUGAGCGUUGACACUUUGAUUUAUCGGUCAACAUUUAUUUACCGAAAUUUCGAUGUCUACAAAUGCCCCCACUUCAAGGCACGUCAUAUACAUGUGCUUGUCACGUGUAGGAGAUGCGUUUUGAAGUCCCUUACUGUAGAUGUCGAUCCAAGGGCCAUCGAGGCUUGAUCUUGAAUUGGGCUGGAGAUUUCUUCAAGGGCCGUUGAGGCUUGUUCUUGAACUUUUAUUUGAAAUUUCUUCAAGGGCCGUCGAGGCUUGAUCUUGAGGGUUGAAAUUGGACCACAAGGAGCUUCAUGUGGUAGAUCAUCUUUAGAUUUGGUAGUGGGUGAAUCGGCACGUAUUUUGUUGCGCUUGUUGACUUUCCACAGCUUUGAUCUUGAACUGGGUUGAAGGAUUUUCUGGAUUCCUCCAAUUGUUGAUUUUCCACAGCUUAUUCUUGAACUAGGUUUUGAUUCAAGGGUGGUAGACACUUAAUCUUGAAUCGGACUUGUGAUUUCUUCCAGGGCCGUCGAGGCUUGAUUUUGAAUUUGGCUGGAAGCUUCUUCAAGGGCCGUUGAGGCUUGAUUCUUGAAGGCUGACUCGAACACAUGGCAAGCAGGCACGAGGUGAAGGUGACGACUUGUUGCUUUGUUCAAUCUUUCUAAUUCACACCUGAGCAGUUUGGUCAACGGUAUGAUCUUCAAGAUUGAUGGGCUCUUCUUCCAGUUGGUGACUUGGUCUUUAAGGAUUUGAUUCAAGGGUGGUGAAUCGGCACGUGCAGCCCACAACGCCUAGUAAGUCGACCCAAGAAUUUGAGGGUCAAAACGAGUUCACCGUCCUCAGGCAGAUGCGGCAUCUUCUCGAGUUCUUCAUCUCAGACUCUUUUUGCUGAGUUGACUGUGCAUGCUGCAUUCUUCUCUGCUUGUUUCUUCAGGCAGAUGUGGCAGCUUCUCGAGUUCCUCAGUUCGGACUCCUUCUGCUGAGUUGACCGUGCAGACCGCAUUCUUCUCUGCUUGUUCCUUCUGCACCUUGUCUCCACAUGCUGCAAGGUAUCAUUUUCACUUGCCUUAUCUGUCCUCCAGGCAGAUGUGGCAGCUUCUUUGAAAGUACAGCAGCGGUGGAAGGCGAGUACUCGAGAGCAGUGCUAGGUAGGCAAUCAGGGAAGGGUUCCAAGCAGUCGGUUCCUUACCCGAGUUUGAGUGGAAGUUCCAGCAUAUUGUUUUCUUUAUCCUUGUCUUUGUAGGUAGGAACAAGGACAAAGGAAAUGACAGGGACAACGCAUGUUAUGAGAUACUCUUGCUUUCUACCCUGGUGAUAUGAGAUACUUUUGCUUUGGAGUCAUUAGCUUGCAGAGGUACCCCAAGGAAUAAGGAACACUGAAUGACUCGAGAGGUUUCGUUGGGAAAACAUUUUUUGAGAUGAAGAAAGGCUCUGUAUGUCUGCCUUGCUAUGGAAGGCGAAGGUAGACAAUUAUAGGAAGUUCUUUGAUACCUGUAGAGGUACUAUUCUUUCACUCGUGUCGGCAACCGAUGCGUGAUUGAUCUAUAUAGCUUCACGUGCUUGUUUCUUUAUUAGAAAUUUUUGACAAAUUGUACCUCUUCUUUCUUCAACACUUUGAAAAUGUCAGGACCCUUCGAUCGUCGUUUUGACUUGAAUCUUGGUGAAGAGGCAGUCCCGCCUUCUCCAGACAACAUAUGGCGCCCAUCAUUCAUAUCCCCUACUGGUCCUCUUACCGUUGGGGAUUCGGUGAUGAAGAAUGAUAUGAUCGCUGCGGUGGUGGCCCGGAAUCUUGUCACUCCCAAAGAUAAUAGACUACUUUCCAGGCGGUCUGAUGAGUUGGCUGUUAAGGAGUCUCUGGCUCUUAGUGUGCAGUGUGCGGGUUCCGUGUCCAACAUGGCCCAACGCCUAUUUGCUCGAACCCGUCAAGUUGAAUCGUUGGCGGCUGAAGUGAUGAGUCUCAAACAGGAGAUUAGAGGGCUUAAGCAUGAGAAUAAACAGUUGCACAAGCUCGCACAUAACUAUGCCACAAACAUGAAGAGGAAAAUUGACCAGAUGCAGGAAUCUGAUGGUCAGAUUUUACUUGAUCAUCGGAGGUUUGUGGGUUUGUUCCAACAACAUUUGCCUUCGUCUUCUGGGGCUGUACCGCGUAGUGAAGCUCCGAAUGAUCAACCUUUGGCUCCUCUUCUUCCUGGAGUUCCGCCGAGUGGUGAGGCUUCAAACAGUCAACCUCCAGCGCCUCUCAUUUCUGGAGCUCUGUCGAGUGGUGAGGUGGCGCCUGAUCGUCCUUGAAGAUCCCCUCUUGUAAAUUUGAUUUGAUUUGAUUUUUUUUUUUUAAGGUAUGUAUAAUGCAAAUUUAUGUAAAAUUUCCAGAAAAAUAAAUAAAAUGGACUUUAUUUCUCUCAAUGCAAUUUCUUUUUUUUUUUGCUAUAUAUAUAUUAUGUACACACAUAUAUAUAUAUAUAUAUAUAUAUCUAUAUAUAUUAUUUCUUUUUCUUUUGGCGCUGUACAACCAUCCCCUUUUUUUUCUUUUGUUUUUUUUUCUUUUUCUUUUGGCGCUGUACAACCAUCCCUUUUUUUUUCUUUUGUUUUUUUCUCUUUUUCUUUUGUCACAUGGUGCCAGACGCACCAAAGAUCUUUUUUUUUUCUCUUUUAUUAUUAUUAUUAUAUAUAUAUAUAUAUUUUUUUUUUGCCUUUAAUUAUGGUGCCAGAUGCACCCUCCCCUUUUUUUUAUAUGGUGCCAGACGCAUCAUGCAUUUUUAUUAUUAUUAUUAUUAUUAUUAUUAUUAUUAUUAUUUUCUUUUUCUUUUGGUGCUGGAUGCACCAAGUUCCAUCAUCAUUUUUUUUUUCUUUUUCUUUUUGCACAUGGUGCCCAUGCACUACCAGGAACUUUUGAUCUGCCAUGGGGCUGUUCCCCAUCUUUGAUCCACCAUCCCAUUUUCUAUUAUUAUUUUUUUGUAUAAAUUUCGAUGAUGGGCUGGGGAAUUUACAGGGAGCGGAGCAAGGAGGAGAGGAUGGGGAGUUGGAGAGGGCUUCGGAGCACCGGUGCUUCAGCCAUGGAGGGCACGAGGUCGUCAGUGCCAUAUUUCGUCGUCUGCUGGAAUAGUCUAGGGAGCGAGCUUCUUGCAGUGGGCACACCGCGAUGCGUAGAACUGAACGACGAUGAUGACGGUUCCUUGUUGUCGUGACCUUUGGCGGAUGGAGUGAGAGUCCUAACUUUGAGUUCGAGGGCUGUGAGGACGUGGUUUGACGGAGAUCUUGCCAUCGUCGUUGGAAUCGAAGCUUUUGAAGACCUUUCUGGUCUCCUCGGCGACGAAGCUGCACUCGUCGAUGCGAGCAGGCGGCGGAACGGUGGUGGCUGCAACGCUGUGAUCUCUUGAAGUCCCUGCAGCUUGUCUUGAAUGCACGUACCAAGCAAACCGCCCGGAAAUCGACGGAGGCAAGGCCCCAAGGAAGCAGCUGGCCACCAAGGCAGCCUGGAAGUCUGCUCCGGCGACCGGAUGAGUGAAGAAGCCUCACCGCUUCAGGCCGGGAACGGUGGCGCUGAGAGAUCAGGAAGUACCAGGAGAGCACGGAGCUCCUGAUCCGUAAGCUGCCAUUCCAAAGGCUGGUGAGGGAGAUCGCCUAAGACUUCAAGACCGAUCUGAGGUUCCAGAGCAGCGCCGUGGCGGCGCUCCAGGAGGCGGCGGAGGCGUACUUGGUGGGACUGUUCGAGGACACCAACCUAAACAACUUUUAAAGAGCAUCGAGCCAUUGCUAAAGCGGAAGAGCCUGGCGGACGGCGUUUGGGUUCGAGCCAAAAAGGAGAUGAUGUCGGUAUCUUUACUCAGCCCUUGCCUCUCGGAGCCGUCGCUUUGCUCGGCCUCGGCGCAUCUGUCCUCAUCUAACACUCGAAAAUAUUCCUCUUUUCUCAUAGUUCCCUGUUCUUGAGCUCUGUACCCUUCUUCACAUGACUCAUCUUUUUCGGGAAUCACUUCAGGUGGCUGAAAGGCACCCUGACUGGGAGCGCUUCGUUCAUACGGUUGUGGGUUUUCAUCAGGAACAUAUCCCAGAUCCAAGAGUAUCCUAGCCUGACCAAAAUCCACCAGCUUGAGAACUCCAUCGUCCCUAAUCAACAAUUUACAGGGCUUCAAAUCGCGGUGGACCACCAAAUUCUGAUAACACGAGUCAACCUCCGAUAGGAUUUGCAACUUCCACCGCUUGAUCUCGGACAUGUUGGAUGCUAGUUUCUUGUGAGUCGACUAGGUCCAGAGGGAGCGGAUCUCAUCGGAACCAAGAUUCUGUGUGGUCGCGUACUGCUGAUGCACGUGCUGGAACAGAAUUGCUUCAGCGAGAGCUUGUUCCUGGACCAGAGCGUCGUCGAGCUUCUUUUUUCCGGAAGGAUCGGACACGGCUCCAGUGGUUGCUGGAAUUGGGUUUUGGCGGUGGACUGUAGCGGGAAGCACUAGUUGGAGCAGUGCCUGGUGCGAAUUUGUUUCAACGAGCCAACGCUUCAAUGGACCGACAGAUCGGAGCAUGGAAUGGAUCCGCCGCCAUUUCUCAAAUCACAGUUGGAUCGCGCGGAGCACCCCCUCUCUAUCUGUAAAUGAUUUCAGAAGCUUUGCCGCUCGCAGCUCAACCGCUCGCAGGUGGUGUUUUAUUUGUAGACGAAGACGAGUUCACUGAGUCACAAUUGAAUCCUUCAUCAUCUUCAGCUACUCUUGCCGCCAUGGACGAGUUGCUCGAGCUCUGCAACUCUUAUGUCCCUCCAUUGUUGUCGCGAGAACGGCUUGGUAUCUUUUCCGGUCAGGGUAAGCAUGUGCUCUCCAGAUUUCUUCACAUCACCGCCAGUGUAUGGGACGGCGUGCGAUGCCAUUGUCGGUUGGUGCUCUUUUAGCUGCUGCUCGGGCGGGCCACGAGAGUUGGGCUCUUGGCAUCUGGGCCUGUGAAAUGGAGGGAGGCCUGGGCCUGGAAGAAGAAGAAGCAGACAUUUUGGCGAAGGGAUAGGCCUGGCAUUUGGGUCUUUUGCUGACAUUUUGAUUUUUUUUUUAUUUUGAUUUUUUUUAUUAUUAUUUUAUUAAUUUUUUUUUUUGAAGCUGUAAUAAAUGAAUAUAUUUUUUGUAAAUACAUAAAACAUAUGUAUUUUUUUUUCUUUUCUUUAAUAAAACAUUUUUUUUAUUUUGAUAUGACUGAACUCGAAAUUAAAUAUUACAGCUGCCUACGUACCCUUUCAAAGAAAGAGAUCAAGUCAAAACGUAUUCAAAUACAUACAUAUUUUUUUGGUAUAUUUUUUUUUUGUGCCGUUUGCAGUUUUAACUCAUGCAGGCAAGGAGUGUUGGUGCCGUGUUGCAGUUUUAGCUCGUGCAGGCAAGGAGCGUUGGUGUCGCCUUUUAUGCUCGUGCAGACGAGGAGCGUUGGUGUUGCCUUUUAUGCUCGUGCAGACCAGGGGCGUUGUGCCAUGCAGUUUAGACUCGUGCAGGCGAGGAGCGUUGUGCCAUGCAGUUUAGGCUCUUACAGACAAGGAGCUUUGGUGUCACCUUUUAUGCUCGUGUAGACGAGGAGCUUUGGUUCGUGCAGUUUAGGCUCGUGCGAACAAGGAGCAUUGUGUCCUACAGUUUAUGCUCGUGCGGACAAGGAGCUUUUGUUGAUUUUGUCAAGCAAUUUUGGAAAGGCGUUCCUCACAAUCUUCAUAGCAAGGACCCUUGACCGCGUAAUUGAAGAAGUCUUCGGGUAAGAAGUCGCGCAUCGUGAUGGCCACAGACGAUCUUUGUGUCGUAAUUUCAUCCUUUUCAACACGUUCACAUUGCUUUGAAGGUUGACAAGAGCUGAUUUGCCCCCUUUCCGAUUGGCGGAGUUGUGGAGGGGACGUAUGCUUCUUGUGUCAUUUCUUAGGAGUGACUUGAGUCCAUCCUUCAAUUUUGCUUGUCUUGGAGGAUGCCCCCAUCGGUUGAGGUGAAAACUUCGAGUCGGAAGAGCCAGGAGUGAAGGUGGUAUAGUUUAUGUUCACCACAUCGUCAAGAUCUAGCUCGAUGAUUUCUUUCUGAGCCAGCUUCAUGAUGAGAUCUUUCAGCAAGAAACAUUUUUCUGUCGGAUGACUGAUGAAGCGGUGGAAUUUACAGUACCUUGGACUGUCAGUGCGAUUCAUCUCUUCUGGCCGUUUGCACUCAGGUAAACUAAUCACCUUCUUUUCCAGCAAGUCUUCUAACAUGGCAACCGCAUCAGAGUCGGGGAAUGGAUAAGUUUUCUCCUCAAGCUCCUUCAAAGUGCGUCUACGCAUCUCUUGAUCACGAAAGCCUUCGGCUUGAAUCGCCUUGCCUCGUGUAGGGAUUUUGACGGGAGCUGUGUUGACUGUCAUUGCUUCUUUGGUGGAUUUCCACGUAGCCUUCUCCACCUUUGUCUCAAGAACUUUGUCGUUCUUGUAGUUGGCGAUUGGUUCCUUCUUCCCAUGAUGGGGCGAUGCUCAACUCCAUGUCAUGGGCGCGGGUGGCCAAUUCCUCGAAGGUCCGUGGUUUAAUGCCUUGAAUGAUGUAUUGCAAACCCCAUUGCAUGCCUUGGAUGCACAUCUCGAUUGAAGAGGUUUCCGAGAGCCUGUCUUUACAGUCGAGGCUUAGAGUGCGCCAUCUGUUGAUGUAGUCAAUGACUGGCUCGUCCUUCCACUGCUUUGUGCUCGUUAACUCUAGCAUGCUCACAGUGCGGCGGGUGCUGUAGAAGCGAUUGAGGAAUUCCCGCUCUAAUUGCUCCCAGCUGCUGAUGGACUCGAGCUCUAGGUCCGUGUACCACUCAAAGGCGUUUCCUUUUAGCGAGCGCACAAACUGCUUGGCAAGGUAGUCCCAUUCGGUCCCUGCGUUGUUGCAAGUUUCAACAAAAUGGGCAACGUGCUGUUUCGGGUUUCCUUUUCCAUCAAACUGCAUGAACUUUGGUGGUUGAUAACCCCUUGGCAUCUUCAGGGCAUCAAUCUUCUUGGAGUAGGGCUUCGAGUAGAACAAGGAGGUAUGUGAGCUCCCUUCGUACUGUGCCUUGAUGGUGUUGGUGAUCAUCUCCUGCAGCUGCUGGAUAGAAAGAGAUCCCAUGAGUGCCGCUGCUUGGUCUGGCUCCGGCUUCGCAUCGUUUUUCUUCACCGGGGGUUCUUUGUCUCCGCCAGCUCCUCCCUUUGGUGGAUCAUCCUCUGGGUCGGGUUUAUCGCCGUCCUGCGCCUCCAGUCGGUUAACUAGUGCUGCAAUUUGCAAGUCUUUUUCUUCCACAGUUCGGGUUAGCCUUGCGAUUGCUUCAUUCAUUUGAGCCAGCUGCUCAUCGAUUGAAGUUGCUCCAAUGGUCAUGACUUGCAUGGCUGAACUGUCGCUUGAAUCGGCAUCGGAGAGCAUGGAUUCAGAGUAUUUCCUUGGGCUUUCCUCCCUUGGUGCCCUUAGUGAGGCUAAGGUGAUCAAAGGCUCGUGCCUUGGGUGCUUUUGUUCCCUUGGCAGAGUUGAUGCAGAGGUGAAAGAGGCGGCGGAAGUAGCUCUUGCCAUGCUUCGAGUCGUGAUGCCCAAAGUGACACCAUUUGCGACGAGGACGCUUUUGUUCUUUGCGCCGGUUGCGGGAACAGUUUGAGCCUUCCUUGAUGCCAUUAAUUUUGGAAGUGCGCUUGAAUUUCUUGAACGGAGAAAGAGAUGAGAGGUAGAGAUUGUCCCACCGGGCGUGCCAAUUUGUGAACACGGAAAAUUCCUGAAACGAAAGAGACAAGAACGACGUGCACAAACAAAUAUUAUGUAUUUGAUGAUUUUGGGUUACAAUCUCUCUUAAAUUUGAUCCUCUGAUUCAAUCUCCGUAAGGUGUGUAUUUGUGGAUGUGCGAUUGAUCCAAAUGGCCGUUUGGGCUUGAUCUAAGGAUGAACGUUCUUCAAGGGCCGUGGACUUGAUCUUGAAGGUGGAUUUGAGCGGAUCUUCAAAGGGGCUUUUGGGCUUGAUCUUUGAAGAACAGUGAUGAACGGAUCUCCAAGGGCUUUUGGGCUUGAUCUUGAAGAACGAUGAACGAAAAACGAAGAACACUUUCUUUAAGGGCCGAAGGGCUUUAUCCUGAAGGUGGAUGAUUGUUGAUCCAAGGGGCCGUCGGGGCUUGAUCUUGGAAGAAUGAUGAACGAUGGUGCUUUCUUCAAGGGCCGUCGGGGCUUGAUCUUGAAUUGGUGGAAGUUCUUCAAGGGCCGUUGGGGCUUGAUCUUGAGGAUUGGUGGAUGAUUGUUGAUCCAAAGGGCCGUUGAGGCUUGAUCUUGGAAGAACGAUGAACGAAGAACGAAGAAGGCUUUCUUGAUUCUUCGGGAACCUGGAUGCUUGAGAGCUUCGGAGUUUCAGAGCUUCAGGGCUUCCAGGUGUAAUAUGAAUUGGUUCCUCUCCCCAAAUGAAUGAAAUGGGCUUGUAUUUAUAGAAUUUUCCAAGGCCUAAUUUUGAAUAUAAUAUCCCAGAUGAAAUAAGUCGUUUCUGCCAGGUGUUGACACGUGUCCUAUUUGAUGACUUUUCCAACUCAUUUCAAUUUUCGUUUAAUCACACGCUACGUGUAAAAUUUAUGUAAUACAUGAGCGUUGACACUUUAAUUUAUCGGUCAACAUUUAUUUACCGAAAUUUCGAUGUCUACAAUAAGGAUUUCGCCAUCAUUUUUAUAAAUUUGUUUGUAGUCUUGCUUGCUCAUGUUCAAAAUGUGUGGCAUACGCCAACUAGCCAAGGGGCUUGUAAGCUUCCACGCACCCUCAAAUACACGUAUUCGAGUCCACACUGUGAAUCGGAUUAGGAGAAAAAGUAAAUCAUUUUAGCACUGACGUUUUCUCUUUCUGCACUUAUUUCUUUGUUUUGUCUCUUAAUUUCUUUUUUGAAUUUAUUAAAUCUAACUACUAGAAAAGAAAAUGAGUGUAGGGAAAAAGAAAGCGAGUACAUUGUUUUCCAUAAGAGAAUAACAUUUUUGUACGCGCUCAUCUCAACUUUUCACAUGACUUAUAUCUCAUAUUAAGUUAGAUACAACAUGGGGAUAUAAAACCGUUUUAGGAAGAAAAAAAAAUGGAUAUAAUGGGAUAUCUCUCUUUUCUUUCUGUAUAAUAACAUGAGCGGAUCACAUGAUGAGCAGGGCCGGCCUUGAGAUUUCAAGAACUCUGUGCAAAAGUGAAUUUGAGGUCCUAAAAAGUACAAAAAAUUUAAUUUUUUUUUAUUUUUUUGUUCAAAAAAUUAACAAGUGGAUAUGUGGCAUAUUGUUUUUCCUUAACUAUUUAGAGGGUCAGGGUUCGAAUUUUCAUGUUAUUGUGUGAAAAUUUUAUAUUAUUUUGUGAAAGCUUAUGCAUUUAAUAAAAAUAAACUGAAAAAAUGAUGAACACAAGUUUUGAACCCAUCCCUUAGGCCAAUAUAAAGAAGCAAUAAUACCACUUGCGCUAAGACUCAAGUUUGUUAAAUUCUAUACAUAAUACUCUAUAUACGUAUAUGCAUGCAAAAUUGAAAAGUCAGGGGCCUUCCAAUUUAGGGGUCCUGUGCGGUGGCACCACUUGCACCCCCUCAAGGUCGGCUCUGAUGAUGAGAAAUAUAAAGGUAACAGUAUGGUCGAUUGCAUGAAAGAAUAUCUCUCAUUUCAUUUAUUUUUCUGUCAUAUCAAUCCUUACCCACAAACUCGGCUCAAUGUGACUUGGAACUAAUAGUCAUUGCGGCUAUAUUAAUUAGUUUGAUUACAAAUUUCCAUCCAAAUUGGUGUUGUCUAGACUUAUUGUUUGUCAAGGGAUUGACUAAUGACUAGGGAUAUAUAGCUUAGGAAUUAAUACAUCGAAUUCACAUCCAAUCAAGUGUCAAAGAAAUUACAAAAAUAAAGUUUCUUAUUAAGUUGGUUAGAUCAGUGUGUUUUUUUCUCUACAUUUACAAUUUAGAUUAAUUUAGUGUACUCUUUCGGGUCCGUCCUAAAAAUUAGUGCAUGAUUACUUUUUAGAGUGAACUUCUUAUGUUCCCCAAGUUUUAUUAAAUUAUAAAAUUUAUAAAUUAACAACGAAAUUCAAAUGAUUGUAUAUACCAAAUAAAAAUUAGAUUAUGAUAUGAGUUCAUGUUUGACAUUGUUGAUAUCUCGGUUGUGUGAAAUCUAUAAGUCUAGCAACUCAUGUUGUGGCCAUUGGUGAAUGCAGGAUUUAGAAGAAGGUUUCGUUUGAUUUAUUAAGAUAUUUUUAAGGGUAAAUUACAUUUUCAUACAUCAAGUUUGGGCUCUAUUUCAAAUUUUAACAUCUUUAAAACAUUUCACUUUCAUACCCUAAGUACUAUUUUAUUUCAAAAUAAUACAUCCGUUACAUUUUCCAUCCAUAGAUCCGUUAAGUGCUGACGUGGCUGCCAGAUAUAUGCCACGUGGCUGCCAAAUGUGUGCCACGUGGCAAAAAAAAUAUUUUUUUUAAUUUUAAUUUUUUUUAAAACCUGAAUUUUCUAUAUAAAAAAAAACCAUUAUCCAAAAAAAAAAACAAACAAACAAACUGCAACCCAGUUUGCAGUUCGUUCCCCCCCCCCACCCGAAUCCCACCCGAGCCACCCCUCUCUCCCAUCCCCCAUCACCCACCCUCAAAAUCCCACCCGAGAUUAGGUGGAUCUACCACAAAACCAAUCCAAAAAUCAUCUCAAACUCAAAAUCCCCAAGAUGAAUCUACCACAAAACCACCCGAGAUUAGGUGUGAUUCGAGGUCUCUGUGCAAGGGAGGUGGGUCGCGGGGGUUGGGGGGUGGUGAGGCCAUCUCCAACCGAUGGCUGGCCAGAUGGCUCGUUUUAGCCCUCUGGUCCUCCAAGAUUCUCCAAGAUAUUAAUAUUUUAAUGAACAGUACAUGGCCAUAUUUGCCUCCGUCUCCAACCGAGGGCCAGAGGGCCAGAGGGCUCGUUAUAGCCCUGUCACAAAAAACCGUCUCCAAUCGAGGGCCAAAUGGCCAAACAUAAUUUAUUAUUUAAAACUACAAUUUAAAUUCAAGUUAUAGGAAAAAAAUAGAAUUUAAAAAAAAUUAUUAAAAUAGAAGUUAUAGGAAAAAAUAGAAUUUGAAAAAUAUAAUUUAUUAAAAAAAUAUGAACCAAAUUUUGUAAAAUAUAAGUUAUAGGAAAAAAAUAGAAUUUAAAAAAAUUUGAAACCAAUUUUGUAAAAUAGAAGUUAUAGGAAGUUAUAGAAGAAAAGAAAUGUUUAAAUUAAAAAAAAAAAAAAAAAAAAAAAAAAACCCAAUGGCUAGCUAACUCAGCUAGCCGUUAUAUUAAAAAAAAAAUUCAAACUAUUAGUGUUGGUUAUAACCGACACUAAUAGUAAAUAAAAAAAAUGUGCCUAUGAAUACCUAUUACUGUCGGUUAUAACCGACAGUAUUAAAAAAUCUUAUUUAAUGUUGUCGGUUAUAACCGACAGCAAUAGGAAAACUAUAAAAAAAAAAUAGCCAGCCCGGGGCUGGCUGGCUGGCCAAAAGCAGCCAGCCCUUUGGCCCUUUGGCCGUUUGAAAUUUCGUGGGGCCCUCCCAGAUUCCCGUGCCCUCUGGCCCUCUAGACCAUUCGGUAAGAGAUGGCCUGAGGGGAGGUUGGUAGCUGGGUCGCGGGCGUGGGGUGGGGGACGAACUGAGUUGCAGGUUUUUUUUUUUCCUUCCUCUACUUCUUGUUGUUGCAGGUGGGGAACUGGUGGGGGUGUUUUUUAUUUUUUCUUUCUCUUCUUCUUCUUCUUCUUGCAGGUGGGGAAAUGGGUUUGGGUUUUUUUUUGUUUUUUCUUCUCCCUCUUCCUCUUCUUCUUCUUCUUCUUCUUCUUACAGGUGGGGAACUGUGGUGGUGGUGGGGGGGAGGGGGGGAACGAACUGCAAACUGGGUUGCAGCUUGUUUUUUUUUUUUUUUUUUUUUUUUGUUCUUUUCUUUCUUCCUCUUCCUCUUCUUCUUGCAGGUGGGGAGCUGGGGGGUGGGGGACGAACUGAGUUGAAUUGGUGGGGGGGGGGGGAACGAACCGCAAACUGGGUUGCAAUUUGUUUGUUUUUUUUUUUUUUUUUUUUUUUUUGAGAAAAUUCAGGUUUUUUUAAAAUAACGUCAACACUUAACGGAUCCAUGUAUGGAAAAAACAAAUGUAUUAUUUUGAAAUAAAUUAAUACUUAGGGUAUGAAAGUGAAAUGUUUUAAAGAUGUUGUAAAAAAUUGAAAUAGAGCCCAAACUUGAUGUAUGAAAAUGUAAUUUACCCUAUUUUUAAUGUGACCACAACUACUUUUACGUUGCAUUACAAAUUUAAUCAUGCUAUAAAAUAUGUGUUUGUUUAUAAAAGUGUAAAUUUACUAUUUAUAUAUUAUAAUAAAUAUAUUAAUAACAUCACGUGAUAGAUACGUCAAAUUAUCAUCGAGCCGACCACGUUUGAUGUUUUUUUAAGCCAACUUUCCACAAGUUGUCCAUCAAAUCUGCUUCGUCGCGAAGAUGGAACAACAACAGCAAAACUUCAUGUAGUGUAGUGUGCCUGGAAUGGAAGGUCCAUGUCACGUGGGGAAGCGACGAGACACGUGGCAGCAUUUGCAGCCGUAUGAGCACCCAAGGAUCACGUGGACACGUGUCGCAAUGUCGGUCGGGAGAGCUACCAUGGUUUUUGUGGUGGCUGCAAGGGGCCUCAUCCACCCGCUAGGGUUGGGAUGGGAGGGUCCAUUCCAACUCCUGCAACAAAGAAUCUCAAGGAAAUAUUUCCCCUCCCUCUCGCUCUCAGUAGUAAUUGAGUUUACAUGUAAAUGUCCAUUACGAAUGAAAUAUCGGAAGGAAAAAUAAAGGUUUUCGUAGUGUGUUUUGGUCAGAAAAACAUAUUUGAAGAAUCACUUUCAAGUGCUUAUCCAUAUGCACACUUUAUAACUGAAGUGUUUUUUCACAGUGGUCGUCUCAAAUAUACUCUAAAUGAUUCAUUUAAACCAAGUUUUCAGCAAGAAAGAAAACUGAAACAAAUCCAAUUUUGCAAUAUUUGCCUCUUAUUAGUUAAUUGCGAGUUCAUGAUUAGUCAAUAUGUAGAUAGAGACUGAUUUCUCAUGUCAAACAUUCAAGCAUGUUAUAUUGUUGAAUCUUAGGCCUUGUUUGGUAGCCCGUAUAACAGACCGGAUAGGAUAACUAAAACGGUUCCAGGUGUUUGGUGCUGUUUUGUACUAAAUAAUAUUCGUACUAAUUAUACUGACCCCACACCUUUUAUACGGUACAUACCUGCUAAGUUAUCCAACCAAAAAGCUCUGUCUUAUUAGUCGGGUAGUCUCGCCCUCUCUGUUCCUCCCGUCGCUCGCCCGUCGCUCGCUCUACUCCUCUCACAUCGCUUGCUCUCUCCUUUGAAUCCAAGGUUCUUCCUCCUCUUCUGAAUAUGAGGUUCUUCUUCCUCCUCUCUGUUCCUCCCUCCUCCUAUUUUUCUUGCAAUUUUUCUUCUUCUCUCUCUGUUCUGCCCUCCUAUUUUUCUUCCAACUUUUUUUUUUUCAAUCAGAUUGAAUCUGAUUGUUGUUUUUUCUCUCUAAUUUUGCAAUUGAUUUUAUAAAUUUUCAAGUGCUAAAGAACCCAUCUGCCUCCUUUGGGUCAUAUCCUUCAUAACCAUUCUAUUUAGUUGGGCUGAUUUGAAGCUAAAAAAAAAGAGAGAAGGAUUGGGAAAAAAAUGAUGAGAAUUUGGAAGGUGGGUUUUGCUAGGUUUCUUGUUGUUGCCUUUGUGGUGGAGUUUGGUUUAAGGGAGCAGACGAAGAAGAACAAGGGAGAGGGAGGGAGGGAUUUGGGGGGUGCGGCGGAGAGAUCCGGGGAACAAAAGAGAGAUUUCAGUUUUUUUUUUAAAUUUUAUUUUAAGUUUGAUUCUCCUAUCCAGUGUAAUACCAAACACAGUAUAAAUAAUACGGUCAUUAAUCCGAUACUGCACCAAACACCCAACUAAUUUAAUCAGCACUAUCCGGUGACUAUUUAUCCUAUCCGACAGAAAUAGCCAGUACAAUCCGAGCUGCCAAACGAGGCCUUAAUGCAUUCAAUCAUGCUCAGAAUUGUGGUGUAAGAACAUACACAUUAAAGGUGUCAAACGAAUAGGUUGACGUCAACUUGUUAAAUUAAGGCAUCACCAUCCCAAUCCGUUUUAAAGCGGCCCUAGCUUAUAACAAGCGCUAGGUCGAGAUUAUGCCCAACAGGUCAACCCAACCUGUUUUCUAAGUGGGCCAACUCAAGUACGACUCAAACACGCAUACUCCAACUUGAAACCGAGAUGUCCAUUUGACACUUUGUUAAAGCUCAAAAAGUAGAAUAAUUAGCCCUUGGUAGGCUUGGAAUUGAAACUAAAAUGAAAUGGACUCAGAAUUUAAGUGGUUCACCCCAAAACAAGACUACACCUGCUGUGUUGCUUAGAUUUUAUUGAUUUCAAAGUUUACAAAUAGCGUUCGGCUAAAUACUAGAAUUCUAUCUCCCUUAAGUUGUCUGACCCCCUUACCAGAGGUUCCGACCUCUUUAUAUAGGCCAUCCAUUAACUCAGAAAACCUUGGGCUCACCUAGUUUUAUUUUUCUAACAUUUAAUGUGACACCUACAUCAACUAGCGUGCUAACAACCUUUUUAACCAUCAGUCGAUAUUCAGCGGUGAAAAGACACUUGCUCAUUCGGAAUUGCACGCCCUUGAAGAUCAAUGUGUGUCCAGCAACCUACUCGGUCUUGAUUAGUCAACCAUGUCACUCCAAGCAAUAGCCCAACCGUCUUUACGUCUCGUCGUAGACUUCUGACAUGUGCCCUGAGUAGGUCUGCUCCUAAAGAUUUGUACCAUAAAGUUGUCGGUAUUCCCACGUGUCUUGGGGGUCGGAAAGUACUUUAUGUUGGUCAGUUGGACUACGCUGGUGAGUGGUCCCCCCUCUUUAAUUUUGUUGAGCCUUGGGCUUCUUAUUCUUCUUUGGGCUUUAACUUUUAUUGGGCCUUUGGUGGCCUUUUCCCUAGCUUGCACUAUUUUGAGGGUUAAAAAGGACACUACAUUAACAAAUCUCUGUACACACCAGACAGAGUGGUAUUCCUUAGUACCGCACGGAGGUUUUGAGUUUAAAUCCCUCUUUUUUUUAGUAUCGCUUGUAUUGCAAAAAAAAAAAAUAAAUAAAUAAAUAACAGAAAGCAUUUUUUGCCCAAACAUUCUACGUAGUUAUAGUGUGAAUCCAAACCGUUGAUUAGGUGGUACAUUUCAUAGUUAAGUUCUUAAUCACUUUAUUUCAGCCUUUGCCAAUAUGGCAAAAGGAUCACAAAGACGGGCUACCAUGUCCUCAUUCAUAAGGGUGGAGGGUUUUUGCUUGGCUGGUUGUACGUUUGAGCCCUUUGGACGGUGUCUUUGGGGUCUUGUUCUUUGUUUCUGUUUUUUAUGGUCUUGCAGGACUGUCCUCUGUGUGUUUGUUAGGCCUCUGUGCCUUUCUGGUUUCUAUGAAGCUUUAUCUUAACCAAAAAAUUAAAAAAAAAAAAAAAAAGAAUCACAAAGCAUAAAUUAACUAUAAUGCAGGAAGAUGGCCUUGCUCCACCAAAGAGGCAAUGCAAUCAUCAAACAUCUCUUGGAUACUCUUAAACUUGAACCCUCUCCCCAGCUUUGAGGUGUUCAACUCAUAAUAACGUGGCCUCCCUAGUUGCUCAAACCUAAAAAUUCUCAUGUAAAAUUCGAUUAAAAGUAAUUGAUAUAACUGAUGCUUAUAGCAUGUGACGCUCUUUUUUUUUUUUUUUGGGGGGGGGGAAUUAGGAGCAUAAAAAAUGGAUCGGCCCAUAGUAUGAACCGAUAAAUUAUGCUUAAUUAAUUGUAGCUGGUAAAAAUAUCAAACCUUGUGGGGAUAGGCAAGGAAGGAUAUCUUGUAGAUAAUAAGGAACCUAACUCAGUGUUGUCCAUAACUGUUGAGCUACAAAUACAUCUGCCAUGAGCACUUUCAUGCUCAUAAACUAAGAUGUGACAGAGUGCAACAUCAUCAAUGUGAACAUAUCCCAUCCUUCCAUUCCACUUAAAUUUCUCUGUUUCCCCUGCUUGAUUGUUCAAACAAAUAACCGUGUAAUGUGCUUAUAAUCAAAGUUAAGUAAACGAAGAACAAGCGCGAAAAAUCACGAAGAUAAAUCUGUAGUAGUAGUAGUACCUUUAAGCAGGCCAAGAACAUCUGAUGCUGUAGAACACAACUCAGGUGGCAAACAAGGCCCGAUCACGAAGGAGGGUAGGACAGUAACCAUAUCAAUCGCAUUUUCUUUGCAGAAAUCCCAUCCUGCUUUCUCAGCUAAAAUUUUCGACAUAGGGUACCAAAUCUAGUGAAAUAGGUGCAGAUGCAUAAUUUGUCAGUUAAACGGUUUGGACGGAUUAUAUAUAAUGCACAUGGAAAAAGAAAACAUUGAGCUUAAGAAAUGUAAUAGCACAGAUCAAUAAAAUUCGGCAUUACUUUGCUUUGCAGCUACGUAUUAGUAUAUAUGAGAAGGGAUGCAUUCAAAGUUAUGCUGAAUUCGCCGAACAAAUCUGUAUUGGUUAGACUACACACUGCAGUUAGCAAACAAUCUGUACCAAGGCAAAAUCCUUAACAAGGACAGAGGGAGAGUAUUGUUAACUAGACCUGAAGAGUCACCCAGAGGUACAUUGGAGGUGAAAUCCCCAUCUGGUCUCACCCUUACAGCUGCAGAAUAUGAGGUGAGAACCACGCUCCUUAGAGACGGAUUUUUCUUACACGAACGCAACACGUUCAAUGUGCCCUCAACAGGCGGUUCCAGGAUUUCUGUCUGUGUAUGUAUGCCGAAACUUUGUUUAAAUGUAUGAUCUGUAUUGAUGGUGUGACAACACAACAUGUUAUAUAUUUGACGAGAAAAAGUUAAACAUGCAACGUGCCUUGGGAUCAGACGAAGGUUUUAAAACAAGGGUAGCAGAGUGGAAAACGCCAUGGCACCCAAAAAUUGCAUCAUCAAAGCUGCCUUCUUCCAUCAAAUCUGCCGUCACCAAUCUUAGUCUUUCCUUAGCUCCUUCUAGCCUCCACAAAUGUGCCAAUUUCUUCUCGUUUCCUUUGAACUCAUGGAGAAAACCGCAUAAGUUUUGUGUCGAAAAAACGAAUCCGAUGCUACUUCAAGCAGAUUGACUUGGGGGUUACGGUGCCUACCUGGAUCUCUUACAGUCCCCGUUACAUGAUAGUCGGACAAGAGAAGCCGCUUUAUAAGCCAGGAUGCCAUAAAUCCAAAAGCCCCCGUAACGCAAACUUUGCCUUUCGAAUCGAGUUUUCGAUCCAUCUAUGUUCAAAUUAGUAGUGUUUUAGUCCAAUUGCAUUCCAGGCCACUAGGUUUUAUAAGGAACGUAUAAAAGUAGACAUUGUAAACAUACAUGCUAUGUGCAUUGGGAUUUCUCACUAAGAAAUGUUUAGGUAAGGCAUCCUAUGCCAUGAGGGAAAUGAUUUUUAGCUUGAGCUAUGGUUAGAAGUAGGCAAGUCAUGCUAAAGUGAUGAAGUUCGAUGCCAUACACCGCCAAUGUGACGCCUGUCCUAAUCACAAACAUUAGAUUGAGAAAAACUUACACUUGUGUUAUUCGCACGACACGUGGUGGUAAUUGUAUACCUUCUAUGUAAGUCCUCUUCCACAACAGCAAAUCUCUAAAUUGUAACUAGGUCCACUUUAACUCCAAAAAUCAUUCUGUGGGCCUGACCUCACAUUGUCAGUCAGACCAAACUCAUCCACCCAAAUAAGGCAUAUCGAAGCCUCGUUGCUCUAAGGCCCAUGUUUCUAGGGGCACUUUCUUUUUAGAUUAAAAAUGAAAAUGAAAUUUGAACUUGAUUGACGAAAUUUGAACUCAAAAUCUCUUUUAAAUAUAGAAAUACUAUUACACUAAAUGCUAGUUGUUUCUAGUGACACCUUUUUUAAGUUGAGUAGUCAAUGAAGUUGAAUUCAUUUAUUUGGUUUUCUGAAUCCUUUACCUUUGAUGAUCAUUUUGAUUUUGUCUCACAGUUCAUAUUAUGAGUUUUGUUAGGCAAUAUGGUAAGUUCAAAUUUCAUGAAUUAUAGUUGUUGCCAUUAUACCAUAUGUAGAUACAACAUUAAAGUUCUUGAAAAGAAACACAGUGUUAAAAAAAAAAAAACUAAUACAAAUACCAGUUGAUUACUCUUUCUUCUUGUCAUUUUCUAAUCAAAUAAGGCGGGAAAUUCAAACUUGAAAUCUCUUCUAAUAUUGGGAAGACAAAGCCACUGGACAUAUUGUAAGAAAUGUGAAUUGAAAUCAUUACAAAUCUUGAUGUUCCUGCGUUCCAAUUUCUAAGUUCUAUGUGUUUACUAUCACAAACGGAUUUAAAAAAAAGGUAUGAAUUUCACCUCAAGACUUGUAAUUAAAUACCUAAAAAUUAGGAUGAGAUUAACUAAAAGAACCAGUUGAUUCAAUUUACAUUUAUUUUUAACUUUCUCGAUUCGUGACUUCCCAAGUAGCAUGAGACGCAAAAAAAAAUUUUUUUAAAAAAAAAAAAUAUAUAUAUAUAUAAUCAAUAAUUUCAAUUAAAUCCCCUUUUUGUAGGAAAUAAAAAAUUUCUAUUAAAUUGCGCCUAAUGUCAGUACAACUUCCUAUUCCCAUUUGGUUUUGAUUUUGAUGCAAUCACUAUAUAUAUCCAAAAGAAAUAACAUAAACAUUUAUAUGCAAAUCACUCACAAAAUAAGGAAGUGGAAAAUUGUCUUGAUGAAUACGGCAUCUAUUCCAACCCGCUUAAUCUCGAAUCCAUACAUUUUUUCUCCACCUAUGGAUUGGUGUAAUAACAUCAAAGAGGGAACAAAUAAAACAACAAACAAAAGCCAAGCCACCGUCUUCUUGUUCUUUCUUCUAACGAACUCUUUCUCACUUCUUCCAUUUCAAAUUAAAUCCAAGACACUUCCUUUCUCCAUUAAAUUAAGGGAGUUUUAACGAAAUACUCCCGAUACUGUUCAUUUUUAACGAAAAAUCAUAUUUUUACCUUUCAUUACACCUUUAUUUGUUAUUUUUAAUUAAAACUUUUUUUUUUAAUUUUUUGUUAAUUUUCCGUUAAAUUAAAUCACAUAUAAAUAAACCAAAAAUAAGGCAUUUUCCUUACAUUGAUUUGAUGCCCUACCCGCCGGUUUAAAACGGACCCCCCAAUAACCCCAAACCCAACAAACCAAUCUGAAAAUAUAUAAAAAGUUCCAAUUUUUGUCUGAAAAAUCUGGUUUCCGCCCACGAUGGACACCGGCGGCAACUCUCUAGUGUCGGGUCCCGACGGAGUGAAGAGGAAGGUGAGCUAUUUCUACGACCCAGAAGUGGGAAAUUACUAUUAUGGGCAGGGACACCCGAUGAAGCCCCACCGGAUUCGGAUGACCAACGCCCUCCUCGCGCACUAUGGCCUCCUCCAGAACAUGCAGGUCCUCAAACCCUACCCGGCCCGAGACCGCGACCUCUACCGCUUUCACGCCGAAACGCAGCAGGACCAGCUGCGGCAGCUCAAGCGGUUCAAUGUCGGCGAGGACUGCCCUGUCUUUGAUGGGUUGUACUCGUUUUGCCAGACCUAUGCUGGUGGGUUGGUCGGCGGCGCUGUGAAGCUCAACCAUGGGAUUUGUGAUAUUUCGAUUAAUUGGGCUGGCGGUUUGCACCAUGCUAAGAAUUGUGAGGCUUCUGGAUUUUGCUAUGUGAAUGACAUUAUUCUUGCAAUUUUGGAACUUCUUAAGUAGCAUGAGGUUGGUAAAUUUGAUUGCAUAGUGUUAAAGUUUUGAACUUUUUGAUGUUUGGAUUGUUGGGUUUGUUAUGUUUUGUAUGAUCUCUGAAUUGGGUUCUCAAAAAUGUUAAUUGCAUAGUUAAGGUCUGAACUUUUUGAUGUUGGGUUUGUAUUAUGUAAUCUCUGAAAUGGGUUACUGAAAUUGUUAAUGUUUUGCCUGAACAGCGCGUUUUGUACAGUGUGGAAAAUUUUAAGCCUGGGUCUGUGGUUCUCCAGUGUGGUGCUGAUUCCUUAUCUGGGGACAGGCUUGGCUGCUUCAAUCUUUCCAUCAAAGGCCACGCUGAGUGUGUUAGAUAUAUGAGAUCCUUCAAUGUCCCGCUCUUGCUUCUAGGUGGCGGUGGCUAUACUAUUCGCAAUGUUGCUCGUUGUUGGUGCUACGAGGUAUACUUCUCAUAUUCUGUUUUACCUUUUAAUGUUUCCAAAGUAUUUCACUUGUGAUAUAAUUGUGCACAUAUAGCAUGAUUUUUAUUGCAAGUUAUAAUCUCUUGCCAGUUGCCAGAUAGCAUGUUAAUGUUUUGUGAUUGCAUAAUACGACUAUAGUGCCUGGCAGAUACAGCUAUCAGAGCAAGUUACUGUUCAUUGUUCUGAUUUGACAUGAUACAGCUAAAGUGCAUGACCUUUUCUUCUGUCUAAAGUCUAAAUUAGUAACUUGUAAUAGACAACUUCUUGUUCUCAAGAUUUCUUAUAACAUAAGCUAACUGGUGCCCACAUUUACUCCAAAGCCACAUUGUUCCUGAGCAGAAGAUCCAAUUUUCUGUCUUUUUCUUCCAUUUAUUUGCUAUCAAGCUUACAUUUUGACAUUCCUUUGUUUUCCACUUCCUUCCUGUAAUUUGAUAGUUCUUGUUCCAUAACUGGUAGAAUACUUGAUGGAAGUCUCAUAGACUUGUUUAAUGAGUAUAGUGAUGAUUCAAAAGGAAUGUUGUGUAUCUAAAUAGCAGCAAAGCUCCAUUCUGACUUUUAUUAAUCCAUGUAUAAAGAAUGUUGCUUGCUAGUUCAAGUCUAUCUAAUUUCAGUUGUUAUUUGUACUCAAUAUUUAACGUUGUUAUAUGGGCUUGUAUUCAAUGUUUUAAUAUUAUUCUUUUGUGAAAUUCUUUCAGGAGAAUGAGGAAUAGGAUGACCCAGACGAGAGGUGGGAUCCAGAUUCUGACAUGGAGGUUGAUGAUGAACGGUACUUCAAUUUAUUCUCCUAAUUUGCUCUCAUUAUCUAGCACUUUCGUCUUUGCAAUUUACUGAUUUAUGGUUUAUACAGUAAGUCUUUACCAAGCAGAGUAAAGAAAGAGAUCGUUGAACCUGAGGUUAAAGAUCCGGUACGUCACAAAUCAUCUCUUGAGCUCAACUUUUUUUUGGGUGUGGAAUCAUUUAGACUAUAAUUCACUAUAUUUGGCUGCCAAUUCAUUUGUCUAUUCUUAAACACUACAACAACAACAACAAAGCCUUUUCCCACUAAGUGGGGUCGGCUAUAUUCUUAAUCACUACUGCAUUAAAUUUCAUGUAUAGUAAAACUGUGCUCAUUGUCUUUGAUAAUGGACUAGUGGUUAUAUUGUUUGUUCAUGGCAAAAAACAGAAACAUAUUGACGAAAGGCUAAAAGAUGAAAGUUACAGGAAAAACAAAAUCUCCUUUGUACACAAGUUAAAUAGUCCCUCUGGAGUUUACUGUUUCAUUCGUUUAGAUGAUGCAAUGAACCAAUUCAAUAUGCACCAUUCUUGACGGCUCCAACCGUAAACUUACUAAAACCUGGAUUUGACUGGAAUCUAUUCAAACCAUCCAAAUCAUAUAUAAAGAGGAAGCUUGUCUCUUCAUAGUGUUUCGUUGCUCCCCUCUGUUAUCAUGUUUCUUGUUUAUUGUUACGUGAAGCCUACAUUGGUGAUUAGUAAUGUUCCCUUUCUUUCUUAUGAGAAUAUAAUGUUUCCAGCUAUGGUAUCUACUGCUGUUUAUGAUUAUAUGUUUAUAUCCUGCACAUAGCAUUACUUUCUUACGAUGUGCUCAUUUCCUUUGCUGUGCCGCAUUUUAAAACUUACAUAAACAUGGAUGAUAACCUAUUUGUUAUGUUUAUUUGCCUCAACAUUAUCUAAUUCUGGUUGUUCUGGCACAUUGGAGAUCCAGAAAGGGACCUCGGAGAAUGCUAGAAGCUCAGGCUAUGAUCCAGCAGUAGAUGAGAUUACAACAGGCGCAAAGGUGAAAUUAACACAUAAAUCCAUUAGAAUCAGGUUCCUCUUUCAUAAGAAAACCCUCCCACUAAUAGUUUUCUCUGUCGACAUUGAUAUUUGCAGGCUUUGGAUAUGGGAUCUGGAUCGGUGGAUGAACCAACUGUGAAAGUUGAACAAGACACUAUGAAUAAGCCUGCGGACCAGAUAUAAAUGUUAUCACGAUCAAAUUUAUUUAGGGUGACUUGAUCACAAGCAAAGUCAUUCAAACUUAACUGUCCAUCGAUUUGUGAAGUUGGUAAUUUAUUUGAGCAGUAGCAUUUCAUGUAUCUUAGGAUUUCUUGUAUUUGUAAGAAUUCAACGCUUGUCUAUACUAUCAUGGAUAAGUACCCAAAUUUGGCCUCUUGUACAUGUUUUUUUUUCUUUCACUGUUUUUGAACUAUUAAAAGUUAAAUAGGAAGGCAUGGAACUGUCAUUAUACUGUUGCAUCCCAAAACCGAAUUCUUUGGUCAGAACCCUAAAACCGUGCUUAUUUCAGGAAUUGUAAGUUCAAUCGGUAGUCCACUGCCCCUGAUUUUGGUGCUCCAAAAUCCAAUUUUCCUCUUUCAUUUGGGAAGAAGAUGGGAUUAGAUAUUUAGGAUGUCGUACGACGUUCAUAGAGGAAGCAUUUAUUACUAGACUCAAACCCGCGUUAUGCUGAAUGAUUGGGAGUAGGUGACCGAUGUUUUUGAAAAGUUUGGAUGUCAGAAAUUAGGAUUAUAAUCAGCUUAACUCAUUUCUUUACUCAAAAGAAUUUUCAUUUUUCAUUAACAAACGAUAACCUAUGCGGUAUUGCAGUAAAACCAGUAACUAUAUUACAAGGCAAAAUGGUAAAAGGAAAACCCCAAUUUGACGGUUUCUCUUCCAAUAACUUUGUAUAUGUUCCUGUGUCCAUCAGUUGUAUUUAGAUUCGUAGUCGUUCAGGCUAAACCAACUCUGAGCCCUUUUCAGCAAUCGAGCAUCGACUGGAAGACUUGCUGAGUGUUCAGUAUCAGAACCAUCUAUACAGAGUGAACUUUCAAUUUCACACAGGUCACUUGCAUUAGAUGUCCUUUCAGCUGAAGCACCACUUGAAGAUAUCCCAUUUGCAGUAGGGGGAAAGCACUUCAGGUUGUUGAAUGCUACUAGUGUUUCCCUGUUUGAGUUUCUUAGUCUUCCCGAUAACUUUUCUCCUCGUCUGCCCAGAUGUAAUCCACGAAGAUAACCCCACAGCUCCAAGUAGCGGCAGCACAAUACGAUAAUCUUGUGUCAAUUCAAAAAGCAACAGACUCCUGCAACACUAGCACCCAUUCCAACCUGAAAAUGGAAUCUCUCCGAUUGUCAACUCCAUCCAGCUUUUGGGAUACCUUCAGAAUUUAGCAGACAAAUACCAGAAAGAGAAAUAAUAUAUUCACCGAGAAAAGUUUGGACUUUUCAAGUCUACCAUGGAGAAUGAUAUUAUGUACACUCCAUGUCAAUUGUCAAAAGACCAUUCGACACUUUAGAACUAAUACAAUUGCAGGAAACACAUUCUACUUCUAAAAAGAAAGGUAUUUGCCCCUGAAGGUAAUGGCUAUAGAUUUCUGGAUAAUAACAUUCAAAUGUGACUUUUGUUCUCAGAAAUUAUCAAAAAUAGGAAGAAAAAAAACAUUAUAUCAAGCAUACUAGUUCAACAUUGCCAGAACUGAUGAAGUAUAGGAUUGGACUGAGAACUGCAGAACGGAUGAAUUUUCCGUAUGCCAUUCCUGUUGCUGCACCAGUAAAAAGUGAUGGAGCAUAGUAGCCUCCAACUAAUCCAGAGGCUCGACACAAUGAGGUUGCACCUAUCUUGACCACUACCAACUGAAGAAACUGAUCAGCUGAGAGGCCUUUCUCAAGUGGUCGAGAUUCCAGCAAAAUGUCAACAUUCUCGAAACCCCGAUAAAGAAUUUCUGGAUAUGUCAAUGCCAUCAGCCCAAUAGCCAAGCCACCCACGAUAGGGAAAAAAAAAAUAUUGGUAGGCCAACGGUCUUGUGAAGAUUGUCAACAAAUACCAACAUGUACGAUGUGCACUAUGAUAAGGUUAAUGAAACCAAGCCACAUAGGACACCCAGCAAUAGAUAUAGCGGAAGCUCUGAAAAUGAUACAAAUACGUCUCAUUAUUAAAACCGCAGCUUUAAACAAUGACUUGAACAUCAACCUCUACAUAUACUAAAGGUAUGCCUGAAAAAUUCAUCCCAGUAGAGUGAAUAAACUAGUGUUGUAACACAAUCAUAUAUGAAAUUAACCAUUUGGAAUAUGCAAUGUAAAUCAACUACCCAAAUAAUGGGAAAAUUCAGAAACCAUAUUCAGUAAAGGCAAAUCACAUUACCAGGAGCAAGUAAAUACUCCGAGAUUACGUACUGAUGCCAUAGUCAAUUGCAGAAAUUAUUUAAAAUAAAGAACCAUUUUUUGUUCACUCGGCACAUAAGUUUUUAUAUAUAUCAUUUUGAAGAAUCAACAGAUAAUAGAUAGUGUACCAGCAGGUGAGCCGAAGUCAUAGUAUGGGACCUUAAAGGCUGGUUCAGAACAAAGGCCAGCUUCUGAAACUACAGAAGCUAUCACAGCACUAAGUAUGACCAUAGAAGUGGUAAUCACAAGUGAAAGGUGUUCGUGGUGGAAUUCUCCGUGGAGGAUAUCUCCUGUCCGACGAGCACACAGCUCCCCGAGAGGUUUGGCGCCAGUUGAUGUUUUUCUGUCGGGCUCCUGCUUUAUUGACGGGCUUGUCGGGCAAGGCUUGUCGGGCAAGGCUGAAAGAGAAGGACAUAGUUAACUUUGAAAGGUGCCUUUGUGGGGUCUUAGAUGUAGGCCUUGAGGCUCACAAUCAAGAUUAACUUAUAUGUAUUCAGGCGUGCCACUACCAUCUUCAGUAUGGCAGAUGUAGAACGGAUGUCUGAGUUAAUUAUAUAUUCGAAAGACUAUAUUUAGUUAUUGACAAGUGCCUUUGUGGGGCCUUAGGUGUAGGCCUUGAGGCUUCCCGUAAAUAACUAAUUUAGUAUUUGAACAUAUAAGGUUCCUUUUAUGUAUUGGGUAGAUCUUAUCACCAUCAUACUUCUGAUUACCUGAACUUAAAGAGCAUCAUGGAUCCAAAUAGAUGCCUUUGUGGGGCCUUAGGUGUGGGCCUUGAGGCUUCCCAUUAGAACCCAUUACAUUCUCAAUGUUCUUGUCCGAAAAGCAAGAUGAAUCCAAAUAGGUGCCUUUGUGGGGCCUUGAGUAGGUCAUGAGGCUUCCUAUUAAAACCCAUCCCGUCCCCGGACGUUAUAUGAUAAUCAUAAUAUCACAAUAAUAAAACUAAGUGACGGGUAAAUUACUUGCGCCCCAAGUAACUUUGGACUUCUUGUUAUCAAAGCUUGUAGAGGAUGGGUUAAGUCCACAUCAGGUUCUUUUUUAUGCCUUGAGGCCAAGGACUUUUAGGAUGAUCAAAUCUUAUGUGCCCGAGGGCUUAGAACUUAGACCUGACUUGAACCGUGGAGACAUAUUCAAUCGAAUCUAAGCCCUAAGAGAAUCCUUUGAUAACCAUAUUGCUAGAAAUAACUUGGAUAUAUCUUGUAAUAUUCAACAUGUUGUUAAGGUAAUGAAUAUACAGACAAAAACAAAGAAGGUUGGGCAAGGUUUAACCUUGUCGGGCAAGGCUGAUCGUCUUGCAAGAGGUUUGAAAGUUUAGGAAAAGGGUAGGGAGAUGAGUUUACAAGAGGAAUCGAUACUACAGCAAGAGUUGAGCAGGGUAGCAGAGCUAUUACAAAAGUGUUAUCCCGAAAUGGAUGAAGGCUUGGGCUGACUACAGCUUUCGUUUUGAAGGCAAAUCUGGCUUUUGAGCAGAGUUUGUGCUUGUAUUUGUUUGUUUGAGUGUCUUUGAUUCUGACCUCUCCUGCUCCUUUUAUAGAUAUCUUGGCUUAGCAUCAUAUAGCAACGAUCCUGCCCGAAUGAAAUUUGAAGGGUAGUGACUCAUCAGCCAUUUUACUUGUACUGCCAUCGAAAAGUACUUUUUGGGCUGGAUAGCUGGCUGGUCUAUACCACUUGGCUUCUAGGUAGGUAAGCAAGUGGUCUGCAUCUAGUCAGAAACGGGCUUCUCCCAUCUUCUGGACUUCGGCUGGGUUCUGACUGGGCCUCUGAGUACCUUCCCCUUUUUAGGCUGCUUCUUGGGCCAACUUUCCCCAAGCCCAAAGUUUAAGUUUUGAUCCAAACAAAAGGGAUGAGGAAUUAGGUGGUGAUGGACUCUACGGGAAAGAAACAACCGGAAACAGCUGCAUUAAACCCUGUCAAAACAGAACAACAAUUACAAUUAGGGCAUACAUGUAUUGAUAAUGACAACAUAGAUAUACACAAAACUGAAUACCAACCAGAAGCAAUUCCAGCAGCCACAUGAGAGAGCCUUCUUUGUGAACUUUUAUCAAACACAUCACCAAUACCCUUGGCUAUAGAAGUUCCAAUCUCAACGCUAGGACCUUGGGACCUAACGAGUUCCCAGUCCCAAGUGUGACACAAGCAGCAAUUGCCUUGACAAAAGGACACGAUGCUGCCUUGAGACCAUCAAAAACCGAAAUAGACAUUCCCAUUUUCACUAAUAAAUUCUCUCCUUUUUCUCCUCCUUGCUCAUUGCCAUUUUUAUCUUGUGAACCAUCCUCAAGAGCAUCUCGAAACAAGUUUAUUAUGGCAACAAUCAAACUGUUAAGGGUAAUAGAGGAUUACCAUAUCACAUUGUAUAGUGCAGUGUGAAAGUUAACGAGAACCAUUCUUCACAUACUCAAUCUCUCUCUACAAAUUCUCUCUCUCUCUCUAAAUCUCUUGAUUACUGCAAGAUAUUAGACUUCUGCACAAACCCCCAUAAGCUGGAACCAGAAUCACCUGCUUCUACGUAUCUCCCAUGUACUCCUUUCUCAGCCACGAAGCUCCCCGUUGCGGCAUCCCACCCCAUAACACAUCACGUAUCUCAUGAACCUUCCCAUUCAUGUCAAAAUCUCAGAAAAAGCUCAAAACUUCAUGUAUAAGCAAGCAAGAAAAAAGCAAAGAAAAAAUGGGUAAUGAGUGACGGAACCUGAGGUUCCGACCCAAAUUGGAAAUGGGGGAGUAGCCCGACCCCUUACAAGUUAAUGUAAGGUUCCUUAACUUUCUGAUGUGGAAGAGUUUUUCAUAACCUCACGUGCCCCUCACAUGUUGCAGGACUCAAGCCAAACAGAUGGACAACACACAUCCUAAUGCAUCUCAUGAACAUUUACAAUUUGUGUAAAAUUUUAGAUAAAAGCUCAAAACUUUGCAAACAAGCAAGCAAGAAAAGGAAAAAUGAUCAAUUGAGUAAUGGAUAAAAAUCGUGCAGUUCCCUUGGCCACGGCCUUGUACUCUGUUUUCAUCUUCCCCUUCUUCUUGUUCUUCUGCUUUUUCAUCGUCAUCGUCAUCGUUUUGUUGUUUUUGUUGCUGGGUUUGUUGGUUUUGAGGGAGGGAGAAAGGAGGUCUGAGAGGCAGAUCUCUGCCAUCUUCAUCUUCCCCUUAUUCUUGUACCCAGCACUGGCAUUUUUGGUGUUGAUUGUUCUUGUUUGGGUGUUUGAUGUGGCAGAGAAUAGGAGGAGGGCUUUUCCCGACGGUGAUGAAGACGGAGGAUGGAGAGGCCAGGGGACAUAAAUGGCGGUGGAAGUGGGCGUUGGGGAAGCGCCGUAUGCAGUCCAGGCCUCCCAUUAGCUGCUACACCAGUUGAGCCAACUGUUCAGUCCAAUCACGACCAGCUAAUGGAUAAAAGCCUGACAAAAUAAUUAAGUAAUAUUCAUAUUAAUAUAAAAUAAUGUUUGUAUUCAUAGCCUACCGUUUACGCACAUGUGAGCAACUGUUCUUAACAUUUGCAAAUAAGAAGGUGCAACUAUUCAUACUAAAAAAAUAGUUAGGAGUACAUAAAUUGACAUGUACUUGAUAAAAUUUGAGAAAUUCGUCUUAGUGAUUGAGACAUUUUUGCUACAACAAAAGAAGCUCCCAUAACGGAGUUGCCCACUUCAAUCUAAAGUGGCCGAUGACAUACGCCAAACUAACAUAUACACUUACAAAAAAUGGAAACUAGACAAGGUUGUAGCUCCAAUUAAGAAUGCAUUACAUUAUGUGUCAAUAUUUACUAAUUACAUCAAUUAUUAAGCCGGUUCUUUGAUUUUGAUUUGAAACAUAGUACUACUUCAAAGAUCCCCAAUGUUUUAUCUAAUAGAACUUUCCAUGCACAUCAUGUAAUGCAAGAAGUUUCAGGGACUAAUUAAAUAGCGAAAAUGAGGUGAUGACAAAAGGGAUCAAUCAAAAUGCAUUCAUUGUACCGACUAAUGAAGUUAUUUAAAAGGUUUAUAAUCAUAUUUUAGAACGCUAUUCAUUGAUCGUCUCCUUAAAGAAAAAGAGGAUAUGAAACCGAUGAAACGUGAACACAACACCAUCGUGGACAUGAGUUGCUUGUUGGCCAUGAUAAGAGUAGUUAAUCUAUAUGGGUGUGUAUAAAUUAUCAAUUAGGUUUCAUUUUUAGAUGGAUUUACAAAACGAUGCCUAAAUAUAUAUAUACGAUUUACAGUCUGAUAAUAUAACAUGUCAAAUAUCCGACAAACAAAUGACUCUGAUUUCUAAAUUGUAGCUUCCUUCUCAAUCUCGCAUUAAUUUGCACCUUUCUAUAUGUGCACGUUUUUGUUUCCCCACUUUGUACAAGUUGACAAAUCGAAAACAUAAACUUGCUAACCAACUCUGAUUUCUAAAGGGAUGUGCUAUCCACACAUCAUUUUUUACUUCUCACACUCCCCUUGUAAUUUAUGUCCGUUGACCUAUCCGAUCUGACGACCGAAAAUUAAUAAGGGGUGCGUGAGAAGUAAAAAUAGGUAUGUGGAUAUCACACCCCUUUCUCAAUUGUAUUUGUUGUGGUAGUACCUUAUGGGCCGGGCUCAUUAGGACCAAUGGCAAUUUUGAAAUAUCACACAAAUACAAUACCAUUUUUGUCACAAAAAAUCAAAAGGAAAAAUCAUCGUUUUUCUACCCCAAACUAUUGGCAUCGCUCACUGUCUCCAUCGUCUUCUGAUUUUCCUCCGAAUCGGAGAAGAAAGGCAACCAAAUCAUGGUCCUUCGAAUUCGUGGUUUUCUGAUUCUUCCCGGCGCUCCUUACGCGUACUGCAGCCUGAUGGUGCGGCGCUCUCGAUUGAUUCCAUGGUCUGAUCUUCCGCGAAUCGCAAUCCGACGGUGGCGAUGGCGUCGAUGCAGAACCAAUCGGCGAAUGUGGAUCUCUUCAAUGCGUAUUUCCUACGGGCCGAUUUGGACCGCGAUGGCCGGAUUAGUGGCAAUGAAACCGUCGCUCUCUUCCAGGGCUCUGGUCUCCCAAACAGGUCCUUGAGCAGGUACUCUCUCAAUAUAUAUAUAUAUAUGUAUGUAUGUAUGUAUGCUUGUGUAUAUAUGUAUAAUUGGAUGUGUGUGUAUGAUUAUAUUUGUGUAAUUGUAGUGGUUGGUCGGGAUUUGAUGCUGGUGGAACUGUGUUCCGAAUCGGAUUGAUUUUGAAUUUGUAGUCUAAUUGUAGUUGAAGUGGUAAAUGUGAGCUCGGGAUGUCUUAAUUCUCUUAUCUUAGCUGAGAUAUUUAUUUCGUGUUAGUAUAACUGCGGAAUUGAUGUUCAAAUGGUAGAAAAUAAGUAGAUGAAGAAUUUAUACUACUGUUAGUGAGGUUGAGAGAGUUAUGUUAUCAGGUCAUUAAUAUACCUUCUGGUGUAUCCGUUCAACCUGAGGUGGUAAGCAGACUUUAGAAAUGUGUUAUAUGACCCAAGGAUUGAUCGAGGAUUGUUUAUUACAUUAGAAUUGUGCAGUAGUGAAAAUGUUCUUGGGUCAUGAUCAUAUCGACAAAUAGGUUAUUGAAGCUGUAUGCUUGUUUUGCUGAAGGAAUUUCCGUAUAAAAUGAUAACCAGGGGCAUAUUAUGUUAAAUAUUGAUUAUAUGAAUGCACUUUCUCAUUAGCUUGAAUUGCUGAACAUAACAGGCUCAAUCAAGCAUAUUUUUCUGCGAGAUGCUUUGCUGCUGGAUGUUCAUUCUUUGCAUGAUGUGUUCGUAUUUUGAUGUAAAAACUUACACAUGCCAUAGAUAUUUUGUAGGUAUAAAUUUUUAUUUGUGAUUGGGAGUAAUCUUUUGCUGGCCAAUUGACAUACAAACAUCCAUAAAUAUAUACUACUAAAUUGAGUCAUGUCUAAAUGUGCAGUCUAGAUUGAUAGAAUGACUACCCAUCAUGCCACAUUAUCUUUGAUGGAGCGGUUUAGGGAGGGAAGCCCUCUUCCAGCCGUGCUACCAAGCAAUGUUAUGUUUGAUUUAUCCAAUAUUUUUCAACCUGCAAAUAAUUACUCCAAUGCAGGCAAUGUAGCCUGGAGACCUGCUUCUGGUAUUCAUCCAUAAAACAAAUCACUUUUAUAUUUUGAAACAUGUCUUUCUUUGAUGGAGAAUAGUUUCUUAUUUUUCACUUUAAAAGGCUUUCAACAACAGCAACUGAUGCCUGGUCUUGGUGCUCGGCACAUGGCACCCCCAGCUGGAGGAAGGCCACCGAAGACAGUUGCUCCUUCUCAUGCUGAGGAAAAGCAGCAGGCCAAUUAGCGGAAACCCAGAGUACCAGAAUUGGAGAAACAUCUUGUAGAUCAACUGAGUACAGAGGAGGUUAACUCACUGAACUCAAAGUUCAAAGAAGCAACCGAAGCUGAUAAAAAGGUACUUAGAACUUUAAUGUUUCCCCAAUUUUCUCAUCUUGAGCAGCGAAGUUUUGUGUGCAUGUUACUUCCUGAUAAGUGUUGAAUCAUAACAAAUAUCCCGGAGACUUGAAGAAAGAAAUCUUGGAUGCUAGUGAGAAAUUGAAUAUUUCCGGGUCAAAAUGCAGUUCGGCCAUCAAACUUGUAAUGUAUUUCUUUUUUAUUUCAUUUCUUUGUGUAUGCAUCUCGCUUUUUCUUCAUUCUUUUUUCCUUUAGCUUGUAGCGCGACGUAUAAUUUUUCUCCUUAAUUUUGGAACUUCCUAGUCCUAUUGAAGCAAAGAGCACUAUAGUUUUAUCGUUGUUACAAAUUCGAUGAUUGUAUUAUUAAACUGGAGAUGUGCCUUUCUUUUUUCAGCCUUAAUUUGCUUUAAUUUUUACCCUCUCUAAUAAAAUUUGUUUCGCUGAUCUUUGUUUGGUGCAAACAAGAACACUAAGUUUUGCCAGUGUUAGUCUAAUCGGGCCAUUCAUAUUUUUUGCUCAUUGCAAUUCAGCCACCGAACAAUCGCAUAUUUUUGUCGUGUCAAAUGUUCAAACAAUCGCGUUUGGUCGUGAGUUUUUUACUUUGCCCUGGCAUGGUGUGUUAAUUAAUGGCUAUGUUUAUGAUAUAAAGGUAAACCAAGUUUUAAAGAAAACAAAUAGGCUAUUAUACACUUGUCCAUAACUAGCGCUUUAUAAUGUAUAAAGCAUAAACAAUACCAAAAUAAUAAAAGCCUUGCCUAUUUGUUGUCUUAUUUCUUGGUCAGACAAGUGGGCUAUCAAAUUACAAAUUUGCCUUAAAAAGUUUUUCCUAAUUACUUUCAUUUGCUUCAUACUCAUGGUAUAUGCCCAUUGUAUGCCGAAGAUGCUGAGAAAUUCAAAUUUGGUCAUGUGUUCAUGUCGAGGGGACCAAAAGUAGAAGAAGAAACAAGACAAGAUGAUGAUUCCAAAGGUGGUGGAUCAGGAGAUGAGCCUCAAGUUAGUGGAUCAAGUCAUGAGUAUGAAGCAAAUGAAAGUCGUACCCAGUGCACAAGUGGGAGCCUUGUGCACUGGGUACGACUUUCAUUUGCUUCAUACUCAUGACUUGAUCCACUAACUUGAGGCUCAUCUCCUGAUCCACCACCUUUGGAAUCAUCAUCUUGUCUUGUUUCUUCUUCUACUUUUGGUCCCCUCGACAUGAACACUUGACCAAAUUUGAAUUUCUCAGCAUCUUCGGCAUACAAUGGGCAUAUACCACAUCUUUCCACCUUCAUAUCGGAAGCAGAAGCAGGUUGUCCUUCAGAAUCUUCAAAAUCUUCCGAAUCUUCAGGAUUUUUAAAAUCUUCAAAAUACGGGCAGAAGACAACAGAGGCCUCUUUGGCAAGUUUGUAAACAUCAGGGGAGCAAUUUUUUCCUACCUCUUCACUUCUAAAGGCCUCAUUCCACACAUGCACGUGAUGUUGGCCGUCAUAGGAGCCUUGGAUAAUGUACUUAGAACUGAACAGUUCAUGGCUUUCACCCAUGAAUUUGACAAUGAAAUUAGCUUUUACCCUCCAGGGUUUAUACCUCACAUUUGAAACACAAGAAAGAACAACAGAGAGAGCGAACCAAUUUGGAAUUUCUUUUCCUGGACAUGCAAUGUUAAUCUGAGGCCAGGGAUUAUGAAGCCAGGAAUUGUACUUUAAUGGCGCAACAGUUGCCAUUCGCAUAAUUGCAAUCUGUGCUUCAUCCAUUAUGUUGCUCCUUGAAUUAUUAUCCAAUUUUGGGCAAUUAGUAAAGACUCUGAAACAAUAAUUAGGUUUAUCCCAACCUUGUGUGAGUGUUGUCCUUGAACUUGACACUGUCUUCAGCGACGUGCAGCCUUCAGCAUUAACAUUACAUAGCACUGGGAGCUUUGGUAUAGAUUGAAGCUGCUUGCACCAGCAUAAUUUGAGUAUAGACAACCGAGAAGCUUGUUUGAUGCUUGCUGGUAUUUCCAAUAUACCGCUGAAGCUGAGAUCUAGUUCUUCUAAAGAGAGAAAACCAACGGAGCUGGAAGGCAAAUUUUCAAGUCUCCAACACCCAUGAAAGGAGAGACGUUUAAGAUUGGUUAAACUGUAGAUACUUGUUGGGACAUCCUUAAGUUGCUUGCACCAACCAAGGUUUAAAUCUUGAAGCCUAUUUAGAUUUCCAAUUGACGAAGGAAGCAUUUCGACAACUGUGCCUUCCAAACAAAGAGACACCAAAUGUUCCAUUGGCUCCAAGAUUUCAGGGAAUUUGGAAAAUCUAGAGCAACCUUUGAGAUCAAGACUCUCAAGAUAUUUCAAGUUACAGAUUGAUGAGGGUAGCUCUGUAACUACUGUUUGAAUUAAUCUUAAGGACUUCAAAUGUUCCAUUGGCUCCAAGAUUUCAGGGAAUUUGGAAAAUCUAGAGCACUUGGUGAGAUCAAGACUCUCAAGAUAUUUCAAGUUACAGAUUGAUGAGGGUAGCUUUGUAACUGCUGUUUGAAUUAAACUUAAGGACUUCAAAUGUUCCAUUGGCUUCAAGAUUUCAGGGAAUUUGGAAAAUCUAGAGCACUCGGUGAGAUCAAGACUAUCAAGAUAUUUCAAGUUACAGAUUGAUGAGGGUAGCUCUGUAACUGCAGUUCGAAUUAAACUUAAGGACUUCAAAUGUUCCAUUGGCUCCAAGAUUUCAAGGAAUUUGGAAAAUCUAGAGCACUCGGUGAGAUCAAGACUCUCAAGAUAUUUCAACUUACAGAUUGAUGAGGGUAGCUCUGUAACUGCUGUAUGAAUUAAACUUAAGGACUUCAAAUGUUCUAUUGGCUCCAAAAUCUCUGGAAAGUUUUCAAAUUUAGAGCACCUAUGGAGAUCGAGAUUUUUCAACUUACACGUGCUACUUGGAAGUUUCUUAAGGUAACUGCAAUGCCUUAUAUUCAAGUAAGAAAUAUUUUCGUUAGACCAAACUGAUUCUGGCAACUCCUUUAUACCACUGGCUUGUAAACAUAAGUAUGUAAGAUUUCCUGGCAUCUUUGGAAGAUACUUGAGACUGGUGCAGAAUCCGAGUUCAAGACGAGUAAGCUUGUCAAGAUGUUGAAAAUACGAAGGAAUUUCAACCAAACUGUAACAGCAACGAAGAUUUAUGUGCACAAUCUUUGGACUCCUAGAGAGAUUUGGAACUUCAGUUAAAUACUCACACUCAUGCAAAUCAAUAACUUGUAAGUUGGCAAGUAUCUGCAACAAAUGAAAUAGAAAUAUAAAGAAUUAAUAUAAUUUCUACACUUGAUUUGAUACAAGAAUUAAAAUAGGCAUAUAAUAUAAUAUACCUCGUCUUCUUUCCAAAGCCUUUUAACUUUGCUACCUCGCAUACGAAGCUCAACUAGAUUUUCCGGAGAAAAAGUUGACGGCAAAGAUUCCAGUGGAUAAAAAGGCCACUCAAGAUAACAAAGAGAAUCGGGAAGGUCUAGAGAAGCGGUCAAUCGGCCAACCGAGCUUAGCAUUUUUAGGUUAGACAUCUUUUUGAAGUCUGCACGUUUCAAUGGUUCAAACCAACAAACCUUUAUGGCUUCAACAUUUGGAGUUUCCUAACAAUUAGAAGAAAGUUUAAAUGUGAAUACAUAUGUUUUCAACAUGUUAAAAUGUAACACACAUUUGGAACAAAGAGUAUUUGCCAUGGUAAUGAUGUACAUGUGUCUUAGUCUAGUCAAAUAUCCAAAAUAAUUGUAUCCCCCUCUACUUGUCUAAAUAGACAAACAUUUGUUCAAGUUCCAAACACUUCCUAACACAAUAAGUAUUCAAUCAAAUUCCAUCUUUUAACAAUCUCACUUCUUUAUUAUAAAUUAGUUUUACUUUGUUCUGUUAUCAUCUGAAGUUUGUAAUUUUUUUUUUCUAAAAAAGAAAAGAAAAAAAUUGAAUGAAUUUGACUCCUACCGUGUUACUCUUUAGUAUGCGAUAGACAUCCUCGUCAGCGAACAACCUAUUCCGUUCACCAGGAUCUUUAAUACAUUGUUCUUGAACAAUUGUCCUUCCCAUUUCUUGUAGCAAAUCGUGCAUCUCUAUUAUGCCUUCCCUUCCCCAUUUUGAAACAAUUGAUAUGAGAGACAUAUCAAUGAGAAUUCUAAUUCCGGUUGUCCCAAAGAAUCCACGAACAUCUAACAUUCGUUUUACCAUAUCCACAUCCUUCCCUUUAUGAAAACAUGCUACAUCUAGAAAUAUCUCCUUCUCAUUUUUUUCCAAUCUAUCAUAACUUAUUCUCAACACUUUCUGGAUACUUUCACUAGGAAAUCGUUUCAGUUUGUGAAUUCAUCUUCCCAGUCUUCUUUGCUCUUGCAAUUGAAGAACAAGGACCCCAGAACUUUAAGAGCCAAAGGAACGCCUCUGGCAUAAUGCACGGCCUUUUCUGCCAACUCUUUAUAAUCUGUUCUACGAGUACUGUUAUUCUUGAAAGCAUGCGAACAGAAGAGCUGAAGAGCGUCAUCCGGUUUUAAUAGCUCAACCUCAUAGAUAUUAUCCUUUUCAACAGUUUGCCCAAGUGUGCCCCUAUCUCUACUUGUGAUAAUGAUUCUACUUCCAGUGCCAUACCGAAUACGAUCGCCAGCUAAACGUUCAAUUUGCAAUGAAUCACUCACGUCAUCUAGAACAAUGAGGACCUUUGUACGACCGAGCCUUUCUCGAACCAAAGUUGAUCCUACGGGCAGAACUUCUUCCUUUAAUAGCUCCUUAAGAAGUGUUUUUUCCAAGUGAUCUAGUCCACCUGCUUGUUCUGAGUUCUCCCUAACAUUCUUAAGAAAACAAGAAGCUUCGAAUUUAGAAGAGUGUAUGCGAAAUACAGCCUCGGCAAGGGUGGUUUUCCCAAUACCACCCAUGCCCCAAAUACCUACAGUGAUGCAAGCGUCCGGUGAAUGAAUGCCUAACAGCAAUUCGAUCUGCUCGAUGCGUCUUUCAAUUCCAACAAAGCCCUUUAAAUCGCAGGAUGAUUCGCCACACAAUUGGGUCCAAAUAUGAUCGACAACUUUCUGAAUUAGAUCUGCCUCCGUCCUGGUGUAUAGAUGUAUAUGAUUAGGUUGAAAAGCAGUAGUUAGUCUUAAAUACGCUUUACCAAAUCUUAGCACAUAUCAAAAUGUCACAAGUUUAAAGAAAAUUUAUAACUUUAGACAAGUUAAAGAAUGAGUUAGUUACCCGGAUUUGUUUGAAUGAUCAAACCCAGAUAGAUUGGCUGCAGUCGUCAAAGCAUCCCUCCACUUGUGCACCUUGUCGAUACUGUUAGCGAAUCGUUUUUCAAGUUCAUCAAAUGCAUCUGCAUAACUCCCGUGCUGUUUUCGUACAUCAGAUGGAUCGAUGUCGUAGAAUACGGGUAUAACCAUCCGGCCUUCUUUGUUGUUGCAUUUUAGUAUAUGCACAAGCUCAUCCAAACACCAUGUGGAAGAAGCAUAGUUUUGUGAGAAAAUGAUCACCGAAAUGGUGGAUUUCUCAAUUGCUUCUAGAAGGGCAUAUCCGAUUUCUUCUCAUCUCUGAAGUCUAUUAUCGAUGUAGGUUUCAAAUUUCUUCUGAAGUAAGGCAGCAUGAAGAUGGCUGGUAAUACCAAGGCGGGUGUCCUCACCUCUGAAACUGAUAAACACAUCAUACUUUUCUCGACGUGGGGGGUUAUCAGCAGCGGAUGAUGAAGAAGAAGCAAUGUCCAUAACCUCUAGUUUUCAGAAACGGCAAAAAGAUGUAGUUGCAGAGAGAUUAAUUGUUAAUUAGAGAGAAAUAAUACUACGACGUUGCACCGAAUUAAGAGGAUGCAAGAGGGGGGAGAGAGAGACUAGUUCAGAAUUUACUUGAACUGGCUUUUGACUACAUGCACAAAAUUUCAAAGGCUCGAAAUCAACGAGUGAGAGAUACGUAAGUGGCAAAUGGGGCACAUGAUAGGACCUAUUAUCUUUAAUAACACUAUAAUUUAAAGAAAGAUAUUCAUAUAUUUGCAAUCUUAAUAUGAACAACGUCAUCUCAGCAUGUAAAGCAACUAGUAUUUGAAAACCAUAAAAUGAAUAAGUGUAAACCUUUUCUCCUUGCUUUGCUCCCCUCACAAUCAGUAUCAUCAUCGUCACCUGAUCGAUUCCUGCAAAUCAAGUUUUGGUUAUGUUUCAUACAGUCAAAAAACAAAAAUCAGAUUAUGCAUAUACCAAAAAACACCACACAAAAAGGAAGGGCCCUAUGUGAAAAAGGAUGCAAAAUCAACUUGAGACCUCUUUCUCCUGUUCUCUGCCUUGUUUUCUUUUUCCAUUUGCUCUCUCUUUCAAUCUUUUGUACUGAAGCUUUUUCAGAACCUGUGUUAAGAGAACCGUUGAAUCCAAACGUCAAAAGGAAGACAAUUGAUAAAGAUGCAAACAAAACAAAGUGACACCGGUGACAGGUCACCAGCCAAGAAAUUAACAGCAGACAUAACAAAAAUUAAUUAGCAAUUUAAAUGCCAGCAUAACAUAACACCUAAACUUAUUAAUUAAAAAGAAAUGACAAAAAAUACAGAAAGAGCCUUAAACAGUAUCAAUAAACGCUGACUAACCUCUGACAAGUUACCAAUUUGACGAGGGCUUAUUUGCUUUCUCCGGCUUCAAAAUAAUAUCCAAAACAAUUACUUUAUUGCAUCAUCAGCAUCAGCAAGAGCAGCAGCGGAUGAAGAAGAAUACGAAGAAGAAGAGGCCAAUAUCCAUAACCAACCUCUAGUUUUCAGAUCCAGGAAGUAGUAGUUGCAGAGAGAUUAAUUGUGAAUAGAGAGAAAGAGGGAGAGACUGGUUCAGAAUUAAGGAGGAUUCAGCAAAGCAAACGAGAGAGAGAGUGGUUCAGAAUUAAGGAGGAUCUAAUGAAACAAAAGAGAGAGAGAGAGAGAGAGAGAGAGAGAGAGAGAGAGAGACUAGUUCAGAAUUUACUUAGAAUUGGCUUUUGAGGAAAAGCAACGAGUAAGAGACGACCAGUUACAAAAGUAUAAAGGGGAGCACAUGGGAUGUGGCCCUCCCUUGCGCGUUUUGCGUCCACGGUUUUGAAUCGGGAAUGCUAGGAUAAAUUUGUAAAUUAAAUAAUAUGUUAUUAUUAAAAAAUGAGCAUGUAUAUUAAUAUUUAAGUAAUAAUUUAAUUAUAAAUUUCUAUGUCAUUUAGUUUAUAAAUUUAAUAUCUCUAGCAUUACUCUUUUUCCAAUUAGUUAGUCACCAAUUUCUUCUAAGAAUUUUCCAAGCACUUUUGUUUGAGGAUAUUUUAAUAAGGUGUGAUAUCCACACACCUCAUUUUACUUCUUACACACCUCAUGUUAAUUUCUGUAUGUUGAUCUUCUUCAUUUCAUCUGAUCCGAUGGUCGAAAAUUAAAAAGGUGUGUGAGAAGUAAAAUCGGAUGUAUGGAUAUCACAUCCCUUUAAUAAUUUUCACACAAAAAGUGCACUUCACAUCACACUACAAAAUCUUGGAAGGCAGAGUGAAACUCUCCAUAGCCUCUCUGGGCUCGAAAAUGGUAAAUAGUCGUGACUUGCCACCAUUUGUUCAUUUAAAAAAAAAAAAAUAUAUAUAUAUAUAUAGUUGUUGAUUGAAUAAGAUUUGGUAUCUGACCUUCCAAGCACAGGUGACAGAUCAAGUCAUUUGACUAUGAAUGAUUUUAUGAAUGAAAAAUCAUUAAGUCUCAGAGACAUUUAGUUUGAUAUCAGCAUAAUGUAUUACAAACUCAUUAAAACUAUCAACCUCAUCACCAUGUUAUGAUAAGAAUCAAACUAAACACGUGAAACCCCACCCCAAAAAUUAUGAAAUUCCACAUUUUACUUAAAGGUUUUCAAAUUUUUACAUUUCAGUCCCUCACUUCCUACCCAAUCAGGAUCCUCUUUUUAGAUUUCCUCUCCUCUCAUUGCUUGCCAUGAGGCAGCCCACUAACUCCUCCUUAUCACUCUAUCUCAUUUUCCUCGAGUUCACUCUCUUUCUCAGCUCACUCUUCUCUCACUUUCACACUCUUUCCCUCUUUCUUCCCGAUUGAACCCACACCCACGCACACCCAUAGGGACACCCCCGACGAUGACACACCAUCACCACCACCUUCGUGGACCUCCCCUCCCUCUCCUUCAAGACAUAGGAACGAGGCUUACGAUCCGCGCUACGAGGCAUUCCCAUACCAGUGACUUUGUGUCCCUCUCUCCGCUUGGACAUUCUUGUAAUAGCACAUUUCGCUUGUAUUCUGAAUUAGAUGUCUGCUUUGAACAUGUCAUGCAUUAUCACUAUACUUUCAUUGUAGGCAAUUGAAUAUUAUUAUAUUAUUUUAAGUAGUUUGAACAAAAUUUAUAUGCAUGUUUCACAUGUUCUCAGCAUUUGCAUUCAUAAAUGGCUUGCAUCACCCUCGGGUGUCGGUCAGCACGUGACUAUCCCGAUGUCCCACGAACAUCGGGAUCAGGGCGUGUCAAAACAGGUCUUAAUAGUUAUUCAUUAAUAAUCAAUGGGCUAGUUUGCCACUACUAUUUCUGAAGCUAUCGAGAGGUCAUAAGAUAGUCCAUAACUCCGCCUGAAAUUAUGUGUCUUGUCCCAAGUAAGCAAGUCAUGAUCCACCAUCACUCUCUAUCCAUCUAGGCACCAAACUAAGCAAUAGACAGAUAGAGGUAGAAAUUGGGAAUGGAAAGCAAGCAAGGGGGAGAGAGUAGUUGCCCGCUGAGACAAGAUCAGUUUGAGUUCAACAAUUGUACUAGUUGACCUGACUUACACGAAGGUUACAAAAGUUCUAUAUGCUCUGGACAAUCCGACGGAGAUGUCGAAUACAAAAAACGGAUAAAUGAAAUUUCCCAACUCAAGAACCUUACUUUCCCCGUAUAAAAAUUCAAAGCAUUCCAACAUAUGAAGAAAGACAAAAUAAGGGCACACCAACAUCAGUUCAUAACUUUCAUUACAGCUGACAAGUCACAACUCACAAGUCAUCCCUUACACACUUUAUGUACAAAGUUUUUUUUUCUAUCAUACUAGUUUCAGCUUUGAUCAACAGGCCAUCCAAUGAAAUUUAAUCUUGACAAAGAUAGCUAACCUACACCUGGUGAGUCACCGUAGCACUCAGUAACGUAUCAAAAUGUACACGACUCUUUAAUUGAAGAUGAAAGCAAACUAAAAUAUGUAUAGCCUUUGAUAAAAUGUAUAUGUAUAUUCUAUAUAUAUAUAUGUGUGUGUGUGUGUGUGUGUGUGUGUAGGAGUGUGAUAUACAGGAAGUUAAUGAACAAUUGAUGAGCCCGAUAAAAUUAUCUCUUUGUUGGCGAAAUGUUUUGAAGUCGAGAAGACCUCAUUGGUGAAGUUUGUAAGAUAGCAUUAAUGCAAAAGUUUGCGACCGUUAGUAAAAGAUCUAAGACAAAUACAUAUGUUGUUAUUGGUUGCGAUAGAGGUGGGUAUUAUUGAGCCUCUAAAACUUCACUUGAUGAAAGAAAGAGAAACUCAAGAUCUUGGCUCAUAAAUUGUCCAUUCGAAGUCAGGAGGAGUAAAAAGAAACGUGAAUAAUUUUGGAAGCUAGAGAUAAAAAGUUUGUUACAUAACCAUGAACUUUCGAAUGACAUGUGUGGACAUGUGUGGACAUCCUUCUAUUGGAGUUUAAAGAUAAGCCUGAAAAGUUGCCUCUUACUCAAAAAGAGAAUACCAAAAGGCAAAUUUAUGAAUUUCUUGAUACUUCUACUCCCUCAAUUCUUAAACCUAAUGUUAAACCUCACAAAGGUCAUCUGGUAGGGUCCAAAAAUAGAAAAGAAUCAAGCUCUACAAAGUGUAGUCCUUUAAAGUUUGAAAUAGUAGAGAAGACUUAAGACAGAUAUGUCAUUAUUUAUUUAUUUGUCUUUUGAUAUGGUCAUGAUUAUUUAUAUAUACGUUUAACACUUAAUGUGCAUAAUGAUUUGCCAAAUAAACUUUUUAUUAAUUAUAUAUAUACUAAAAGGGAAAAUAACUAAAACACCGGUCGUUUUAUAGUGUUCUCCCUUAUUUGCCCUCGCACUUUAACGCUAAUUCCUAUUGUGUCCCUGCUGUAUAUAUUUUUAAUUUCUUUCUCUUCUUUAUCCGUUCUCUCUUUCCUCUAGCUCGAUGCUCUCCGCCAGAGAGUCUCUGGCUUCUCUCAUUCUCUCUCUCUAAAAUACCCACCCUCUAAAACUCCUUCUCACCUCUCCUCCUCCGAGCCACUUUCUCUAUCUAGAACUCACUCGCCACUGCCUUCUCUCUGAUGGUUCAAUAGGCCGUUGACGACUUCUACGAUUUCGGCGACGGCCAGUCUCGAGGUUGGUCUUAGCCAACUCCUCAUAAGCUCAGGCACAUUCUACACCUAUUGCAUCUGAAGAUCUGCCUCAAAUUUACGAUUUUCAGUUCAAAUCCUAAAUGGUGCGUUUUCCGACGAAUUUACAGAGGCGGCGAGCUCAAUUCCGGCCAGGUUCUGUCAAAUUAGGUGGUAAUAGGCCACUCGAGGCUUGAACCAAAGGAGGAGAGGAGUAGUUGUUUUCAUGGAAGGAAAAGAGCAGCAGCAGCGGAGGAAGAGUAUGCAGAGGCAAACGUGGAGGAGUCGUUGGGGGUCAUCAAUGAGAAAUGUACUGUUCCAACUAACACACAACCAUUUGUUAAUUGAACCACUGAUACGACAGGCUUUGGUUUUGAGUUUCAAUUUGUUGAUUAUUGCAGGACGAUAGGUAGAGAGUGGCACUUUUCUUCAUCAGUUGCAUUCCAAGCAUGCUUUGGGAGAGGUAUAGAGUCUGUAUACCUAGCUUUUUAUAUUUCAAUAUACAAAUACUUCCCAAUGGAACCGCAAAAUUGGUAACAAACACCUUGACUGCUGCAUGGCAUACGAAACCAACUAUGCUCAUACAUAUUCAUGGGUUUCUUAUAAAACAUUAAACUAUGGAUUGCUCCUUUGCUGCUUGAACACAUAUUCGUCAUUAAACUAUGGAUUGCUCUCCUUUGCUACUUGAACACAUAUUCGUUUUAUAAAGAUCAUGUCUGUGAAAUGUCAAUUUAAAUGUAUGUGAUAGUGACUGUCUUAAACUGAUAUGCUCAUAUACAUCGGUAAUUCGUAUUAUGUGUUAUAGUGGACAGCUUGAAUCCAUCUUUUCUUUGUUUGACUUGCUAAUUUUUCUUUAUUUUUCAAUUGCAUAUAGUGCAAUUCACUCUGUUUUAAAUUAGUGGUAUAUUGAGGUAAUUUUGAGAGGAUAUAUAUAAAGCACUCUCUUUGUAUUAGUGUGGGUGUAUGGUAUGUAUGGCAUCGGAUUAAACCUUGAAUAUUACAAAAAGUUGUUCUACUUCAAUCCCCAUCGUGUUUUAUGUUGAGCCUCUGCAGAUACUUUGUUGAUUAAAGCGCUCUUUAUGCAUUGCUGUCACAAGUUUCAAUGAAAUAAUUUAUGACAAGUUCUCCUUCCGUUUCAGGUUUGUUACAGACCUGAUUUCGUAUGCUCGGAGUAAUGAACUGAGGAUCUUUAUUAAUCUCGGCAUGCUUAAAUAUCUAUAGAUGUAAUAUGAUUAUAAGAAUAUAAACUUUGUUUAUAUGGUGUUCUAGACAAACACAGCAGUACUGCGCCUACGCUUGAGAGACCUUUUUAAUUUGAUUGAUUUCAGACGUUAGACUUUGUCCAUAUUGAAAUUAUCUUUUGAACAGUGAGCAACCAAUCUUUUGAUAACAAAGAACUUAGCUAUAAAAUCUAACUUCUAUAACCUCUGUCUUCUAUUGUAUAUUUUCACAAUAUAACACCCACAGCAUCACGUGGGUCUUUUUGCUAGUAAUAGCUUAGAUGUGUAAAGAACACGUGAAGAUACACAUUUGCCAUGGUUAUCUUGGCUUCCCUUGGAAACUCUUUUCCAUGAAAAAUCCAUUCCAUCACACAUACCACAGGAUUCAUGCUCAACUUCAAUAUCUAUGUAUUAAUAACUUACAGUUUACGUGCACGUGAACAACUGUUCUUAGCAUUUGCAUGUAAGAAGGUGCAACUAUUCAUACCAAAAAAUAGUUAAGAGCACAUAAAUUGGCCCUAAUAAAAAAUAGUUAAUUAGCAUUUGCAACUAAUCCAGGUUUUUAUAUGUAUCAUUUUCAAGAAUCGACAGAUAAAUGAUAGCGUACAAGUAGGUGAGCAGAAGUCAUAGUAUGAGACCUUAAAGGCUGGCUCAGAACCAAGACCAACUUCUGAAACUACAGAAGCUAUCACUGCACUAAGUAUGACCAUAGAAGUGGUAUUCACAAGUGAAAUGGAUGAGGAAUCAGGUGGUGAUGGCCAUAGGAGACUCUACGGCAAAGAAACAACCGGAAACAGCAGCAUUAAACCUUGUCAAAACAGAACAACAACAAUUACAAUGAGGGCAAACAUGCAUUGAUAAUGGCAGCGCAGAUAUACACGAAACUGAAUACCAACCAGAAGCAAUUCCAGCAGCCACAUGAGUGAGCCUUCUUUGUGAACUUUUAUCAAACACAGCACCAAUACCCUUGGCUACAGAAGCUCCAAUCUCAACGCUAGGACCUUCGGGACCUAACGAGUUCCCAGCCCCAAGUGUGACACAUGCAGCAAUUGCCUUGAAAAAGGACGUGAUGCAGCCUUGAGACCAUCAAAAACCCAAAAAGGCAUUUCAUUAAUAAAUUCUCUCCUUUUUCUCCUCCUUGCUCAUUGCCAUUUUUAUCUUCUGAACCAUCCUCAAGAGCAUCUUGAAGCAAGUUUAUUAUGGCAACGAAGCUCCCCGUUGCGGCAUCCCACCCCAGAACACAUCAUGUAUCUCAUGAACCUUCCCAUUCAUAUCAAAAUCUCAGAAAAAGCUCAAAACUUAAUGUAUAAGCAAGCAAGAAAAAAGCAAAGCAAAAAUAGGUAAUGAAUGACGGAACCUGAGGUUCCGCCCUUAUAGUUGUAAGUUUAUGCAAGGUUCCUUAACUUUCCGAUGUGGUACAGUUUUUCAUAACCUCACGCGCCCCUCACAUGUUGCAGCACUCAAGUCAAACAGAUGGACAACACACAUUCCUAUGUGAGCCAAUUCUUUAACAUCCUCACAACGAAUGACAAAACGUAAAGAUCACUAGCAGACUACAAUGCUAAUGCAUCUCAUGAACAUUUACAAUUUCUGUAAAAUUUCAGAUAAAAGCUCAAAACUUUGCAAACAAGCAAGCAAGAAAAGCAAAAAUGGACAAUUGAGUAAUGGGUAAAAAUCAAACAUACAGAGUAGUUGAAGAGGACGACGCCGAUUCCGGUGAGCAGACCCACCAAGCUCGACGACAGCACUAUCGUCCAGUUCCCUCGGCCACGGCCUUGUGCGCUGUUUUCAUCUUCCCCUUUUUCUUGUUCUUCUGCUUUGUCAUCGUCAUCGUCAUCGUCAUCGUUUUGUUGUUUUUGUUGCUGGGUUUGUUGGUUUUGAGUGGGUUUAAUAGUUCUUCUAGUGUUUGACGUGUACCCAGCACUGGCAUUUUUGGUGUUGAUUGUUCUGGUUUGGGUGUUUGAUGUGGGAGAGAAUAGGAGGAGGGUUUUUCCCGGCGGUGAUGAAGACGGAGGAGGAGGAAAGGCCAGGGGACAUAAAUGGCGGCGGAAGUGAGCGUUGGGGAAGCGUCGUAUGCACGAUCACAACUGUUCAGUCAAAUCACAACCAACUAAUGGAUAAAUGCCAAAAUAAUUAAGCAAUAUUCAUAUUAAUAUAAAAUAAUACCCGAAUUUCCUUUUCUUUUCUUAAUAACCAAAUCAAGAGUUGUCCGUUGUUUUAAUAGUAACUUAUUAAAUAUAGUCCAUCUUGAUUGGAACGGCACGUACCACGCUAUGUUUUCGGCAUACUAAAAAAUUUCUCAUAUAUGUGGAACUGAAUGGCAAUAUGCCAUUGAUAACAUAGAUGGAGAUUAUGUUUACUUUGCAUAGAAUUUUUUUGUUACUAAAUGUAGUUGGAAUGAUGGUGAAAUUUGAGUGAUGUAUGCAAUUUGGUGUAUUGAUGUACACAAGAUAGCCGCACAAGCACAUACGAACAUCUUCAAAGGAGAUGUCAAAAGAUAAGUGUUAAAUGUUAAUUUAAUGGCUAACGUGACAAUGUCAUAUUUUUUUUUUUUUUUUUUUUUGUCGAAAGAUAGAAAUUUAUUAAGAUUAAAUACGAGCGGUUACAUUUGCAUCCUCUGCUAAAAUAUUGAACAGAAACUCUGGACCUAACAAAUCCCAAUCAAAACUCCCGUCAUGCUUAACAGCGUGCGCCGCCACCGAAUGAGCUGCACGAUUGCACUGCCGAGGGGUGAAGCAAAACCUCACCAACUGGAACAAAUCCGCCAUCAUCCAAAUGUCUUGGAGAUAGAUAUCAAGAACCACAUCAGUCGUGACCUCCUGAUUAAUCAUUUGAAUCAAACCUUUUGAGUCCGAUUCAACCACCAAACUACCCCCAGAUUCCAAAACCCGACUACUAAGAACCAUCUCUAAUCCCUGCCUGACCGCCUCCGCCUCAGCCAUUAUUGCAGCUGCAAACCUUUGCCCACCCACCCCGCCUACGAGCUUGGGAAGCCCCGCAAAAUCACGAAGAACCCACCCCACCCCACCCACCUUUGACUCAUUCCGCCAGGUCGCAUCACAAUUUAAUUUCAAGACACCAAAACUGGGUUUUUUCCACUGAAGCCGAUCUGCACCCACUUCCCCCACCCCUAACUCCCGCUUAGUCCAUUGUUCCCCCCCAUCCACUACCGUAGGCUCUCGAAACUCACCCACCUGCUUGUACCACAACUCCACUGCAAUAUGCGGCUGGAUGCUACUCCCAUUAAAUACCGCUUCAUUCCUACAUUUCCAGAUUCGCCAAAACCCGAACACCACCUGCUGCAAUAAUAAUUCCGCCUCCUCCUCCUGUCCUAGUCUCGUCACUACCCUUUCCCACCCCUCCAGAAAAUCCACCACACCCAAGCCUGCCAUAUCCAUUUGCACCUCUGUCCCGAACCAAAAAGCGCAACUAAACUCGCACCCAAAAAAUAGAUGCCCUUCGGUCUCAUCUAGCAAGCCACAGAGCUCACACUUAUUCACCACUCGAAUCCGUUGGCGCUCCAAAUUAUGCCUCACCGCCAACGCCUUACGACAGGCCCUCCAAACAAAUAACCGAAUCUUAUUUGGCACUAGGAGAGGCCAAAUUGUUUUCCACACCCCUCCCCCCACUCGUGCCGAACUCGGCAUCCCCCCCCCUUUAUGCCCAAAUUCCCCAUUUUUCAUCAUCUCCAUUGCUACAUAAUAUCCCGAGUGAACCGAAUAAAUCCCAUUCUUUGUAUAGUGCCAUAUUUGUUUAUCACGACAACCACGUCUACUAAUCGGAAUAGUUUGAAUCAGUUCUAAAUCGUCUUGUUCCACCAUGAUCCUAAGAGUCUCAAGAUUCCACCCUUGCUUAUCCUUAGAAAUAACUUGCAUACCUUUACAUUGGGAGCCCCAAUCCUCAUCAUUGGUUUGAAAGAAUGAGGCUUAGGUAUCCAAGGAUCAGUCGCCACUCUAAUAGUCUCCCCAUCCCCCACCUGCCAACAAAGACCACGAGUUAAGACUUGCCGCCCCAAUAGUAAACCUUUCCAUCCCCACGAGGAUCUGGGUCGGUUGUUAGCCUCGAGAAAUGAAGAGUUAGGAAAGUAUUUAUCCCUAAGCACCACCCCAAGCAUCGAAUCCAGCGUAUGUAGUACCCUCCAGCUGACUUUGGCAAGCAUGGCCAAAUUAAACCCAAUUAGUUCCUGAAAACCCAACCCUUCAUCCUUCUUCCUCAUAGUCAACUUCUCCCACGCCACCCAAUGACAUCCCUUAGCUUUCUCCUGCCCUCGCCACCAAAAUUGAGCAAUAACUCGCUCUAGUUCCUUACACGCACUCACCGGUAAUUUAAAGCAAGCCAUAUCAUGAUUCGGCAUCGCCAUGGCCACUGAUUUGAUCAACACUUCCUUCCCUGCGGGAGAUAAAAAUUGCUCGGCCCAUCCAUCAGUCCGGCUCUUGAUACCUUGAUGAACCGACUCAAAAACCGUCUUCUUCGAAUGCCCAAAAUCCACCUGAAUCCCCAAAUAUUUACCAAAUCCCUCUUUAGCUUGGAUAUUCAUCCUCGUAACAAUACGUUUUUUCUCCUUCUUCGGGCAACCCUUUCCAAAAAAUAUAGAGUUUUUCUCCAAAUUUAUAUUAUGGCCAGACUCUUUCCCAUACGCCUCCAAGAUUUUAACCACGUGCCCUGCCUCCGUCACAUCAGAUUUACAGAAUACUACUGAAUCAUCCGCAAAAAACAAAUGACUAAUAGGCACCGCAUUCUCUACCACCCGCACCCCACUAAUCAAACCCGCCUCUUCAGACUUUCAGAUAUACGCCGACAAAGCUUCCGCACAUAGCAAGAAUAAAAAAGGUGACAAUGGGUCCCUUUGUCGUAACCCCCGUUCUGGUCGAAAAUACCCUGAGGGAACACCAUUCACCAUGACACUAUAGGACACUGUAGAGAUACAUUCACGAAUCCAUUCACAAAAUUUAGGAUGAAAACCCAACUUAUGCAUAACAACGAUCAAAAAAGGCCAUUCUACCCAAUCAUAUGCUUUCGCCUUAUCUAAUUUAAUCGCCAUCUGAGCAUCCACCCCAUUCACCCCUUGCUUCAAAGAAUGCAAAAUUUCAUGUACCACCAAAAUAUUAUCAUGAAUCUGUCGUCCGGGAACAAAAGCUGACUGAUUAAUGCUAAUAACCCGGUUCAUCACUUUUUUUAAUCUCCGCGUUAAAACCUUAGCAAUAAUCUUAUACACCACAUUACAUAAUGAUAUAGGUCUCAAUUCCACCAUCCGCCGCGGAGCCUUCACCUUCGGAAUUAAGACAAUAUUUGUGUGGUUAGUCUUUUGAAGCAGCCGCCCUGAAUGAUAGAAAGCAUGCACCAUCCGAAUAAUAUCCUGACCCACCACUUCCCAAUGAUCCUGAAAAAACCCAGCUGUAAAUCCAUCAGGACCAGGAGACUUUGUUGCUGAAAUUUGAAACAAAGCUUCCCGAAUUUCCUCGUCCGAGAAAGGGCGGAUAAGUUCCUCAUUCUCCAAGUCCAAUACCUUCGACUCCACUGAUGUCGCUACCUCACCAUCCUGCUGUGAGUCUCCAGCAGGGAAGAAAUCCAUACAAUACGCUAUAGCAAUGUUCUGCAUACGUUCCAGGUCCGUCUGCCAUACUCUUGCAUUAUCAACCAAUCCUUGUAUCCGAUUACACCUCCUUCGUUGUACAGUUUGAGCAUGGAAGAACUUGGUAUUUUUAUCCCCUUUCCGAAGCCAUGUAUUCCGUGAUUUCACCUUCCAAUAAUAUUCUUCCUCUUUAAUAGCCCCUGUAAGCUCCUUCUCUUUCUCUUUAAUAUGCUCUUGCCGCACCAAUGGAUCCAAAAUCCCCCUUCGGAUCUCUUCCUUUAAUUCCUCAAUUCGCCGCUUAGAACUUGGUAUUUUUUUUUCUUUUUCCAACUGAUAUGUUUUUUUUUGUUAUAAAUGAUAUAUGUAUGACUCAUUUUAAAAAGAAAUCAAUUAAAAUAUUUUUUCAAUAUCUAUAAUUGGUGCAUUAACGGAACUCACGCUAUAAAAUAAUUAAAAAUUAUUUGACAUCACAUUUUCUCAUAUGUCAAAUUUGACAUAUGAAAACUCAUAUGUCCAUCCACAUAAGAUUGACAUAUUGGUUGUAGCUUGUUCUUAUCUUCAAAUUUGAUCGGUUGGAGAUGUCAAAUCCUAAAUGGAAUGCUAUGUAAUCAAAUUUGAAAGUAGGAGCAAGCUUCAACCAAUAUGUCAAUCCUAUGUAGAUUGAGAUAUGAGUCAAAUUUGACAUAUGAGAAAAGGUGAUGUCAAAUAAUUUUUAAUUAUUUUAUUGUGUGGGUCCUAUUAAUGCACCAAUUAUAUAUCUUGAAAAUUUAUUUUAAUUGAUUUCUUUUAAAAUGAGUCCUACAAAUAUCAUUUAUAACAAGAAAAAACAUAUUGGUUAAAAAAAGAAAAAAAAUCUGACAUUACCACAUCAGCCAUCAAAUUAGCAUAUAACAUUUAUCUUUUGACAUAUCCUGUCAAUAAACCUUUAACAUUAACUUUUACCCCAGUCAUUGUAAAGAUGCUAUGUCCCACCAUUGACACAGUUAUAUUGGCUUCCUUGGAAACUCUUUUCCAUGAAAAAAAUCCAUUUCAUCACACAUACCACUAGAAUAUUGCUCAAAUUUAAUAUCUAUGUUGUAACUCUAAAUUUCCAAUUACAAGUUAUGUUCGUACUCAUAACUUACAGUUUACAUGUAAGCAACUAUUCUUAGAAUUUGCAAAUAAGAAGGUGAAAUUAUUUAUAUUAAAAAAUAGGGAACUUUAACGAAAAGCUCCCGAUACUGUUCACUUUAAUGAAAAAUCAUAUUUUUAUACCAAAAAGUCAAUCCCGGUACCAUUCACUUUACCCUUUAUUUUAUCCCUUUCGUUAAAACUCAAAAAUUUCAAAAAUUUUUCAUUAUUUUUCCUUAAAAGAUAGUUAUGAGCACAUAAAUUGACAUGUACCUUUAUAAAAUUCGAGAAAUUUGUCUCGGUGGUCGAGACAUUUGCUACAACUGAGGACAAAAGAAGCUCCUACAACGGAGUUGCACACUUGAAUGCAGAAUGGCCAACGACAUAUGCUGAACUAACAUAUAAAAUUACAAAACAAAUGGAAGCUAGACAAGGUUGUAGCUCCAAUUAAGAAUGCAUUACAUUAUGAUUUUGAUUUUGAUCAAUUACAUCAUGUUUAUCAAUUAAGAAUGCAUUACAUUAUGGUAAUAUUCACAUUACAUUAUGUUUAUCAAUUACAUCAAUUACUAGGGCCGGUUCUUUGAUUUUGAUCCAAAACUUAUUACUACUUCAAAGAUCCCUAAUCUUUUAUUGAAGAGACCUUUCCAUGCACAUCAUGCAAUACAAGAAGUUUUAGGGACUAAUUAAAUAGCGAAAAUGAGGCUCAAAAUGGAUCAAUCAAAAUGCCUUAAUUGUACCAACUAAUGAAGUUAUUUAAAGGGUUUAUAUUCAUAUUUUAGAACACUAAUCAUCGAUCGUCUCAUUAAAGAAGAAGAGGACAUGAAACAACGCAAUACAACACCUUCGUGGACAUGAGCUACUUGUUGGCCAUGAUAAGAGUAUAUAAUCUACGGGUGUGUUUAGAUUAUGAAUUAGGUUUCCUCUUUAAACUGGUGUAUAGAACGAUACACAACUGCAGUUUAUAGUCUGACAAUAUAACAUGUCAAAUAUCCAACAAACAAAUCACUCUAUUUCUAAAUGGUAGCUUCCUUCUCAAUCUCGCAUUAAUUUGUACCUUCCUUCACAAAUCACGGUUUUGUUUCCCCACUUUAUACAAGUUGACAAAUUGUAAACAUAAACUUGCUAAUCAACUCUGAUUUCUAAAUUGUAUUUGUUGUGGUAGUACUUAAUGUGCCGGGCUCAUUACGACCAGUGGCAGUUUUGAAAUAUCACAACAAAAGCAGUACCAAUCUGCGAAUCGCAAUUGCUCCUCACGAGUACGGCAGACUGAGCGCGCUGUGCUCUCGAUUGAUUCCUGGUCUGAUCUUCUGCGAAUCGCAAUCCUACAGUGGCGAUGGCGUCGGCGCAGAACCAAUCUGCGAAUGUGGAUCUCUUCGAUGCGUAUUUCCGACGAGCUGAUUUUGACAGCGAUGACCGGAUUAGUGGCAAUGAAGCCGUCGCUUUCUUCCUGGGCUCCGAUGUCCCCAAACAGGUCGGCACAGCUACUCUCUCUCUCUCUCUCUCUCUCUCUCUCUAUAUAUAUAUAUAUAUAUAUAUAUAUGCAUAUGCUUGUGUAUAUAUGUAUAAUUGGAUGUGUAUUGUAGUGUGUAUGAUUAUAUUUGUGUAAUAAUAGUGGUUGAUCGGGAUUUGAUGCUGGUGGAAAUUUGUUCCAAAUCAGAUUGAUUUUGAUUUUUUUAGUCUAAUUGUAGUUGAAUUGGUUAAUGUGAGGUGAGGUCGGGAUGUCUUAAUUCUCUGAUCUAAGCUGAGAUUUUUAGUUCGUGUUAGUAUAAAUACGGAGUUGAUGUUCAAAUGGUAGAAAAUAAGUAGAUGAAGGAUUUAUACUACAGUUAGUGAGGUUGAGAGAGUUAUGCUAUCAGGUCAUUAAUUUACUUUAUGGUGUAUCCGCUCGACCUAAGGUGGUAAGCAGACUUCAGAAAUGUGUCAUAUAACCCGAGGAUUUGACAUUACAAUUGCGUAGUAGUGAAAACCUGCAGCAUAAGGUGACUAUGGAAUAGUUAGGAUUAUCGCAUACAUGGGAAAUGUUCUUGGGUCAGGAUAGUGAGGUUGAGAGAGUUAUGCUAUCAGGUCAUUAAUUUACUUUAUGGUGUAUCUGCUCGACCUAAGGUGGUAAGCAGACUUCAGAAAUGUGUCAUAUAACCCGAGGAUUUGACAUUACAAUUGCGUAGUAGUGAAAACCUGCAGCAUAAGGUGACUAUGGAAUAGUUAGGAUUAUCGCAUACAUGGGAAAUGUUCUUGGGUCAGGAUCAUAUCGAUAAAUAGGUUUUCUUCUCAAAAAAAAUAUCGAUAAAUAGGUUCUUGAAGCUGUAUACUUGUUUUACUGAAGGAAUUUCCAUAUAAAAUGAUAACCGGGCGCAUAUUAUGUUAAAUAUUGAUUAUACAAAUGCACUUUCUCCUUAUCUUUUUGUAACAGAAGUUUGGAUCUGUUCUAGUUUAUAUUUUUUAUUUUUUAUUUUUUAUUUUUGAGAAGAAACAAUUUUAUUAAAGAAUAGAGAACAGCACAGAAGUGGAUAAGAAGUCCACUAACUGUAUAACAAGGAAAAACCCAUUAGGAUUUGGCUACAGCAGCCAUUUCUAGACCUAGCUCACUUAACUGCUGCUAACAAAUCCCAUAGUAUUUGAGAUAGAGAAACAUUAUUAAACUCUUUAGUGACUGAAGCCCAAAAAGCUGCCCAAUAUUUUACUCUCCCCCAAAGUUCUUCUGCCCCCACUCCAGUAUAGUCUUCAAAAAUCCUCUUGUUGCGUUCCAGCCAUAUAUUCUAGAAAAUUGCCGAUACCAGGCAACCCCACAAAACUUUUGGAUUUUUUCCUUUUUCCAAGUGCCUUAAAGUUUGUGCUUAGUAGCUCGAAACACCCUUUAGGAAUGACCCAACUUGCUUUAACCUCCUGUAACAAUUUCCACCACAGUUGGAUCGAGUAGGAGCAAUGAAGAAAGAUGUGAUUUACACUCUCCUCCUUGGCUUUGCACAGGCUACACCAAUGUGGUGAUAAGCACAUAAGAGGGUUUCUCCUUUGAAUUCUGUCGCAUGUGUUUAGAUUCCCAUUGGCCACAAGCCAUACAAGUAUUUUAACCUUCGGAGGAACUUUUGAUUUCCAAAUCUGAGGGUAGGGUGGAAAAUAGUGCACACUCCCAUUGUUGCUCAGUAAUGAACGAUAAGAUUUGCAUGAGAACAAACCUGAAGCUUCCAGAUUCCACCUUCUGAUAUCCAUCUUUAAUGGAGACAAUCGAACCUCUUCCAGUUUCUGUAAUAAUGUGGCCACCUCUACUAUCUCCAUCUCAUUCAAGUUUCUCCUAAAAUCAAAGUUCCAACUCAAAGGAUUUGAUGAAACUUCCACGAAGCUCGAGAUGUUUUGAUUAUGCUUCCUUUAUAGUAGGAAUAGUCUGGGGAAUUGCUCCUUCAGCGGUCCCCCUGUUAACCACCCAUCCUCCCAAAACCUCACCCUCUCUCCGUUGCCCACCUCAAACGUGCAGCAUCUAAGAAACUGAUGAGAACCACUCGAAAUGUCUUUCCAUGGGCUUCGACUUGAAACCCUCCUUUGAGGAAGUGCAUCCCAUCCAUUAGCUUGUAGCCCAUACUUACUUCUUAUCACCUUGUGCCACAGAGACUGUGACUCCCUUGGGAAUCUCCACAACCACUUAGCCAAUAAUGCUUCGUUAUGAUUCCUCAAGUUCCCCACCCCUAGACCUCCUUCCUCCUUGUUUUUAGUAACUAACUCCCACUUGGCCAAAUGUGUUUUCUUACCUUCCUCCAUGCCUUCCCAUAGAAACCCCUUCAUUAAUUUUUCUAGACGUCCUCUUACCCCGCAUGGAAUUUUGAACAAGGACAUAUAGUAAAUCGGCAUGCUUCCCAGGACUGAUUGAAUUAGAGUUAAUUUACCCCCUCUAGAUAGGAAAGCCUUCUUCCAACUUUGAAGUCUUCUUUCCAUUGUUUCUACCACUGGAUCCCAAAACUUUAUUGCUCUUUGCCUUCCUCCAAGGGGAAGCCCCAAAUACUUUAUCAGCCAGCACCCUACCUCGCACCCCCAAGAAACUGCCAACCUGUUUAGUUUCUCACUCUCUGAAUUUAUCCCAGCCAAAAAGCACUUAGCUUUGUUGAUUUUCAAUCCUGAGACCGAACAGAAUAAAUUAAGCACUUGGAUUAGGUUAUUCCAAACUUCCUCGUCUUCCGUCAAGAAGAAAAUGGUGUCGUCGGCAAAUUGAAGAUGAGAUAUCUCCACCUUUUCUUGGCCGAUACACAAGCCUUUGAUGAGAUCAGUUUCUUGUGCCUUCUCCAUUAACUUGCUCAAAACAUCGACUACUAAGGUGAAAAGAAAUGGUGACAGUGGAUCGCCUUGUCUCAAACCUCUUGAAGCUUGAAAUUUUCCCCUUGGCCUUCCAUUGAUCAAAACGGAGAAAUUUGCAGAGCUUAAACAUCCUUGCAUCCAUUUCCUCCAUCUAUUGCCAAAACCUUUUCUUUGAAGUACUUCUUCUAGAAAUCUCCAUUCAACAUGAUCAUACGCUUUUUCAAAGUCUAUCUUAAGCACCAAUCCCUUCUCUUUUUUCUGCCUCACCUCUUCUACCACUUCAUUUGCAAUGAGGACAGCAUCCAAAAUUUGUCUAUCCUUAACAAACGCCCCCUGAUUCGGAGAGACAGUGGUAUCCAAAACCUCCUUCAAUCUUGAAGCCAGUGUUUUUGCUAUAAUUUUAUACAAUCCAGUUACUAAGCUUAUGGGCCUAUAGUCCGUCACUUUCAAAGAAUCUGAUUUCUUCGGGAUCAGGCAAAUAAAAGUCUCGUUCGUCACUGCAUUUAUUAUCCCUUUCUCAAAGAACUCUUCCAUGAUCUUCAUUAUAUCCUUCUUCAAAAUCUCCCAGCAAUGUUGAAACAUUUGCAUAGAGAAGCCAUCUGGUCCUGGAGAUUUAUCCUUUCCACAAUCGAAAACUGCUCUUUGAACUUCUAUUUCCUCAAAAGGCCUCUCAAGCCAACUUGCCUGAAGGGCGCUUAUUGGAGCCCAAUUUAUCCCUUCCAAACCCCAACAUGCCUCGUCGUUACGCUGAAUAAGGAUUUGAAAAAAUUGACAAUAUGCUCUUCGAUCUCUUUUGCAUCCUCUAUUAUUCCCCCUCCAACCGACUCUAACCUCUCAAUAUAGUUUCUCUUCCUUCUCCCAUUUGCAACUCGAUAGAAGAAUUUUGUAUUACCAUCCCCUUCCUUUGCCCAUUCCACUUUGCUUCUCUGCCUCCAUUUCACUUCUUCUUUACAAGCCAAGUCUCCUACAAGGGUUUGGAGUUCUUCCCUUUUUCUUCUAGCUUCAAAAUCUAAGCCUUCCAACCCCUAUCUCCUGUCCAACUCCUCUAUGUUUGCUUCCACUUCUUUCAAGACUUUUUCGAUCUCGCCGAAGCUCUCCUUACUCCAGCGUUGCACCUUUUUUUUCAUGGCUUUUAACUUGAUCAUAAAUUUAUAACCCUCCCACCCCUCCACUUGCUCCGAUUGCCACCAUUCCUUGAAUUUAUUCCUGAAUUCUGGAUCUUGGAGCCACAUGUUUUCAAAUCUGAAAGGACAUGGCCCCCAUUUCACUUUGUUGGUGUCUAGCUGGACUGGGCAAUGAUCAGAAAUGACCCUAGCCAAGGCCGUUUGUCUAGCCUCAGGGAAGAUAUCUUCGCAACCUGUAGAGCAUAAGAAUCUGUCUAAUCUCCGACACACAGGUUCUUCUCUGAGGUUUGACCAAGUAAAUUGUGCAUUGAGCAGCUCCAAAUCCUUGAGUUCUGUCUCUCUAAUGAAAUCAUUAAAAUCCCUCAUGCUUUUAGUCAACCUCCCCCCGUUUGAUUUCUCAUUUAUAAAUCUAACCACGUUAAAAUCUCCUCCUACACACCAUCUUGGUCCACACAUACCAUAAAGUCCCGCCAAUUUUUCCCAAAACUCCCUUCGGUCUCUAUUUUUACAUGGACCAUAGACUCCAGAUAGCCACCACUCCAUCCCAUUGGGAGCCAUAAUUUUUAUUGAUGCAGAGAAAACACCGAUCAAAGAUUCGGUUACUGACAUGUGUUUUGUAUUCCAGAUUACAGCUAUGCCCCCUGAGCUUCCUUGUGCAGGGGCAUAAAUCCAGUCUUUAUAUCUGCUUCCCCACACACUAGCCACAAGGCUUCUGUCAAUCAUAGCUUUCUUAGUUUCUUGUAGUAUGAUGAUGUCGGGCUGUAACCGUUGGAAUUGCUUUUUCAAAGUUAGCCUCUUCCGUCUACUUCCCAAUCCUCUAACAUUCCAGCUAAUUAUCUUCAUUAAAACUGGUAUUGCCCCUGUGAAGUUUACUAUCUCCCUUAAAACCAUCCUCUUUCUUGCCUCUUCUGACUUUCCCUUUCUUCGCUUCUUUUAACAGAGACCUUUUCAACGGAAACAAGGAAAUCUUCAUUUUAGACAAAAAUUUGGAAUUUAGAUGUUGUGCCUCAUUGUUGGCUAAUUGGCCUGCCAGUUUUUUCCUUCUUCUGUACUUUAAUAUUUCCUUGUUUUUUCCUAUUGCCUUAGUAACAGACUUCUCAUGAUUAGAUGCCUCCUCCAACGUUGUCAAUGCUUCCAAAUUUGAAUCCUUGAAUAGGUUGUGGAGGUCAUCACAGGAUAAUUCAAAAUCUUCAGAUGUUUCUUUUUCCUCUUGAGAGUAAGCCUCCGCCUCCCCAUCAGCAACAGAAGAUUGGGCGGAGAAAUCUUCGUCGUCGCUGUCUAACAAUUGAGCCGAAUCCAUGCCUAGAGCCUCCAUCCUUCUCCGCCAUUGAUCUGCUGGAUUCUUCUCAGUCGACCCGCUCGGUGAUCGGGCACGGUCAUCAUCGGCCUCGCUCUCCAGAUCUUCCUCUAAUUCACUAUCUGAAUCAGUGAAUGUGAGGUUAGAAGGCCAGCCUUUCGUCAGAAUAGGCCCUUCUAGUUGAUUCUGACCAGAGCCAAAAUCUUGUGGUGAAAGAAUCUUUAGCCGCAAUCCGCCCCUGUCAGGUUGGCCAAAUCUCCCAAAGAAACUCGAACAUGUGCUCAAGGAAGAUCUAAUUGGAAUGCCUGCUGUAUAAAACUCCGUGGCCCGUGGUUGCUGGGUAUCGCCCAAUGCCGUAUAUCCUCCAACGGUGUGCCUUAGAGUCGGCAACCUUAGAUUCUCCAACGGAUUCGACAACGUUCGAGACUUAUACAGAAGUUCCAUCUCGGAUUGAAACCAAUGUCUCAUUCCGUGAAUUGUUUGAAUAAGUGGGCCUCGACCUGACCCUUCCCAAUGAGAUUCACAGCCCAUCGAUUUACCGUUUAUAGUUGUAAAUAAAUUUUUAGCACCCAUAGGCCCGGUCACCGCCAUGUUUUCUCCACUAUUUGGGCUUUGUGUAUCAAAGCCCACCACUCCAUCAAGUUUAAUUGGAAUAAAGUUGUUUUUGUUGGGCCCACUCCCAUCGUAAACCUCUACAACAUUUCUAAUGCAUAUCUCCACUCUUGUUCCAUUAAAAAACUCCCUUCUUGAUGAAAUCUGUGCCCCCUCUGUACUCGAGCAACCGCCAUCUUUCCCCUCUAAUUCCAGCCUUUUGCUUUUACCCAGAGAAACAUAAGCAACAUUUCUAGUGCAUAUCUCCACGCUUGUUCCAUUAAAGUACUCCCUGCUUGAUGAAAUCUGUGCCCCCUUUGUACUAGAGCAUCCGCCAUCUUUCCCACCCUGUGUUUGAAGUGGCGUCCCAUACUCUCUUUCAGAGACAAUAAUGUCAGAGAGUUGGUUUGCAGGCAUCUCGUAACUCGCGUCCGCAGUCUCAGUCCCGUCGUGACCAAACAUUCUGUCACCACCGAUAGUGACUGGGCAGUCGAUGGCGCCGAUUCGAAAGCUGGCGCAUUUCCCCGUCGCGUGGGUUGCCUCCCCGAGCUCGGCCGUCGCCGGAUGAGUUAUUCCAGAAGUCCGUUGUAAUUGCUGUUCCUUUUUCAGAGGCCCAACUAAGGCUUCCGGUCUACCCAGAUCUUCAGCCGAAAUCAUGGGUCUCAUCGCUGGCGAAAGUUGCCGGAUCCUGACCCUGAAGACUAGAUCUCCGUCAGCCACUUCUACUACCUCAGGGAUGAAACCAGUUAUGUUGGUUUUGAGUUUUAUCUUUGCUUCGAGCAAGAAACCGAAUCUAGCGGUUGUUUGAUCGAUAUCCGCCAGACCUCCGCAAGCCUCGCCAAUAUCCUGGAAGAAUUUUUUGGUCCAAAGAUGUGGUGGUAAACCUUCCAGUGCAACCCAACCUCCAUAACUGACCGCCAGUCUUUGAUUUGUAUUCAAACUCUCCCACCACCCCGCCAGUUUCACCUCGGGGUACUCCUUCAUGCCUAUUGCUCCAAGUAGUGCUAUUUUUUUUUGCUUCCUCCUCGUUCUGGCAAACAAACAGUGCUUUGUUGCAUUGAAAUGGCGAGAGUCUGAUGUCCGUUCCCAGAAGAUUUCGAAGUGAGGCCUCCACCUCCCUCCAUGAUUGAUGCACCACCUUUCUCUCACAGACUACAACACUUCCCCAACUGUAAGAUUCUUUAGAGCAAUUCCUCUGAUUCCAAGUGAAUUCUUUCCAAAGUUCCUCUCUGGCUCUCCGAUUGGAUUCCUCCUUUGUUGUCUGCCUUCCUCCAGUGACUGCAUCCCUAUAUGAACCUUGAACACCGGCUCCCGACAUAUUUCCUCUCGGUUCCAACCCGAUUCAUCUUCCUCAUUGUAGUCCCCGUCUUCUUUCCCCCUUGCAAUAUUUCAUACAUCAGCUCCUCCAGAUUUCUCCAUCCGAUACCUUUAAAACCUUUUGGAACGAAAAUAUUUCUGACAAAACCAUCCUUUUCAGUUUUGGAAAGGACAAGGACCUCCCCAUUUCUGUUCUGAAAUCCUUCAACCCAAAACUGAUAGUUGUGACCUUUGUAUUUUCGGAAGAAGUUCAAACCACCUGUGGCAAUGACCGCCUUUAACUGCUCAAUGAUCCACGCUGCACAACCCAGAUCAAAAGAUAUCUGAUAUCCUCUGGUUCUCGUUCUCUCUGUUACCCGAAUCCUUUCGCCAAAAGACUUCUCUUCAAUCUCUAAAAUGAAAACCUUGUGCUCAACUUUAAAAUCCCUGGAUAAGUGUCUGUAGCUCAUCUUCCUCGAGUAUAAGUUUUACUCGGCAGCACUACAUGCUUAUUUUUAUAGACUUGUGAAGAUUGAUAAUCUGUUCUAGUUUAUAUUGGCUGCUUAUAUUUAUUGGCAGACACGGGCAAAUGCAGACCAGAGGCAGACUGGUUUCCUUGGUCGGGCAGAGUUUUACAAUGCCCGUAGACUUGUCACUGUGGCUCAAAGUAAGAGAGAACUUACGCCAUAAAUGGUGAGGGUAGCACUAUGUGGCCUGGCUGCAGUAAAAUACCUGCACCCAAGAUAAAUUUGCAGUGACUCAUGCACCGCAGUUCAAUUAUUCUGCAGCCGCACCUGCCUGUCAGGGUGGUGCUGUCACUCCGACAUCCUCGCAAAAUUUUGGGUUCAGGGGGUCGCAAAUACCACCUCAGUGUAAUUCUGCUGGAGCAGCACCUGCCACUCGGGGUGGUGUUGUCAAAAUCUUGGGUUAAGGGGAUUACCUGCGAGUGUGAGUGUGAACAAGAAAAUUUUCAUUUCUCAAGAUGGCAAGGCCACUAGGCCUCCAGUGCCUCCAUCUAGUUCUGAUUCCCAUCCCACACAGGGUGUUGUUGCCCAAGGCUUUCCCAGGGGAGGUUCAGUGGGUGAUCCUCAACCACAAAACUCAAGCAUGUUGAACGUUGGUGGAAGGACAGGUGGAGCAAUGACCGGGAUACUCUCACAAGUUGUAAACAAAGGGAUCACUCCAUCUGCAACACAGGAUGUAUUUGGGCUGGCAACAUCAGAGGAGGUUAAUAAAGUUCAAAGAAGCAACCAAUGCUGAUAAAAAGGUACUUAGAACUUUAAUGUUUCCCCAAUUUUUUCAUCAGGAGCCGCAAAGUUAUGUGUGCAUGUUACUUCCUGAUAAGUGUCAAAUCAUAACAAAUAUCCCAAAGACUUGAAGAAAGAAAUUUUGGAUGCUGGAGAGAAUUGAAUAUUUCCGGGUGUUGACCCUAGAAACUACAAAGCCUACGUGGCGCGCAGGCCGAGUAUAUUCUAAGCUAACUACGUCCUUCGGUGAUUGCGGGGCGUGCCAACUCGUCGGCCGAGGCUCGGCCGAGGAGUAAAUUUGAUGAUGCUGCGUUGGGUCGCGCUACUGACUUCUGCGUCUUGCGAUUGCGGCCGAGAAAGGAACACGUCUCGGCCUCUUGGGUUCUCGAGCCUGAAGACAAGGCUGCUAUUUCUUACAAAGUUCACGAACCGAAUUCGGCUUGCAAUGUGCCGAAUGUAAUAACUGUGACACCUCACCUCGCCGAGAAGGCUAAUGAGAUAACCUCGACCAACAAGGAUUCGAAAACCCUUCUCGACCGAGACUUGGAUAGGUAAUCGACCGUUCUCGCCGCAGUGCUGUUGAUGCCAACGGAAGAUACUGCGAGACCGACCGACUCUACGGUGACAGAGCUAUCUAUGCCGACUUAAGAUAUCACCGGUUGCUUCCACAGUGCUGUUGAUGCCAACGGAAGAUGUGUCAGCGAAAAAGGAAAAGAAAAAGAUCUCAAGUUGUGAGAGUUUGCGCAGGGCAAUUUUGUAUUGAUUUUGUGUGUUUCUUCGUUGCUACUGCCUUUGUAUUUAUAGGGAUGUGCUGCCGAGUAUUGCGUGAGAAUUUCUUGACGUGGAUCAGACUCUUAUUUCAAAUUCCCAUAUCUGACGUGACUUGAUCUUUAAAGGAUUUGAUCUUUGGUGACGUGGCUUCACCACUUGCUUUCCUCCAUCCAUCUUCACGGAACCAACCCAAGAAAUAAGCAUUAAAAACCUAGCCUACCUUAUCAUCACAUCACCAAAAAGACCUACUUUCCUAGGCUUCCUUUAAAUGAAUAUUAAAUUCAUUUUAUCUCAUAAUUUCAUCCCAUCCAUGCAUCAUGCAUGCAUCUCAACAAACCAUCUUGAUCGAUUCCAAGCUACGUGCUCAACAACAUUUAUCCACCAUUUAUCACCCACUUUUAAAUGGAUAAUAACAAUAAAAUACUCCGAUGCUCUAAUCUACCUCACGUUUAAAUCCCAAGAACCCCAAAUUAAAUAGAACUGUACUGCUCACUUUGAAGAUAUAAUUUGCACCUCAUCUUGUACAAGAAAAAAUCAAGAUAAUUUUUUAAACGAUAAAUAUUAUGAUAAAAUCAUAAUAUUAUCCUUUAACAAUAAAAAUUAUCUCCACUUUUCCAUCCGACGGUUGAGAACUACGUUUACUCAACGGCCUUGAUUACAUGGGCCGAUGAUGUAAAUUUGGGUCCAAACAUUGCCCCCCAGUUUCCUUGAACUUCGGCUCGUAAGUCGAAUGAUCAUGGAAAUUAUUCAUCAACGCAUAUCAAAAUCUUUCUCAACUUUGGCUAGAUGGCUUUGAAACUCACAACUCCGCCGAAUGACUAGGAAAAAUAUAUUGCCGAGAACUAUUGAGGAACCACCGCCGAAUACAAAUUUACUCGGCAGAAGCUAAAAUAUUUAUCAUCACCUCUGUUCUGCCAAUGUCAUGAUCUUCCUCUGCCAGUGUCGUGAGCUACCGCAGCUCUCGACUGUUUUAAAAAAAAUUGGGGCCGAGGUUGAGCAAAAUUUUCCAUAGCAGCUCGGCCUACCUAUAUAGAUAUAUAUAUUGAGCCGAGGUCGAGAAGCUUGAAACGAAUAAUAUCACCAUAUUUGAGUCACAUCAAAUCUUUCUACUUCACCACAUCAUGUCAGGGAAAGUGGAAUAAAAAUUUUAAAUCCACCUUUCUUUGACUGGUCGACCAACUUAUUAGUGGGCAAAUAUAAGACCGAGAAAAUUUUCGUCGCGCUCGACCAACAACCCUCGGUCACCAUUCCUUGAUUGAAUGCCACUGAUCAAAUCAUAUAUUUAUCGUCGAAUGAUAACAGCCGAAGGUGAGAAAAAAUGUGCACCAUCUAUGAGAUAGCAGAAAGGCUGCAACAGAGAGUAGAGAGCAGAGCCGAGAGCAGAGCCGAGAGCACCAGAUUAGCAGAAAAGAAGAGAAAAUUACCACAGCUUUCACUACCGAGAAGAAAAGGAUGCCGCGUAUAUAUAUAUAAGUAGCCUGAUGUCUGAUGUGAUCGGCCAGCCGUGUAGUUGGCAUAUAUAUAUAUAUAUAUCUUUCCUUCUUGAUAAUAGCACCCCAAAGCAAGCGGUAAAGCUCCAUCACAUCUUUUCUUCUCUCUCUCUUUUAGUCAACCACUUUUGCCAAAAUACCUGCCACCCUUAGGUCUAGGCUUUAGGCUUAAAGCCUGUCUUCAGUUUGGACCUUUCAAAGCCCCAUACUUAUAUAUAUAUUCAUGAAAAUUCGGCCAAAAAGUAGUUACAUAUAAUAUAUAUAUAUAUAAGUUUUGACCGAGGCCGAGGUUUUGUAAGCAAAGUCCACAAAUAAAUGUAUUCGGCCAAAAUAAUCAAACAAGUGUAUUCGACCAAAUUUUUAUUCGGCCUCGGCCUAGACGGCCGAAAUGCUUUUUUUUUUUUUUUUUUUUUUUAAAUCAGCCUCUUUAUAUAUGCUCAUCCUCGGCGAGAAAAAAAAAAUUUAAACCGCCGAUUAUAUCUGUGUUACCCCCUUAUUUUCUUAUGCAUCGGCUUGCAUAGCCGUAUGUUUAAGAAAAUAAUUUAUUAUAUAUAUAUAUAUAUUUUUUUUUUAGUAGACAAAGAAAAGUGGCCGAAUCAUAAUCAGGAGGAGGCCAACAAUGCUUUAUUCCAAACCGAGAUUUUUGUAUAUCAACACAGCCAAUCAAAUUUUGCAUUGAGCCGAAUAAAAAAUGAUCUCCAAAUAUUUCUGACUUGGUGAAAUAUUUUUUAUUUUCGGCCGCCGAAUGUGUUGAACAAUUAUUAUGCCCCCCAGGCAUAAUUUCGGCUUUUAAUUCAAAUAACUUGGCCGAAUGAGAUUCCUCCUUAUCGGCUUCAUCACUAAUAAUCAUAUCGAUUGGCGUGGUUUUUCUGGCUAGGCCUAUGUCUUGGCCUUGUUCGUCAUUGGAGCAUUUUUCUGGCGAAUCAUUUUUUGAGUCAAUUUGUGGCUCAGAAACUUUAACUUUUUCUUCUAGGCCUACCACACUUUCAAUCUCGACCGAAAAAAUAGGUGGCCUAGGUUUUUCUUCUUGGCUGACCAUAUUUUCAGCCUCGACCGAAAAAAUAAGUGGCCUUUGUUCUUCGGCCAAAUUAACAAUUUUCUUAGGCCGAUGUCUGAUUACGGCCGGAGCGAAAAAUUGCCCCCCGGCCUUUGGGCCUAACCAUUUUUCAAAUGGAAUCGAUCUGUAAUCAGAAACAUAAGGAAAAUUUUCUUCAUCUAGCCAGGCAUUAAAUCGAGCCUUGUCUUCAUUUACCCAUUGCCCUUGCAGGGUAACAGGAGCUUUUAUUUUCAACAUGCAAGCGAAUGACUUUUGCAUCUCUUUAUGGCCACGAAGAACUUUUUCUGCUUCCAAAGAUUUUUUACAUUCCUCAUUAUGUUUUUUCAAUUCCUCCAGGAGCUCGUACAAUCGGCUACGUUGAGCCAAAUUGGAAUCUUGAUAUAUCAUAUGAACUUCGUAGUAUUAGCACUGGGUCCCACUGGGCGUGCCAAAAUGUUGACCCUAGAAACUACAAAGCCUACGUGGCGCGCAGGCCGAGUAUAUUCUAAGCUAACUACGUCCUUCGGUGAUUGCGGGGCGUGCCAACUCGUCGGCCGAGGCUCGGCCGAGGAGUAAAUUUGAUGAUGCUGCGUUGGGUCGCGCUACUGACUUCUGCGUCUUGCGAUUGCGGCCGAGAAAGGAACACGUCUCGGCCUCUUGGGUUCUCGAGCCUGAAGACAAGGCUGCUAUUUCUUACAAAGUUCACGAACCGAAUUCGGCUUGCAAUGUGCCGAAUGUAAUAACUGUGACACCUCACCUCGCCGAGAAGGCUAAUGAGAUAACCUCGACCAACAAGGAUUCGAAAACCCUUCUCGACCGAGACUUGGAUAGGUAAUCGACCGUUCUCGCCGCAGUGCUGUUGAUGCCAACGGAAAGAUACUGCGAGACCGACCGACUCUACGGUGACAGAGCUAUCUAUGCCGACUUAAGAUAUCACCGGUUGCUUCCACAGUGCUGUUGAUGCCAACGGAAGAUGUGUCAGCGAAAAAGGAAAAAGAAAAAGAUCUCAAGUUGUGAGAGUUUGCGCAGGGCAAUUUUGUAUUGAUUUUUGUGUGUUUCUUCGUUGCUACUGCCUUUGUAUUUAUAGGGAUGUGCUGCCGAGUAUUGCGUGAGAAUUUCUUGACGUGGAUCAGACUCUUAUUUCAAAUUCCCAUAUCUGACGUGACUUGAUCUUUAAAGGAUUUGAUCUUUGGUGACGUGGCUUCACCACUUGCUUUCCUCCAUCCAUCUUCACGGAACCAACCCAAGAAAUAAGCAUUAAAAACCUAGCCUACCUUAUCAUCACAUCACCAAAAAGACCUACUUUCCUAGGCUUCCUUUAAAUGAAUAUUAAAUUCAUUUUAUCUCAUAAUUUCAUCCCAUCCAUGCAUCAUGCAUGCAUCUCAACAAACCAUCUUGAUCGAUUCCAAGCUACGUGCUCAACAACAUUUAUCCACCAUUUAUCACCCACUUUUAAAUGGAUAAUAACAAUAAAAUACUCCGAUGCUCUAAUCUACCUCACGUUUAAAUCCCAAGAACCCCAAAUUAAAUAGAACUGUACUGCUCACUUUGAAGAUAUAAUUUGCACCUCAUCUUGUACAAGAAAAAAUCAAGAUAAUUUUUUAAACGAUAAAUAUUAUGAUAAAAAUCAUAAUAUUAUCCUUUAACAAUAAAAAUUAUCUCCACUUUUCCAUCCGACGGUUGAGAACUACGUUUACUCAACGGCCUUGAUUACAUGGGCCGAUGAUGUAAAUUUGGGUCCAAACACCGGGUCAAAGUGUCGUUCAGCCAUCGAACUUGUAAUGUAUCUUUUGUGUUUCAUUUCUUUGUGUAUGCAUCUUGCUUCUUUUUCAUUCUUUUUUUUUAUUAUUAUUCCUUUAUCUUGUAGCGGGGGGUAUAAUUUUUCUCCUUCAUUUUGGAAUGUCCCUAGUCGUAUUGAAGCGAAGGCCCCUAUAGUUUUAUCGUUGUUACAAAUUUGAUGAUUGUAUUAUUGAAUUGGGGCUGUGCCUUUCUUUUUUCAGCCUUAAUUUGCUGUAAUUUUUUACCCUCUCUAAUAAAAUUUGUUUUGCUGAUCUUUGUUUGCUUCAAGCAAGAACGCUGACUUUUGCCAGUGUUACUGCGUUCGGGCCAUUCAUAUUUUUUGCUUAUUGCAGUUCAGCCAUUAAACUAUCGUGUAUUUUUGUUGUGUCGAAAGUUCAAACUAUCGUGGCUUGGUCAUGAGAUUUUUACUUUGCCCUGGCCUGGCGUAUUAAUUAGUCCAAGUUUAUGAUAUAAAGGCAAAUUUCAAGAUGUCGCUGGACUCAUAAAUCAAGUUUUAAAGAUAACAAAUAGAAUGUUACACACUUGUCAAUAACUUGCGCUUUAUAAUGUAUAAAGUAUAAACAAUACUAAAAUAAUGAAAGUCUUGCCUAUAUGUUGUCUUAUUUCUUGGACAGACAAGUGAGCUCUCAAAGUAAAAUUUUCCCCAAAAGUUUUUCCAAAUUCUAUUGGAUAAUGAUGCAUAGGAUUGUUGGAUUAAAAAGUCCGAAUCAUAUUCAGUUCCACUGACUUCGAACCCAUAGGACCCAUAUUCAUGACUAUCAUUUGCUUCAGACUCCACUUGAUCCACAGGCUUCAGGCUCAUCUCUUGAUCGACCACCUUCGGAAUCGUCAUCUUGUCUCGUUUCUUCUACUUUUGGUUCCGUCGACAUGAAGACAUGAUCAAAUUUGAAUUUCUCAGCAUCUUCGGCAUACAACGGGGAUAUACCACAACUUAACACUCUCAUAUGAACGGGGGAAAUGGGUUCGCCGAAACUAUCCAGCGCCCAGAAGUAAACAGAGGCCUCAUUGGCAAGUUUGUAAUCAGGGGAGAUACUAAUGUCCACACUCCACACAAGCACGUGACUUUGGUAGUAUCUCUUCCUGGCGUGUGGGAUAUAUAAUCCAGUGCACAGUUUAUGGCUUUCACCCAUGAAUUUGACACAGAAAUUAGCUUCUACUUUGAAGGAAUCCUCCCACACUGCAAGCUUCCCCCAAAUAACAGCAGACAUAGCGAAACCAAAUACACCUGUUUCAAACCAAUCUGGAAGAAGCUUGAUGUUUACUGAAGAUCCCUCACUUUGAUAGCUGAACCAAUUUGGAAUUUUAUCUCCCGGACAUACAACACUAAUUUGAGGCCAAGGACUGUCCUUUGAUGGAGCACUAGUUGCCAUAAUUCUAAUCUGUGCUUCUUCCAUUAUGUCGCUCCUUGCAUCAUUAUCCAAUUUUAGGCAAUUAGUAAAAUCUUUGAAAAAAUCAUGAUGUUGAACCCAACCUUGUGUGAGUGCUGUCCUUGUACUUGACAGUGUCUUCAGCGACGUGCAGCCUUCAGCGUCAACACUACAUAGCACUGGGAGCUCUGGUAAAGAUUGAAGCUGCUUGCAGGCGACUAAGCCGAGUUCAGACAACCGAGAAGCUUGUUUGAUGCUUGCAGGUAUGCUCCUAACCUUGGUUCCACUCAGAUUUAAUUUUUGCAAUGCGGUUGAGCAAACGAGACCAUCAGGGAGCAUUUCGAUAGCUGUCCCUUGCAAACUAAGAGACGCCAAAUGUUCCAUUGGCUCCAAGAUCUCUGGGAAGUUCUUAAGUUGAGAGCAGCCAGAGAGAUUGAGUUCCUUCAGAUAUUUCAACUUACAAAUGUUGGUUGGUAGACUCACGAGUCUCUUGCAAUAAACCAAUGAUAAUUUACUUACAUCCCUAGGAAGCUCAGAAAACUCGCCAAGAGAUGUGCAACGAUUUACAUUAAAACAACCAGAGAUUUUCAUCUCACACCUAUUGCUUGGAAGUUUCUCAAGGUUAUAGCAUUUACUUAUAUUCAAGUAAGAAAUGUUUUCGUUAGACCAAAUUGAUUUGGGCAACUCUUUUAUACAUUGCCUCCUAAAUCCAAGUAUUGAAUUUCUUGGCAUCUCUGGAAGAUACUUGAGACUCCUGCAGCCUCCAAGAUCAAGAUGAGUAAGCUUGUCAAGAUGUUGAAAAUACAUUGGAACUUCAACCAAACUUGAACAGCUAGAGAGGUCCAUCUUCACAAUUUUUAGACUCCCAGAGAGAUUUGGAACUUCAGUUAGAUUCUUAGAGUGACGCAGAUUGAUAACUUGUAAGUUGACAAGUAUCUGCAACAAAUGAAAUAGAAAUAUAAAGAAUUAAUAUAACUUCUACACUUGAUUUUAUACAAGAAUAAUAGGCAUAUAAUAUAAUAUACCUGCUCUUCUUUCCAAAG
rnacentral:lncRNA from 1 species